rnacentral:lncRNA from 1 species
GGAUGGGAGGGAGAUGGAGGUUUGUGCGGUGGCUUGUGGGGCGGAGUUGAUGGCUUCUUUCCAGGAGCUUCUGGCUUUUUCAUCGGAGCUGAAGGAGGCUCAAUCUUAUGAGGCGGCUUGUACGAGUCUUCUUUGCUCUCGAAAGGAGGGUGGCCAGGGUUGUGACCAUAAUGUGGUGGUUUCUCUCCCUUGGGAGGUUUACCAAUUGGGGUUGGUGGCUUGUGUUCUGGGAGUGGUUUCUCUCCCUUGGGAGGUUUAGUGGGUGACUUGUGUUCUGGAGGUGGCUUCUCCACCGAAGGCUUGUGCUCCGGUGGUGGCUUUUUGGUUGGAGGGGGCUUGGGGUAAUCAGCAAGAGAUGGGGUGGUGAGAACCACCAGUCCAAGGAACAACACUAGCAAGUAUGUGGGAGACAUUUUUGAGUUUGGGCUGAUCAGAUGAUGCAAAACUAAAGCAUUACGUGACCUUUUAUAGCAAGUAGCUCCCAAUACCUACUUGACACGUGUUACUGUGACCCAUAAAUAUUAUGGGGUCUAUUUGUGCCCUACCGGGUUGAAAACUUGGACAAUUGGGCAAGGACCCGCCUGACUAUGGAGGACUACUGAGGUGUGAUCACAGCUUUAGGAUUUUUCUUCCUCUGCAGCCGUCUUGCCGUUGGCAUGAUUUUCUUAAUCUCAAAUAAAGGCAUAGUUAUAGAGUUGUUUAAUCUCUAAAUGGGAUUUUAUAUAUCUUCAGAUAGCCAUUAAUACAUUUGAUGAAGAAAGAAAGACAAGUGCAUACAACAUGUAUACGACUAGCUUUCAUGGAGUUCAUUUAUGAUCAGUUUUCCUGUACAUGUAAACCAAGAUCAUAUAUGUUUUUGUUCCACAACAAUUUUGGAAUCUUGUUUAUCCGUUUUUAUCAUUAUAAUGUCACAUAGGCUGCCAACUUGGGCGCUAAAUUAAAGAUCCAGUUGGGCAAGUUCGUUUCAGAAUUUCAAUGGUGGAUUCAGGAAUUGUUUUAUAAGAUAUGCAAAAUAGUAGAGGGAUGAAUAGUGUUUCAUUAAGAAAAGAGCCCUGUAAAAAUAUUGUUUAAAGGUGCCAUAGAAACUAUAAUCAAUAAAUAACUUUUUUUCCCCAUGGGUGGUGUUUCUUGUGGGGAUCAGUGACUGGUUUGAGUCAACGCCGUGUCUCUUUAGUCCAGAAAUCAACUAUUUUAUGCAUUGAAUACAUCAACAAAGAAAAUAUGAAAGCCAAAUGACACCUCCCCCGCAAAAACUAAACCCUGGUUGCUAACUUUCUAUGUUUCAGUUCCAUUCACACAAGAAUAUUAGUUCAAGUUUGAGAAAAAUGGCGACUUACCUAGUGAUAACUCGGUCUUGGUUUGCGAUUUGACUUUAACGUCAUGGGUUGAAGCCUCCUACAAUCAUCGUGUAUGCUAGUUCAAAGCUCGUGGAAGAAGUUAUACAGGGAGGGAGAAACCUCCACAGCAAGCUCCAAAAGAGAAUUAUCACAUUGAAAGCUCCAGUUGAACACUGGGUGAAAGCCAUAACAAGAUUGGUUUUCUAUCGCUCUUUUAAGUAAUGGAAGAUUAUUAUCUCUGCUUGUCACUACAACCGUGCAUGCUGCUAGAUCUUUCUAGACACUUCAAACAGUGAAACCAAGUAUGAUUCUUUUUCUCUUGAGUGGGUCCACUUGCAUGCCAAUGAACGAGUUGAAAAGUUGGACAAUUGGCCACAGCGCGCACUUACCUUCUGGAACCGAAGGUCAGUGAAGUGGGGUUCCUUUUGGCCCCUUGUGUUUCUGUUCCAACCUACUCCAGGAACCGAAGUUCAGUGAAGUGGGGCUACUUUUGGCCUCUUGUGUUUCUGUUCCAACCAAACAAAAAUGGGAGGGAAAAAUAGCAUUAUGCUUGUGCUAAAGAUCAACGCAUGAUAGCUGAAUAAGGGAGAAAAAGGCAUUGCUAUCUCAAUUUCAUAAACUUGAUAAGUAGUGACAUUAAUAGUCUUCCUCAUAGAUGGAUACAUGGUUUUAUUUUAUUUAUUUAUUUUUAUUUUUUUGUUUUAUGUCAAUGCUAAUGAAUGAAGUGCAUUAGCUUGUUUUGUGACUAGAACUACAAAUGUCCAAAUUGGAGCUUCUCCAAUAUAUUUCUCAGUGAGUUAUUGAUUAGAACUCUUGGAUUGAGUUCCAAGAUUUGAAUCAGACCCCUCUAGCAGCUUCAGGGGUACGUAGCAACCUAUAGCAUAUUAAUGAAGACUUAGGAUUUAGACUUAGGAAUACAAAUUAAUAUGUACCUCAUGCUCUGACUAGCUUCCCUGCGUAUGCACAAAAUGGAGAUGACUCCCAAAAAAAUAGCAGAAUCGCCUUAGUAUGUUUUUGUGGUUAAGAUGAUUCUCCACUUUAUAUAUCCACAUUGGUUCAUUAUGCAAAUUAAUCAACUAAGCUAUUUUUAUUUUUUCUUAAAUGUGAAAUAGGAGCUCCAAAUUAACCUAACCAUUGGCCUGAUUGAAUUGAUUUCACUUGCAUAAUGUUAUAGUAGAAGUCCGUAAUUUGAAUUUUAUUUUUGCAAAAGGUAACGUAAAUGAAGCAUUGUAAUUAAAUUUAUUUGUAAUUACAAACUAAUUUUAUUUUAUUAAGAAUUAAUUUAAUUACUCAUUUAAAAUAAAAAUCAGUUAUACUUUUACCAAGAUGAUAAUAUUCAUAUUUUUCUAGUUAACAUAUAUAAAAUAGUACACUUUUUCAUAUAAAAAAAUAAUUUAUGAUUUAUUAUAAUGUUACUAUUCACAUUUUACUAAAUUGAUGGUACAUGAUAGUGAGAGAAGGGGGUGUCACACUCAGCUAAAGUUCUUUUCAAAAUAUUGCAUGGUGUUUAAUUUUAUGUGUCGGCGCGCGUGUGAAUGGAACCUGCAAAAGUCCAAAUUGGCGUUUCUCCAUUUUCCACAUAGGAUGGUGACGUUAAUAGACAAAGAUACAAUAUCUGUAGACAUUGCUUAAAAAUCGAUGUGAAGUAUUAGAAAUUACAGGGCACUGUACUGGGGGAGCGGCUGCCCCGCCAAAGGAGGAAGAAUGUAGCAAUUUCUUCUGUUAGCCAGGCCUUAGGAUUUAUGCAUGGGAUGCCUAAUAACAAACAGAGAAAAUAUACUUUUGGGGAAGGUAUCCAACAACAGACACCAUCAUUCAGAUGGUGGGAAGGUAUCCAACAGAUGCCAUCAUUCAGAUGGUAACAUAUAUAUACAUUUAUUAGUGAGUUUUUUUAAUACCUAUAAAAAAAAAUAUACACUUUGAUAUUGUGGCUGAAUCCAUUACAUACUCAACUAACCUUGCUCAUUAGGGAUUUGACUUAACAAGGGCAACGUUGCAGUACAAGCUCAAAACUUUAUGCAGGUGACAUUACAUUUGGUAAAGAAGAGGAAAAUAACGAAAGCCAUCCAUAAAAGCAAAAUUCCACAUGGGAUGAAAUUCACAAGCUUCAUUUACGAUAGAGUCGCAUCCAGGCAAUUAAUUCCACAUUAGACCGCCUGUUGACAUGUGUACCAAUCUUUUUUCAAAAAAUAUUUAUAAAUAAUUGAUACUCACAAAAAUAAUUUAAUAUUUAUAAAGGAUAAAAAAAUAUUUUCAAAUCUAUAACAAUUUAUAAAAUAUUAAUAAAAAAUUAUCUCUUAAACUUAGUAUAGUUUUAUCAGAUUAAACUUUUAUUUUGAACAAAUAAUUUUAAUCUAAGUUUUAAAUUCUAAAAUUAUUUCCUUAAAAUAAAAUUUUAAAAUUCAACACUUCAAUUGAAAUUGUCUUUUUAAAAAAUAUCUUCUUAUUUUAAUCCUUAUAAACUAUAGUUGAUUGAAAAUACUAUUGAAGUUCUCUCUUAAAAAAAAGUCUUAUUUUAAUCUUCAUAAAUUGCCCUUGAUUUGAAAAUAAAUUUUCAGUUAUCAUAUUUUAAAUAAUAUCUAUAUUUAAAAUACUCUAUUUAAAAAAAAAUGAACUAAUUUUAAUUAUAUUAUAUUUUAUUUUUUUAUAUAUUUUUAAUGAUAAACCAAACAUAGAAAAUCAUUUUUCUAAAUAUUUUAAAAUUUCUAAGCAACCAAACAUAAUCUUCAAAAUAAAAGGAAAAUAAGGAGGGACAUUUGAGAAAUGGCGAUUAAAAAAAAGUGUACAAAAGCUCAAUUAAUUUUCUUCUAGUCUUUUAUAUAAAAAAGUAAAGGAAUUGAAAAGUAUUGAUAUGUAAAUUAAUAUUUGGAUUUUAAUAGUAUUUUAUUUGUCUUUCUCUAUCUCAUGUAAAAGAGAAUUUAAGAUAUUUCCUAAAGCAAAGCAUUAGUUAUCUGCAAUCAGUGGUGAUCAUGCCCCAUGUCAAUUUCGGACCCAUAUCUUAAAACUGUAUAAUUUGCAUUCAAACAUUACUGAUUUCUCAGAUGUUUCAUACUCCACAGAAGAGCAUUGUUUGUGAAAGCAUGCAUUUAUGUUGGAUUUUGGAUGAUGUGGGAACUGGGGCAAGGAUCAUAUGGAAGAGUGGUCGAUUUUGUUCUGUACUUUAACAUUUGAAAUAGGAGAAGCUCGGGCAUUUGUGGGGCUUAAUUGAUUUUGAAGCCUGAAAUUGCGUUUCUGUCAUUUUGUAAAAAAUAUGGCAGAUUCCAUGCUCUCAUAUGUUUGGUCUGUGGCCAUGUAUAGAUGCCCCUUAGUGACCAGUUUGUAACUGUCAAUCAUAGUGUUUUGACUCUGGCUCAACAACAUCAGCCAUUGACGGAUUUUCAUACUUGCAAAUCAAAUAGUCUUCUUCCUCCCUUAGGAAUUUCGGUUUAAAUGUUAUUAAGCAUACAUUUGGCUGACAAUUAUUAACCACUUCAUGAUAUGGUUUCUUACCCUUAAUCAAUGGUUUCUAAGUGAAUAUAUGCAGAAGGAAAUCUGAACUGUAGACAGCAGUAUUGAUAACUCUCAAUAUUCUUUAUAUAAGAGAAUAAACAACGUCAUAGUGAUCGUCGCCUACAAGAAAGGUACAUUUCCCAACAAGAUGUAGUUGUGACUGGUACAUGGACGCAAUUAACUCGUACAAAAGAAUAAGACCAGUGCACGGCAGCUCUUAUUUUACAUGCUAAUUAUGCUAACCAAAGUCACUCAGUUGGGAUGGGAGGGAGAUGGAGGUUUGUGCGGUGGCUUGUGGGGCGGAGUUGGUGGCUUCUUUUCAGGAGCUUGUGGCUUUUUCGGAGCUGAAGGAGGCUCAAUCUUAUGAGGCGGCUUGUACGAGUCUUCUUUACUCUCGACAGGAGGGUGGCCAGGGUUGUGACCAUAAUGUGGUGGCUUCUCUCCCUUAGGUGGCUUGCCAACUGGGGUUGGUGGCUUGUGUUCAGGAAGUGGUUUCUCUCCCUUGGGAGGUUUACCAAUUGGGGUUGGUGGCUUGUGUUCUGGGAGUGGUUUCUCUCCCUUGGGAGGUUUAGUGGGUGACUUGUGUUCUGGAGGUGGCUUCUCCACCGGAGGCUUGUGCUCCGGUGGUGGCUUCUCCACCGGAGGCUUGUGCUCCGGUGGUGGCUUCUUGAUUGGAGGGGGCUUGGGGUAAUCAGCAAGAGAUGGGAUGGUGAGAACCACCACUCCAAGGAACAACACUAGCAAGUAUGUGGGAGACAUUUCUGAGUUUGAGCUGAUCAGAUGAUGCAAAACUAGAAGAAUUACGGGACCUUUUAUAGCAAGUAUCUCCCAAUACCCACAUGACACGUGUUACUAUGACCAUAAAUAUUAUAGGGUCCAUUUGUGCCCUACCGGGUUGAAAACUUGGACGCUUGGCCGAGGACACACCUGACUAUGGAGGACUAUUGACGUGUGAUCACAGCUUUUGGAUUUUUCUUCCUGUGCAGCUGUCUAGCGGUUGGCAUUAUUUUCUUAAUCUUAAAUAAAGGCAUAGUUAUAGAGUUGUUUAAUCUCUAAAUGGGAUUUUAUAUAUCUUCAGAUAGCCAUUAAUAUAUUUGAUGAAGAAAGACAAGUGCAUACAACAUGUAUACGGCUUGCUUCAAUCGAGUACAUUUAUGAUCAGUUUUCCUGUGCAAGUAAACCAGUUUUUUGUUCCACAACUAUUUUGGAAUCUUGUUUAUCAGUUUCUAUCAUUAUAAUGUCACAUAGGCUGCAAACUUGGGCACCCAAAGAUCUAGGUGGGCAAAUUUGUUUCAGACUUUCAAUGGUGGAUUCAGUAAUUGUUAAAAGGUGUUUCUUCAUUAAGGAAAGAGUCCGGUAAAAAUAUUGUUAAAAGGUGUCAUAGAAACUAUAAUAAAUAAAUAACUUCUUUUCCCCAUGGGUGGUGUUUCUUCUGGGGAUCAGUGACUGGUUAGGGUCACCCAAAAUGAGUCCAGAUUAAAAUUGGUUCGAGUCAAAGCAGUCUCUUUUGUCCAGAAAUCAACUAUUUUGCGCAUUGAAUGAAUCGAUAAAGAAAAAAUGAAAGCCAAAUCACACCUCCCCUGCAAAACCUAAACCCCGGUUGCUAACUUUCUAUGUUUCAGUCCUAUUCAUAUAGGAAUAUUGGUUCAAGUUUGAGAAAAAUGGCAACUUACCUAGGGUUUACUUGGUUUUGGUUUGCGACUAUUUACGCAACCAACCAUGAGUUUGACUUUAACGUCAUGGGUUGAAGCCUCCUACAAUCAUGUAUGAUAGUUCAAAGCUCGUGGAAGAAAUUAUACAGGAAGGAAGAAACCUCCAAAGCUAGCUCCAAAAGAGAAUUAUCACAUCGAUAGCUCCAGAGAUUCCCAAGGGAACUGAAUCAAAGACAAGUUCCUCACUUUUUCUUCUUUUGAGGCCAAAUAUGAACCAAGGAUCACACGACCUCAUUCAACUUCAUAAGUUUGAUUUCAUGCAGUUGAACACUGGGUGAAGGCCAUGACAAGAAUUGAUUAAAAAAUUCUACCACUCUUUUAAGUAAUGGAAGAUUAUUAUCUCUGAUUGGCACCACAACAGCACAUGCUGCUAGAUCUUUCUAGACACUCCAUGCAAUGAAAGCACAAUGGAUCUUGUAAUGAUAGAAACUAAGCCAUGCUACAGUACUAGAUGAGGGGGUAAAACUAGUAGACAUCUUUCUAGACACUCCAUGCAAUGAAAGCACAAUGGAUCUUGUAAUGAUAGAAACUAAGCCAUGCUACAGUACUAGAUGAGGUGGUAAAACUAGUAGACAUGGCUGGCAGUUGAUUACUACUCAAAAAGUACUCUUUUAUAGCUUGAAACUAACUGUUUUAAACACUUUUGAGUAGUAGUUAAUACCUUUUAACUUAAUUGGCACAUUAAGGAACCUAGCAAGGGUUACUAAUCAACAUUUGGCAAGUUUUGAUGUUUUUGGUAGCUAUUUGAUCAUUGAAACAAGCCAAGAAUGAGGGGGAAUUUUGUGAAGUCCAUGGCAAUGCAAGUUAAAGCUCAAAUACAUGAAGAAUCCAAGCUUUGGAGCACUUCAUAGCCCUUUGCCAAGCCAAUCAAAGAUGCAAGGAAGAAAACCAAAGGAAGAAAUCCAACAAUCAGCAUUUUGGCAUGGCUAUGUGAAAUUUCGCACACCAUGCGAAACCACAAGAGGCAGCCAAAGAAUUUCGCAUGGUAUGCGAAAUCUUCUUGUGCACUGACUCUGUUAGAUUUUUAUCUUCAGAUAUUUUGUGUAAUUUCCUAGUUUCUCCUUGUAACCAACUUAGAUAUUUUCUUUUAUAUCUUUUUUUAUAUUUUUUAGGUAACAUCAUAUAUAAGAGGAGAGACAUAAGGAGGAUAUGGAUGUUUUUCAUAGAACACUUGUAAAUUUUUGGUAGUAAGAAAUAUACAAAGCUUUUUGCUCUGCCUUACCUUCUCAAGGGAUGAGUGGCUAGGUUUUCUUGGAGUGAGGGAAGCUAGGUGAAGGACCUGAAUGCAAAGGUGGGAGUUUUCCUUACUUUAAAUGAAAGUAGUUGUUAAACAUUAAUGGUUUUUAUUUUAAGGUUUAGCUUUAAAUCCCUGAAAAACACCUUGAAUGGCCAAUACUUGGUAAGCUUUUUAGAUUCUAUGGAUGCUUAUUGCUAGAUCCAUGGAUGUCUAUUAGUUAUCAUUUACGAGCCAUUGGAAGGUGAUUCAAGGUGAGGGUCUUUAGUGUUUGAAGCCAUUAAUGGGAAGCAAUUACCAUUUUUUCAUGAAUCCUUUGGAUCAAAUCUUAAUUGCUAAAUAUAAAACCGGUUUCGAGAGAUAACCACCAUCCUUUAUGUUAUUAUCCCCAACGCGAGGAGAAGAUCCGAAAUCUUCCUUUUUAUCUAAGGAACCCGAUCCUAGUGACCUAAAGCUCCAAGAUACCUUUUCUUUGUAGUUAACUUCAUUUAUUGUUUUUGCUUAACUUAAAAUCAAUCUUUGCAACCACAAUUCCAUUUUCUUUAAAAGCUAAUUUUUAUAAGGAAAAACACCAUUUUAUUUCCUUCACUAAGUCAACUGUACGAUGAAAACCCAUCCCUGUGGACGAUCCUAGAGCCACUAUACUAUGUUAGCUAUGCUACCCUAGUGUGAGGUGAUUUAGGUUUUAUAAAUUUUUUUGAUAACACCCAUCUGAGCCAGAAUCAAAUGGCACGACUGAACCAGGGACGAAUCAAAUGACGCCGCUACCAAGGAUGGUGCCAAAGUACAUUGACAUGACUUUUGGUGAACACUUGUGAUCUUCACCACAAGUUUGGUGAUUUUUCUUUUACUAAUUUUUUUUAUUUUAGCUUAUCUUUUAUUUAGUUUUUAGUUAACCUUAAAUUUUUCCUAGAAUUGUAUUUCUUUUGUUUUCUUUGUUUUUGUUUCAGUGAUCUUUAGUUGUGCAUGCCCUAUUGGAUAAGAGAUAUUGAGGGAAUACUUGUGAAGAUUGAAACUCCUCGAGAAACUGAGUUAGAAGUGUGCUUGAACAUCAUGGAUGUUCCACCUGAAGACCAGAAUAGCCAACAUGGUUAAGAGGAUAAUUUCAACACAUACCGAUCCAUGAGGAACCGCAUACAUCCACCUUGUAUGAGUGCACCGUCAGGCAUAAUGCCUCCCACUGAGCAGCUAGUAAUCUGACCUCACAUUGUGCCACUCCUACCUACUUUCCAUGGGAUGGAGAGUGAGAAUCCCUACUCGCAUAUUAAGGAAUUCGAGGAGGUUUGUAAUACAUUCCAAGAAGGAGGAGCUUCAAUUGACUUGAUGAGGCUCAAGCUAUUUCCUUUCACUUUGAAGGAUAAGGCCAAGAUUUGGCUUAAUUCUUUAAGGCCAAGAAGUAUCCAAACUUGGAUUGAUUUGUAAGCCGAGUUUCUUAAGAAGUUCUUCCCUACCCAUAGGACCAAUGGUUUGAAAAGGCAAAAUUUGAACUUCUCAGUUAAAGAGAAUGAGAAAUUCUAUGAGUGUUGGGAGAGCUACAUGGAAGCUAUUAACGUUUGUCCUCACCAUGGCUUUGACACAUGGCUCUUAGUGAGCUAUUUUUACAAUGGUAUGUCUUCUUCAAUGAAGCAACUCCUAGAAACUAUGUGUGGAGGAGACUUCAUGAGUAAGAAUCCGGAGGAAGCCAUGGACUUUUUGAGUUAUGUGGCUGAAGUUUCAAGAGGAUGGGAUGAACCAAAUGCUAGAGAGGUGGGAAGAAUGAAGUCUCAACCUAAUGCUAAGGGUGAGAUGUAUGUUUUGAAUGAAGACAUUGACAUGAAAGCAAAGGUUGCAGCUAUGGCAAGGAGAUUGGAAGAGCUAGAAAUGAAGAACAUACAAAAAGUGCAAGCCAUUUCUGAGACAUCAAUGAAAGCUAUGCCUUGUUCCAUUUGUCAAUCUUAUAAGCACCUAGUGGAGGAGUGUCCUACAAUUCCAGCAGUGAGAGAGAUGUUUGGUGAUCAAGCAAAUGUUAUUGAUCAAUUCAAGCCUAAUAACAAUGCUUCAUAUGGCAACACCUACAAUUCAAAUUGGAGGAACCAUUCAAAUUUCUCUUGGAAACGAAAGCCACCUCAAUACACACAACCUACUCAAGCACCUUAGCAAUCCUCGAAUCUUGAACAAGCUAUUGUGAACCUUAGCAAGGUUGUGGGAGACUUUGUGGGAGAUCAGAAGUCCAUCAAUGCUCAACUGAAUCGGAGAAUUGACAGUGUGGAGAGUACAUUGAACAAAAGGAUGGAUGAGAUGUAAAAUGAUCUGUCUCAAAAGAUAGACAAUGUCCAAUACGUAAUCUCAAGGCUUACCAACCUCAACACAGUGUAAGAGAAAGGAAAGUUUCCUUCUCAACCUCAUCAAAAUCCUAAGGGUAUCCAUGAAGUAGAGGCUCAAGAGGGAGAAUCUUCAAAGGUGAGGGAAGUCAAAGUAGUUAUCACCUUGAAGAGUGGUAAAGAGGUUGAUCAACCCACAUCCAAGCCAAAGCAUAAUGAAGAGAGUGUAGCAGAAAAAGAAAAGAGAGGAAAAUAAAGGAAUUAGAAUAGAGAAAAAUACAAAGAAAGAUGACCAUGAGUCUAGUGUGGAUGAAGAGCCCGAGAGGAUGGUGAUCAAGGAAGAUAUGAUGAAGAAACACAUGCCUCCACCUUUCCCCUAAGCUUUGCAUGACAAAAAAAGAACCAAUAAUACAUCAGAAAAUUUUGAAGUAUUGAGGCAAGUGAAGGUCAAUAUCCCUUUGCUAGACAUGAUCAAACAAGUGUCGACAUAUGAAAAAUUCUUGAAGGACUUGUGCACUGUAAAGAGAGGGUUGAAUGUGAACAAGAAAGCUUUAUUGACCGAGCAAGUGAGUUCCAUCAUACAGUGCAAGUCCUAGUGAAGUACAAAGAUCCGGGUUGCCGUACCAUCUCAGUGAGUAUUGGAAGGACUUGUGUGGAGAAAGCUUUGUUGGACUUGGGAGCAAGUGUGAAUUUGCUAUCCUACUCUGUCUAUAAGCAGUUGGGAUUUGGAGAGUUGAAGCCAAUAUCCAUCACUCUAUCUCUAGCGGAUAGAUCAAUGAAGAUUCCAAGAGGGAUGAUCGAAGAUGUCCUGGUUCAAGUUAACAAAUUCUACUAUCCAGUAGAUUUUGUUGUUCUUGAUAUGGAUCCGGUUGUCAAAUGAACUAAUUAUGUUCCUAUCAUACUUGGAAGACCCUUCCUAGCUACAUCAAAUGCAAUCAUCAAUUGUAGGAAUGGAGUCAUGCAACUCACAUUUGUCAACAUGACAUUAGAGCUCAACAUCUUCCAUUUGUACAAGAAGCAUAUCCAUCAGGAGGAAAAAGAAGGUCUAGAGGAAGUGUGAAUGAUUGACACUUUAGUGGAAGAGCAUUGUGAUCGAGAAUGCAAAAAGAUUUAGUUGAGAAUUUUGGGGAUCUUGAUGAAAGGUUACUUGAACCCUCAGAUUUGCUUGCUACCCUACUCCAUUGGAAGAGAAGAGAAGAAAUUCUACCCUUAUUCAAUGAGGAGGAGACGCAAAGAGCUGCAAAGGAGAAACCCCCAAAACUUAUUCUUAAGCCACUACCCACAGAGUUGAAGUAUGUAUACUUGGAAGAAGACAAGAAGUGCCCUAUUGUUAUAUCUUCAACUCUUACCAUUCAUCAGGAGGAUUGUCUACUUGAAGUCCUUAGAAGAUGUAAGAAGACAAUAAGGUGGCUAAUUUCUUAUUUGAAAGGGAUCAGCCCUUUAGUCUGCACCCAUCAUAUUUACAUGGAGGAUGAAGCUAAGCUAAUUCAUCAACCUCAGAGAAGGUUGAACCCUCACAUGCAAGAGGUGGUUCGAGCUGAAGUUCUGAAGCUACUUCAGACCAGUAUUAUUUACCCCAUAUCAAAUAGCCCAUGGGUGAGUCCUACUCAAGUUGCGCCAAAGAAGUCUGGGAUCAUGGUGGUGCAAAAUGAUAAGGGAGAAGAUGUCUCUACACGCCUCACUACAGGUUGGAGGGUGUGUAUCAAUUACAGGAGGUUGAAUGCAGUGAUAAGAAAGGACCAUUUCUCAUUGCCCUUUAUUGAUCAGGUGCUUGAGAGGGUCUCUGGGCUUUUUUUUUUAUUGUUUCUUGGAUGGCUACUCCGGGUACUUUCAGAUAGAAAUUGAUGUUGAAAACCAAGAUAAGACCAUUUUCACAUGCCCAUUUGGAACCUAUGCAUAAAGGAGAAUGCCUUUCGGCUUAUGCAAUGCACCCGCAACUUUCCAAAGAUGCAUGUUAAGCAUUUUCAGUGAUAUGGUGGAGCGUAUUAUGGAAGUCUUUAUGGAUGAUAUCACCAUUUAUGGAAGUGCAUUUGAUGAAUGCUUGGUCAACUUAGAAGCUGUUCUGAACCGAUACAUUGAGAAAGACUUAGUGCUUAACUGGGAGAAGUGCCAUUUCAUGGUACACCAAGGGAUUGUCCUUGGGCACAUUAUCUCCAAGCAAGGCAUUGAAGUUGACAAAGCAAAGGUUGAACUCAUUGUUAAGUUGCCAUCCUCAACAAAUGUCAAAGGAGUAAGGCAAUUCUUUGGCCAUGUCGGGUUCUAUAGGAGGUUUAUCAAGGAUUUCUCUAAGCUUGCAAGGCCUCUUUGUGAAAUAUUGGUGAAUGAUGUUAAAUUCAUAUGGGAUGAUGGAUUUGAAAGGAGUUUUGAAGAAUUGAAGCUAUUUUUGACAACCGUACCAAUAGUGAGGGCUCCCAACUGGCAACUGCCCUUUGAAGUAAUGUGUGAUGUCAAUGAUUUUGCUAUAGGAUUUUUUCUUGGGCAAAGAGAAAAUGGAAAACCUUAUGUGAUCUACUAUGCGAGGAAGGCAUUGAAUGAGGCACAAAGAAACUACACAACCACCGAGAAAGAAUUGUUAGCUGUAGUUUUUGCCUUGGAUAAGUUUCGCGCUUACUUGGUGGGGUCCUUCAUCAUGGUUUUUACUGAUCACUUUGCUUUGAAGUAUCUGUUGACUAAGCAAGAUGCUAAAGCAAGGCUGAUUAGAUGGAUUCUCUUACUUCAAGAGUUCAAUCUCCAUAUCAAAGAUAAGAAAGGAGUGGAGAAUGUGGUAGCAGACCACAUUUCAAGGCUAGCUAUCGCACAUAAUUCCCAUGCUUUGCCCAUUAAUGACGAUUUUCUAGAGGGGUCUCUCAUGUUGGUGGAAGUUGUCCCUUGGUACGCUCACAUUGCUAACUACCUGGUCACGGGAAAAGUUCCAAGUGAGUGGAAAGCACAAGAUAAGAAGCACUUCUUUGCAAAAAUUCAUGCCUACUAUUGGGAAGAGCCAUUUCUAUUCAAGUAUUGUAUGGAUCAGAUAAUAAGGAAGUGCGUUCCUGAAGAAGAGCAACAGGGGAUCCUUAGUCAUUACCAUGAAAAUGCAUGUGGAGGCCACUUUGCUUAUCAAAAGACAGCCAUGAGGGUGUUGCAAUCGGGUUUCUGUUGGCCAUCACUUUUCAAAGAUGCCCACACCAUGUGCAAGAGUUGUGAUCGAUGCCAGAGGCUUGGGAAGUUGACACGCAGGAACAUGAUGCCUUUGAACCCCACUUUAAUAGUUGAUAUUUUUUAUGUUUGGGGCACUAACUUCAUGGGACCUUUCCCUAUGUCUUUUGGCUACUCUUACAUCUUGGUAGGAGUAGAUUAUGUUUCUAAGUGGGUUGAGGCAGUCCCAUGCAAACACAAUGACCAUAGAGUGGUUCUCAAGUUUCUUAAAGAGAAUAUCUUCUCAAGAUUUGGGGUGCCCAAAGCCAUAAUUAGUGAUGGGGGUACUCAUUUUUGCAACAAGCCUUUUGAAACUCUCCUAGCCAAGUAUGGGGUGAAGCAUAAGGUAGCUACACCUUACCACCCUCAAACUCAUGGACAAGUUGAGUUAGCAAACAGGGAGAUUAAAAACAUAUUGAUGAAGGUGGUGAACACAAACAGAAAAGAUUGGUCAGUCAAGCUUCUUAAUUCACUAUGGGCAUAUAGAACAACUUACAAGACCAUUCUCGGGAUGUCUCCUUAUCGCCUAGUUUAUGGCAAAGCAUGCCAUCUCCCUGUGGAAUUGGAAUACAAAGCUUGGUGGGCAAUCAAGAAGCUCAACAUGGAUUUGAGCAGAGCUGGGUUGAAGAGGUUCUUAGACCUUAAUGAGAUGGAGAAAUUGAGAAAUGAUGCCUACAUCAAUUCAAAAAUUGCAAAAGAAAAAUUGAAGAGGUGGCAUGAUCAGUUGAUUUCCCGCAAGGAUUUUCAAAAUGGACAAAGAGUCUUACUUUAUGACUCUAAACUCCACAUCUUUCCGGGCAAGCUGAAAUCAAGGUGGAUAGGUCAUUUUACCAUUCACCAAGUGCAUUCAAAUGGAGUAGUGGAACUACUCAACUCCAACAAUAUCGAGAACUUCAAAGUGAAUGGCCACCGUCUCAAGCCCUUUGUGGAGUCUUUUUCUCACAACAAGGAGAAAUUCAUCCUCCUUGAUCCACAUCAAGCUUAACAAGACCAAUUUUCUUGAUGGACUUAGUCUUUCUAAAGACUAUCGAGUCCAUAACUUUUUGUUUUAUUUUUUAUUUGAGAUUUUUUCGGUAUUGUUACUUGUUUUGUUUUUUAUUUUUCGUUUUAAUUUUAUUUGGUUUGAUUUAACUUAGGUUUUUGAUGAUCAAUUACAGGGGGGAUUUCAAAUAGAGGAAAAACCAAGAUAAUUCGCACACCCUACGAAAAUUUCGCAAGGCAUGCGAAAUUUAUGGCUUAUUUUGCAUGGGGUGAAAAUUUUCGUACAUCUUACGAACCAAUUUCGAACACUUUGCGAAAAUAAACCAACCCUGCGAAAUCAUUUCGAUUACUCUACGAAAUUUUCGUAGAGCAUGCGAAAAAUUUAGCACACCAAACACCAUUUCGCAUACUAUGCAAAAACCUAAGGGGUCUGCGAAACCAUUUCGCACCUCCAAAUCCAUUUCGCACAUUGUGCGAAAACCAAGAGGCGCUGUGCGAAAAUGAAAAGUCGCCCUGUCAUCCCUUUUUAAACCCCUCGAGCCCUAAAAUCUCCAUUUCGCAAGCACCCCUGUCCUUGCGAAUCCCUCAUUUUCCUCUACUACCUUGCAACCUCGUCCCUUUCCAUUUGAUAUUGUGCCCCGCGCACAUCUCAUUUCAGAGACUCGCACUCCGCGCCCCCUCAAAGCAUGGACUCGAGACCCACCUUCCAUUUCCGACGUGGCACGGACCCAAGGAGCCCUUUCUGCCCCUUCACUAAGACACACACCAAGGCAGAAAGCCUCCUUUGCUCAAGUGCCUAGUGAUUCUCCAUCUUAGGCCUCAGAGGCCUCGGAGGCCCCGUGGAUUCCACCUUCCGAGGGUAGAGCAGCCAUUGGUCCUUCCUCUUCUACUCCUUAGCGUAGAUACGAGACGAGGAGACCACCUACUACACAAGGGGCGACUACUUCGAGCCUUGAGAAUUCAGUACGAUGCCUUCCUGCCAAGAGGGUCAAGACUUCAGGUCCAAGUGAGUCAUCCAGAGCUUCAUAGCCUAAGCCUCCUGUAGAUUCCAAGGUUCCUACUGACAUAUCACCGGAGUCUAUUAUCAGAAGCCCGAUGCUCAUAGCACCGCCCAUUGAGGGCAACUCAGAUUAUAGAGCGAGAUCUUUCCACUUGGAGCUAUAUUUUGAUCAGGAGGCCAUACGACAGCAGCCUGAGCUCCGAGACUCUUAUGGCUUACUGCAGAGGUACCAUCUUGAGGAACUUAUGACUCCUCGUGAGUUUUUUUAUCCCAGAGUAGCACUAAACUUUUACCAGUCCAUGACUACUCGUGGCGUCCCGAGUCCUACCACGAUUCACUUCACCAUUGAUAGACGUCAUGGUAUCCUCAAGGCCAGACAUAUUACAGAGGCUCUACAAAUUCCUUUCGAGCUAGAGGAUCCAUCUGUUUUUCGCUAAUGGUCCCCAGUAUCUCAGAGGGACAUGGUCCGUAUUUUAUCUAGGGGAACAUCUACAGAUUCGAUCUUUCUACGGAAGGAGCUUCGACCUGGGAUGCUCCUCUUAGAUGUGGUGCUAUGCUCCAACCUCUUUCCCUUACAACAUUCGGUACAUAGGUGAUGAGCUAUUUUGGACGCUUUAUUCCGUAUAUCAGAGGGCUUCUACUUUGGCCCGCACCACUUGAUCAUGGUCUCCCUCAUCCACUUUGAGGAGAAGGUUCAUAGGAAGAAGCUUCAGAGGGUGGACACCAUUCCAUUACUAUUCCUGAGGUUACUUUGCCAGGUCUUGGAGUACAUGGGCUUUCCUACUGAGCCUCGGCUCGAGCUUUGCCGCCUUUGUCGAGAGUGAUCCACUCUCGACAAAUGGAAUUAGUUGGCGGGCUAUUCUGCACCUCCAGGAGCCCCUCCCAUGGUAGCACCUCCAAUGUCCCCACAGGCAAAGUAGGGCGAGCUCCCGGCAAAGACUGUACCACCAAUGCCCACACUUGAGGCUAUUUCUGCUGCUCUGCCUAUGACUCCUACUGUUCCACCAGUUGGUCCUUUUACAUCCGAGCCUUCCAUCACCAUCUCGGCUUCGGAGUUUCGCGCCCUUGUGCAUACCUUUCAGACACUCACCACCACACAUACUCCUCUCUUCUAGCAAAUGGUUGAGAUGUGUGCCCAUCAGGACCGGAAGACUACUAUACUCUGCCAAAUUCAGCAGCACCUAAGACUUUUGCCUCAACCUCAACCUAACCAUCCCAUAUCAUCAGAGCCUCUAGCUCCAACUGAGGAUACUAUUCCACCUGAGAACACUACCACAGUAGAGGUCCGGUUUCCACCACCUUAAGAGGCCACCACAGCUACAUCAGAGGAUGUGUCAUCUCCACUUGAGGCUCCCACUACUUGAUCAUAGGACAUAUCUUUAUCUUAUUGUAUUUACAUAUUAUAUUACUAGAGAUUUGUCCUUGUUUUGAUACUUUAUAUUCUGGGAUUGGAUGUAUUGCCUGAUGAUAUCUCAAUUGUACUUUCUCAUAUUAAUAUAUAGACAUCAAUUUUUUUUAGUAUACUUAGCAUUUUUCUAUUUCCUCUACUCAUUACUCUUUUGUUUUUUUUUACUCAUGUGGUUUCUCUUAUACAACUCAGACUCCAUUUCACUCAGGAGGUACCACUUCCUCCCUUUAUUUUCAAUUGCUCUUGAAAUAUUGAGUGCAAUGUUGAUCUUGGUUGGGGGGAGAGUUGAGGAAGGAAGUUUUGUUAAUAAUGCUAGGUUAAUUUGUUAAUUUAGUUACUUUCUGCUUAAUUUUAAAAGUUUUCACUCUACUUUCCAUGGUUAUUAAGGAAAAAUUCUCAAAAUGAAAUGGGAGAAAUCGAAUUCUUGCAUUUUUACUUGAAUCUUAGAAUUUGUAUCAUGCUUAUUAAAGUUGAUGAAUUAUUGAAACUCCUAUUGAAUUCAACCUUAUUUUUUCCACUUUAAUCUUACCACACACGGUGCACAUUAGGUUCCAGUUAUAAGAUAAAAAACUAUCUCACCCCCUAAACUUAGAAAAAUUUACACUUGGUACCUUUGACAUCGUUUUAAUAGUGUUGGGACACCUUAUAAAAGGCCAAUGAGCCUUUAAAAAAAAAAAAAAAAAAAAAAAGAGAAAGAACAAAGUAUUGCACUUGCCUUGAAACCUGAGCAAGAUCCGAGGGGUAUACAGUGAAAGUCUUUAAAACCUGGUGCCCUAAGCCUUGAUUGGUUGGGAGUCACCGACCUCAAUGCUCGUUAUAAGGGUGAAUAGGUGGAGUUUAACAUAUUGUAGGUGCUUGGGUAUUGAAUUUCAAUCUCAAAAGUCCGGGAAAAAAUCUAAGGAGUUAGUGGUCAAAAGAUCCUUAAAGCUUGAUGCCCUAAACCUUGAUUGGUUGAGAGUCAUUGAUGGAUCCCCGCUACAUGGACAUUUUAGAAAACAAUACCUUUAGCAUUGCACGCCUACAAUGAAAAAAAAAUGUGAAAUAAAAGAGGUGCGUUCUUAGCCUAUUGGAGGUUGGUCAGUUUGCUAAAGUUUGAGAAAUCUAGGUUGGGGGGAGAGAAUAGUCCGACAUACUAUAAUAAAAAACUAAUAACCUUAACACUUAGAUUUUUGUGGAAGAGUAAGGAUUGGACCUUUAGGGGUGGAAAUUCUUUUGAUGCUUAAAUUUGCAUAAUGCCUACUCUUUAUAAAUUAUGAUUAGGCAAGAGAUUUGAUGACUCUUGUUCAAAGUUGGGUUUUUCCUCUUUGAUGUUCCAUGAGAGAGUAUAAUCCUCAUCAUGCCACUUGAAAUCUUUUUGGAGUGAUUAACAUGAUUUUGUAAAUUAUUUUACUGUCUAUUUUUCUUUAUCUCUCUUUUAUUGCUAAUGGACUAGCAAUAUGUCAGUUGGGGGGAGUGAUUACUACUCAAAAAGUACUCUUUUAUAGCUUGAAACUAACUGUUUUAAACACUUUUGAGUAGGUGUUAAUACAUUUUAACUCAAUUGGCACAUUAAGGAACCUAACAAGGGUUACUAAUAAGUUUUUGGCAAGUUUUGGUGUUUUUGGUAGCUAUUUGAUCAUUGAAACAAGCCAAGAAUGAGGGAGAAUUUUGUGAAGUCCAUAGCAAUGCAAGUUAAAGCUCAAAUACAUGAAGAAUCCAAGCUUUGAAGCACUUCAUAGCCCUUUGCGAAGCCAAUCAGAGAUGCAAGGAAGAAAACCAGAGGAAAAAAUCCAACAACCAGCAUUUUCGCAUGGCUGUGCGAAAUUUUGCACACCAUGCGAAACCACAAGAAGUAGCCAAAGAAUUUUGCACACCAUGCGAAAUUUCGCAUGGUAUACGAAAUCUUCCUAUGCACCAACUCCGUUAUAUUUUUAUCUUCAGAUAUUUUGUGUAAUUUCCUAGUUUCUCCUUGUAACCAACCUAGAUAUUUUCUUUUAUAUCUUUUUUUUAUAUUUUUUAGGUAACAUCAUAUAUAGGGGGAGAGACAUAAGGAGGAUAUGGAUGUUUUUCAUAAAACACUUUUAAUUUUCUGGUAGUAAGAAAUAUACAAAGUUUUUUGCUCUGCCUUACCUUCUCAUUUUGUUUUCACCUAUCUUUCUAGCCAAACAACCUCUGAGAAUGAUUUCUCAGGGGAUGAGUAGUUAGGUUUUACGUUUCUUGGAGUGAGAGAAGCUAGGUGAAAGACCCAAAUGCUAAGGUGGGAGUUGUCCUUGCUUUAAAUGAAAGUAGUUGUUAAAUAUUAAUGGUUUUUAUUUUAAGGUUUAGCUUUAAAUCCCUUAAAAACACCUUGAAUGGCCAAUACUUGGUAAGCUUUUCGGAUUCUAUGGAUGCUUAUUGCUAGAUCCAUGGAUGUCAUUAGUUAUCAUUUAUGAGCCAUUGGAAGGUGGUUCAAGAUGAGAGUCUUUAGUGUUUGAAGCCAUUAAUGGGAAACAAUUACCAUUUUUUCAUGAAUCCUUUGGAUAAAAUCUUAAUUGCUAAAUAUAAAACUGGUUCGGGAGAUAACCAUCCUUUAUGUUAUUAUGCCCAAUGCAAGGAGAAGAUUUCGAAUCUUCUCAUUUGUCUAAGGAACCCGAUCCUAGUGACCUAAAGCUCCUAGAGACCUUUUCUUUGUAGUUAACUUCAUUUAUUGUUUUUGCUUAACUUAAAAUCAAUCUUUGCAACCACAAUUCCAUUUUCUUUAAAAGCUAAUUUUUAUAAGGAAAAGCACCAUUUUAUUUCCUUCACUAAGUCAACUGUAUGAUGAAAACCCAUCCCUGUGGACGAUCUUAGAGCCACUAUACUAUGUUAUCUAUGCUAUCCUAGUGUGAGGUGAUUUAGGUUUUAUAAAUUUUGUUGAUAACACCCGUCUGAGCCAGAAUCAAAUGGAACCACUGAACCAGGGACAAAUCAACAGCCUAUAUGGGAGGGACACAAGUUUAAUUGAUUUGCAUUUCAGCGUUAUAGAUAAGUAUGUUUUGGAAGAUUUGUUCUGGAAAUACUGCACCAAGUACGAUUCUUUUUCUCUUGAGUGAGUCCAUUUGCAUGCCAAUUAACGAGUUGAAAAGUAGGAGCACCUACCUCGUGCUCAUGGAACCGAAUGUCAGUGAAGUGGGGCUCCUUUUAGCCUCUUGUGUUUCUGUUCCAACCAAGGCGGCGUAGGGAAAAACAACAAUAUGUCUGUGCUAAAUAUCAACGCAUGAUAGAUGUUUUUUUUUUUUUUUUUGGUAUGUCAAGGCUAACGAAUGAAAUGCAUUAGCUUGUUUUGUGACUAUAACUGCAAAUGUCCAAAUUGGAGUAUCUCCAUUUCUCACUUCGGAUGGUUAACUUUAUAAACAAGAUAUAGGAAACAUGUGAACAUCUUGAGGAACAAUUCAAAUUAUUCAUUAGAAGUCCUGGGUUAAGUUCCAAGAUUUAAAUCAGACCCUUCUAGCAGCUUCAAGGGUACUUAGCAACCUAUAACAUAUUAAUGAAGAUUUAGGAUUUAGACUCCGGAAUACAAAUAAAUAUGUAUCUCAUGCUUUGACUAGCUUCCCUACAUAUGCAUAAAAUGGAGAUGACCCAAAAAAAAUAGCAGAAUCUAGCUUCCCUACAUAUGCACAAAAUGGAGAUGACCCAAAAAAUAGCAUAAUCGCCUUAGUUUCUGUGGUUAAGGUGAUUCUCCGCUUAAUAUCCACAUUGACUCAUUAUGCAAAAUCAACUGAGCUAAUUUUAUUUAUUUAUUUAAUGUCAAAUAGGAACUCCUAAUUAACUGAUUACUGUCGAAAAGUGCUAUUUUGUAGACCUAAUUAUAAGGGUUUUAAGCACCUUUGAGUAGUAAUCAUAUUCAUUUAACCUAAUUAAUUCAUUAAGCUCCUUAGUAAUUAGUUCUAACCAUUUUUAGUGGCAAGUUUACAUGUUUUUCAUCAGCUUAUGAACCAAUUCAAGCAUGCCAAUUGAUGGAGGAGCUACUUGGGCGAGUUAAGCAAGGAUUUUGGACGUUUACAGGCUUGAAUUUCAAGUGGAAACACGAGCACAAGCAAUGGGAACACCAUUUCGCAAGGGGAGGCAAUUCACCUUGCCAAAUGACCAAUUUCGCAAGGGGAUUUUCCUCAUGGUGCAAAAUUUGGUCAUUUCGCACCAUGAAGAAACCACCUUGCAAAAUUUCGCAAGGUGGAUUUAGGCACCUUGCGAAAUGCCAAAUUUCACAAGGUGGCUUUUCACCUUGCGAAAUUUGGACCUUUCAUCUUCCCCCCUUGCGAAAUGCCUUUGAAAUCCCCUGUUUUGAGACGCUGUUGAUGAUAUUCCACUGCCGGUUCUCCAAGAUAUUUUGCUUGACUUUUAGCUUUAUAAAUACCUAUUUUACCCUUGUAAUCAACCAAUGAAAAGGUUGCUUUUGUAAUAGCUCUUGUAAUUUAGCUUUUUAUUGUCUUUAAAUAGAGGUGAAGAGCCUCAGACACGAUCAUCUUGUAACCUGUAACUUUAUAAGUUAUAAGAGCACUUUUGUUCAUACGCUUCUUUUCUCUUUUCUUUCUCAUUUUCUUAGUAGCCAAACAUCCUUGGAGGAUGAAAUCCCCAAGGAUGAGAGGCUAAAACCUUUUAGUUUCUUGAAGUAAUGGAUGCCAUGUGAAGCUCCCGUGUCAGGAUGGAGAUUUCCAAGCCAUAAAUGUAAGUAGCUGAGCGUCAUAAAUGUUUUCAUUCAAAGUAAAGCUUUUAAUCCCUCUGACUUGCUUUGAAUGGCCAAUACUUGAUAACCUUUUGGUCUCAAUGGAUUCUUAUUGUUAGAUCCACUGACGUUCAUUAGUUAUCUCCUACGAGCCAUUGUAUUGCAAGUCGAGGAGAUGACCUAUACCAAUAAAAGAGCAUUUAUGAGGUUCAACUACCCUUUUUGUAAGUUUUCAAGGACUAAAACUCAGUUGUUAAACUCAUACCGGUUCGAGAAGUAAGCAUCACCUUAGUUGCUUCCCCAACUCGAGGUGAAAAGUCCCAAAAUCUCCAUUUUUACACAGUGAGUUAAGCAUGGCUAUCCAAAGCUUUAAGAAACUUCUUUUUCCAUCUUUUAACCUAUUUUCAUGUUAGUUUAGUUUACAACACCUUCAUCUUUUUAUGUUUUCAUCUUAACCUAAUUUUUAUUAAGAAAAGUUCACUCCAUCCUCCGAACUUCACCAGUUAAAGUAAAAACCCUUCCCAGUGUUCGAUCCUAGAGCCACUAUGCUAUAGUAGCUUUGCUACUUUAGUGUAAGGACCUUAGGUAUAAAUUUUGUUGAUACCCUUACAUGCCAAGCUACCAAGAGUCGGGUUAUCAUUAACCUAACCAUUGGCCUGUGUAAAUUGAUUUCACAUGCACAAUGUUGUAGUAGAAGUCCAUAUUUUGAAUUUUAUUUUUGUAAAGGUAAGGAAAAUGAAGCAUUGUGUAAUUAUAAAAAUAACUUCAUUGGAAUUCACAAGGUUCACCCAAAAUGGAGCUACAUCUGUAUUCUAUCCUACAGUAGACUAUAUAGAUUGUACAAUAGUAAAUUGCAAAUACAAUUAAUAAGUCUUGUGCUUCCUUACUAAUAAUCCUUUGACAUGAACAUUGCAGCACUAAGGUCCUCUUGGGAAGACACCUUGCACCCAUGAGAGCACUAAGAGGAAGCAAGGCAGAGUCAUGGGUGCAAUGUCAUGACUUGUUGUUGCACCAAGAGAGGCUUGGUGAUGCCAUGGUGUUGCAGUAGCAAGAAUGUUGCCUUGGCAGGGACACGAUCUAGGGAUAGAUGCCAAGAAAGGCUUAGCACUCACAUGAGUUGCACAAAGAUGAAUGUAAUAGAGCAUCAGAGAGACGUCUUGGCAAGUAAAUGAAUGGAUCCAAGAGACAACAACAUGAGGAGUUUCAAAUGGAUAAGGAAUGACUCAAAGACAUUUGAAAGCUACAAGUUGGAUUCUAAUUACGAUUGCAAUUUGAGUUUGAGUAGGAGUUUAGAUUUUGAUUGUAAUUGUAGUAUGAGUUGGACUAGGAUUGCUUAUCCUUAGUCAAUAUAGGAGCGGUUCGUGUCACCCUAUGAAAAGAGUUUGAGUAGGGACUAGGAUUGCUUACUCCUAGUCAAAUAUGGAGUAGGUGGUGCCACACCUAUAAAAAAAAGGGACAACAUGAGAGAGAGAGAGAGAGAGAAAGAGAGAGUGAAUUCACUAAAGAUAUUGUGGGAGUUUUGCUUUGUUACGUCUUGUAUUAUUACUUAGAAUAGGAAUAAAAUACAAGUUGGGGCUAGAGCCCCAUAAUUAAUCUCGUGUGCCUUUGUGGUUAUUCUUUAUUUGUCAUCUCGUGUGGAUUGGAUUAGGUUGACUUAGAGGGCUUCUAAGCACCACCUUUGUGGGUUAUUAUUUAUUUUCCAUCUCUUGUGGAUUAGAUUAGGUUGACUUAGAGGGCUUCUGAGCACCACCUUUGUGGGUUAUUAUUUAUUUUCCAUCUAUUGUGGAUUAGAUUAGGUUGACUUAGAGGGCUUUUAAGCACCACAUUUGUGGGUUAUUCUUUAUUUUCCAUAUCGUGUGGGUUGGAUUAGGUUGACAAGGAGAAAAAUUAUGUGGGAAAUUUGUGUUGGGACACUUACCAUAACCAAGUAAAAUCUACCAAGUCCUUUGUAAUAUCUUCAACAAAUAUUUUAGACUAGUUCUUUCAGUUAGUGUAAAGGAGGAAGAAGUGGUAUUGAUUCUAGAAAUAGGGUGUGUGUAUUUGAACUACAAUCCUUAUGAUCCUUAGGUCUCUAAACCUUCGUGAUGGGCUCCCUGACAUUUCAUAGGUUGUGCUACACAUGCGUUUGAAAUUUAGAGUGCGUUUGACAGUGAUUCCGGGAAGUGUUUUUGGCCUUUCUUACACUUGAAAAUUUUUAUUUUUCAAGUAUUAGAAAUGCUACAAACACUUUUGAAAAUUACUGUCAAACACACUCUUAGGAGCGCACAUAUAUAGUAGAAAACUAGAAAUUGUGGUUUUUUUAGGAUUUACUGUAAUGUCAUUAGGAGGGUAGUAAGUUGAAAUUGAGUAUGAACAAAUAUUUCUUUCUUUGGGAUGUUCUUCUAGUAGGUGCUGAUGAAACUGUUCUUUCUACUGCCAAUGUCACAUAUCAGCCAGAAAUUGAAAAUUUCAGUCAAGGUGUCCUCUGUUUUAGUGGUGAGGAAAGCUAGAAAUUUUAAGGUGAAGUUUUGUUAAAAACCUUAAGUAGCUGGGAUAUCAGGCCUGUUUUGCUUGAAAAAAAAAGUUGCAAGAUAACUCAUAUGCCAAACAGGUUCUGAUAUUGUGAAUCUAUCGGCAGACAUCAGUAAUCUCAUCUUCUGAGAUGGAUGUUGGGGGUGCAUGUGGUGGUGGAGGGGCAAGGUUUCAUUUGGUUUAUUUUGUUGAUGGAUAUUGUCUAGCCACCUGCGCCAAGUUUGAGGGGUGGUGGGUUGUGAUGACCCUACAAUUACUAUUAAUUUCUUCAUCUUUUACCGAUUAAAGUGUCCGAACAGUCGAAGUUACCCUUAUGCAUGUCAACUUGAUCACUUACCUCUUCAAUGGAGUUUAUGCUGGUUCAUUUAGGAACUGAUUUUUAUUGUUAUGUAUUAUAUGCUGAUGUUUAGGUCUCUCCAUCAUCACUAUAUACAAAAAUUCUAGGUUGAUACUAUAGGUUGAGAUUUAUUUUUUAAAUAAAAAAUAAUAAAAAUAAAAAUUAUGGUGAUGUUUAGUUGUUUUAUGGAAAAUUUUAACAAGUAAAAGUUAUUUUUGGGCAAGUUUUCAAACAAAAAGAAAAGUAAAAGUUGUUUUGACAAAAACAUAUAGAAAAAAAAAUCAUAGAAAAUAAAUAAUUUCCCCAUAUUCUAACUUUUUUGAAUUUUUCUCAAUGGGCAAAGGAAUAUCAAAUCAAGUUUGAGUAGGAUUUCUUAAUUUUUAAAAUAACUUACAAUUAAAAAAUUUUGGUGUUUUCAUUUUUGGACAAUUUUUUAUUAAGCAAAUGGACUCUGAGUCAUGCAAGAGAUAUGGUUCAUUAACCGGUCGAACAAUUUUUUUAAAUUAAUUUAAAAGUCAAAUACAUAAUCAAUUUCACAAAAUUUAUAAACAAAAAUAGGUUUAGAGAAGAUCUACACAUAAUUUUACUUUUCUAAUUUUAUUUUAUUUUAUUUUUUGUUGGAAAAUAGUCUUCAAAUCAUGUAAGAUUUAAUAGGUUAAAUUUGUUAACAAUAAAUUUUAAAUUAUAAAAUAUAAUCUGGAACUCAAAAAUCAAUUCAAGUAAUGCUAAAAAAAAAUCAAAUUUGGUAUAGAAUGACUUUGUAAAUUUUUUUACAAAACAAAUGAAUUUUAAAUCAAGUGAGAUUUAAUGCAUUAGAUUUUUAUCAAAUAUAGUAAUUUUAAAAAUAAAUUUGGAACUCAACAAUAGACACAAUAAAUACCAAAAAAUAAUGAACCAAAAUUGGUUUGGAAUAACUCCACAACCUUUUUUUUUUUUUUUUGGUGCACACGAAUUUUCUUACUAGGUAUAUUGCUUUCAAAUUGAGAAAGAUUUACCAUUUAGAUUUUUUUUUAAUGAGUUUAAUGGUAUUUUAAAAUAAUUCAAAAUUUAAAAAAUUGACUAAUUAAUAUUAUAAAUUGAUAAACCAAGACUAUUUCAAAAUGCAUUGGGGGCUAAGGGGGUUGAAAAUAGGGACAAUGGGAUGGGUUUGGGACAUGACACUCAUAUCUCAUUUCCAUUCCAAUUACACAGUUAUCUCCCAUCCUUAUCCCAAACUUGUGUUGGAGCAAGUUGAUUUGUUCCCAUCUUUGUUGACGAAAUGACUAAUAACCUCAUCCCCUCCUUAUCUUAGAUGUACAUUUUGUCAAAUUUGAUCAGGUAUGAUUGAUCCAAGCCCUAACCCUAAUUGGUAAUGAGUGAAUACUACACCUAAUUGCAUUCUUCUUUCAUUGCAAAAUAAUGAGAUUAUAAUAAUCUAGCAAAUAAGAAAAAAUAGUAUGGAAGUUCAAAUUAACACCAUAACUAUCAAUAAUUUUAAGCUUAUAGAUGACUUAAAUGAUUAAAAACUAAUGCAAAAUCCUAAAAAAAAUAAAAAUCAUAUAAAGAAUUCACAAGAGAACAGAAUGAACAAAAACCAAAUAUGAACAUGGGUCAACAUUAGUUAUGGAUUUGGAUUCCUUUCAAGGCCAAUCUUUGAACCAAGACUUCAUCAAAUCAACUACUUCAAAGGCUUUUGUGUUCUUCUUGGGUUGUGCUCUCAAACAAAGACUUCGAGGUGAUGUUCUAGAUGAUUGAAUUACACAUAUUUAGGGUGGAGAGAUUGGAGAAGCUUGAAGAUGCCAACGAUGGGUACAAUUGAGUGGUCAAUAAGAACAAUGUAGCCUAUGACUAGUUUGAUGUCAUGGUACAAGAGUUUUAGGCAUUGAGGUUAAAGCAAGAGCAACAUGGAAUUGAUUUCGGAGUCUUUCAGUUAGUGUAAAGGAGGAAGAAGUGGUGUUGAUUCUAGAAAUAGGGUUUUAAGUGGUGCGUGAUUACUACUCAAAAAGUGCUAUUUGAUAGCCUUUAAUUAAUCCUUUUUAACACUUUUGAGUAGUAGUUUAGGCCUUUUAACUCAAUUGGCAUGUUAAGGAUCCUUUAAAGCAAUUUUGAUCACUUUGUGCAAGUUUUGGUGUUUUUGUUAGUAUUUUGAUCACCAAAGCAAGUCAAGAAUGAGGAGAACUAUGAGGAAUCAUGGGCAAAGCUUAGAAUUCAAUUGCCAAGAGUGAAUCCGGAUUGCAAGGAGAAAAAGCAAAGAGAAUCUGUCAUGAAGCCUAUUCUUGAUGACAGUCGUAGCAGCCACUUUUGGAGCACUUUCUGAAGUCCAAAUGAUGCAAGCUAUAUACCAUUUCAAAGAUCAGGAAGUCAACAAUCCAAUGCUUCAAACGGUGCGCGAUUCGGAGUUGAAACGAAGAAGUUGCAGCCAUUACAAGCCAGUCACUCUAAAGUGUUGCGGAAUCAGCCUUUUGUUGCGAGAAUUUCGCAGCACUUUUGUACAGUAAGGUGUUUCUCCUUCUGACGAUGCACGAACCAUGCCGCGAGAGGGAAGCUAGGAACUUCAAGAUGGAAGCCAACUUUGCAGCCUGGUGAAGAUAGCUUGGUCUUGCGAAAUAAUUUCGCAGCCCUCUUGGGUGUCUGCGAAAUUUCGCAGGCACCACUUUUUUCCUGCGAAAUGGCUCCGGAAGCCUCCCGAAGCUUGCUACCGACAUUGGGAGAUAUUUUCCAUUAGAUUUUUGUUGUCUAAAUUCCAAAAUACUCCUUGUAAACCACCAAUUACAUGAUUCCUUAGUUUUUAAGUUAGUAAAAAGACCAAAUAUCUAUGUAAUAAUUAGUUUUAUAUUAGUUUGCUAUAAAUACCUCUCGGGAGCAUGUUCUCAGAGAGGAGUUCCUUCUGUAACCAUUUUGGUAAGCAAGUAAAGUCUUUUCUUUCUACUGCCUUACCUUCUCACUUUGUAUUUUCAUUUUAUUUCUAAGUUAUGAAUUCUCUGAGGAGCUUUCCCCAGAGAAUGAGUAACUAAACCUCCAAUUCCUUGGAGCUAAGGUUGCCGGGGAAGGUUCCAAGUGCAAGAAUGCAAAGCUCUGUGGUUUUAGCUAGUAAUGAAGAGGAAGUGAAAUCCUUUAGUGAUUUCAAUGUUUUUAGUUAACUUAAAACACCUUGGAGUCACCUGGGCCAACACUUGGUAAGGCAAGUGAUUUCCAACCGUGGAAAUGCACUAGUUUACCCCUUGCGAGCCUCUGGUAGGUGACUUCAAGGUAGGAUUUUCUGGAAUUACCAACACUUGGUAAGCUUUUGGACUCCUAGGAGACAUCCAUUAGUUAUCUCUUGCGAGUUUGUGAAGGGGAAUCCAAGGUUAAAGAUCACCUUGAAUGGUAAGUGCUCGUGAGAGGCAUGAACCAUUGCAAGUUGUAUCAGUGAGAGAAUUAAAGUGAAAUCUAAUUGAAGGAGUCUCUGUACAUCACCGGUUAGAGAAUUGACUAUAAGUUGAAUCUCUAAUGCGAGGAAAUGAACCAUCUGACCGGAGCUAUGUCUUUUGCAUGAGGAACCACCCCAGUGAACCUAAAUCUCCAAGGAAUGCUUUUCUUCCUAAAUUAUUCCAAACUUCUGUUAAGUUAGUUAGUUUAAGUCUAAACCUUUACCAAUCAAACUUUGUGUUUUAUUUCUUAAGCUAACCGUGAAAUGAAACAAAACCAAUUCACUUGGAAUUGGUAUCCUUGAUUGCUUGCAAAUCAUUCCCAGUGAACGAUCCUUAGAGCCACUAUACUAUAGUAGCUUUGUAUUUGCUACCCUAGUGUAUGGUGUUAUAGGUAUAAAUUUUGUUGAUCACUUCCUCAAUCAAGGAACACCAGCUGAACACAAAUCAGCUGAGACACCAAUUGGGCAUGAGUCAAAUGGCGCCGUUGCCGGGGAAUGAGUGUCAAGAUCAUUGUGAUACCAUUUUUGAGCACUUGUGAUUUUCAUCACAAGUUGGUAAAGUUUCUUUCACUUUACUAAUUUUCAUUCUCUCUUUGUUUAUUUACAAUCUAAGUUUAUCUUUUUAAAAUUUAGUCUAGUUUAAUUUUGCUAUUGUAGCCUUGUUUCUCUUGUUGUCCUCUGUUCUUGUUGUCCUCUGUUUUCAUUUUAGUUGCAGCUGAAUACUAGUUGUGUAUGCCAAAGUGGAUACGAGACAUUGGAGGUAGGCUUAUUAAGUGUGAUACACCUCAGAGAGGAGAAUUGGAAGUAAUCUUGAAUAUCAUGGAGGCUGCACCUGAAGAUCAGCAUAGUCACCAAGGUCGUCAAGACAAUCUCAAUGAAUUCAGAUCAAUGAGGGACCGUAUGCAUCCACCUCGUAUGAGUGCACCAUCAUGUAUAGUGCCCCCUACAGAGCAACUAGUGAUCAGACCAUAUCUUGUUCCACUUCUACCAACUUUCCAUGGGAUGGAAAGUGAGAAUCCGUAUGCACACAUCAAGGAAUUUGAAGAUGUUUGUAAUACAUUCCAAGAGGGAGGAGCUUCAAUUGAUUUGAUGAGGCUUAAGUUAUUUCCUUUUAAUUUAAAGGAUAAGGCCAAAAUUUGGCUUAAUUCUUUAAGGCCAAGGAGUAUCCGCUCUUGGACUGAUUUACAAGCUGAAUUCCUCAAGAAAUUUUUUCCUACUCAUAGAACAAAUGGCUUGAAAAGGCAAAUUUCAAACUUCUCAGCUAAAGAGAAUGAGAAAUUCUAUGAGUGUUGGGAAAGAUACAUGGAAGCUAUAAAUGCUUGUCCUCACCAUGGCUUUGAUACUUGGCUACUGGUGAGUUAUUUUUAUGAUGGUAUGUCCUCCUCAAUGAAGCAACUCCUCGAGAAAAUGUGUGGAGAAGAUUUCAUGAGCAAAAAUCCAGAGGAAGCUAUGGAUUUCUUGAGCUAUGUAGCUGAUGUUUCAAGGGGAUGGGAUGAACCAACUAAAGGAGAAGUGGGAAAGAUGAAGUCUCAGUUGAAUGCUUACAAUGCAAAGGCUGGGAUGUAUACUUUAAAAGAGGAUGAUGACAUGAAAGCAAAGUUGGCAGCUAUGACAAGAAGAUUGGAGGAGCUGGAGCUGAAAAGAAUGCAUGAAGUGCAAGCUGUUGCUGAAGCACCAGUGCAAGUGAAGUUGUGUCCCAAUUGUCAAUCGUUUGAACAUUUGGUAGAGGAAUGCCCUGCAAUUUCAGCUGAAAGGGAAAUGUAUAGAGAUCAAGCAAAUGUUGUUGGACAAUUCAGGCCCAAUAACAAUGCUCCUUAUGGAAAUACCUACAAUUCAAGUUGGAGGAAUCAUCCAAAUUUUUCAUGGAAGGCCAGAGCAACUCAAUACCAACAGCCGGAUCCACCAUCUCAACAAUCUUCAAGUAUUGAACAAAUAAUAGCUAAUCUCAGCAAGGUAGUGGGAGAUUUUGUGGGAAAGCAAGAAGCCACCAAUGCUCGAGUGGAUCAAAGAAUGGACAGAGUGGAUCAAAGAAUGGACAGAAUGGAGAGUAUGUUGAACAAAAGAAUGGAUGGAAUGCAAAAUGAUAUGAAUCAAAAAUUUGAUAACAUCCAAUAUUCAAUUUCAAGGCUUACAAAUUUGAAUACACUGCAAGAAAAGGGAAGAUUUCCUUCUCAACCUAACCAAAAUCCCAAAGGUGUCCAUGAAGUGGAAAGCCAUGAGGGAGAAUCAUCACAGGUGAAAGAUGUGAAAGCUUUGAUCACUCUAAGGAGUGGUAAGAAAAUUGAGCAGCCAACACCCAAGCCACAUGUUGAGAAAGAAGAAGAGAUGAAGAAAGGGAAGGAAAUGGAAGAUAAAGGCAGUGAGAUCAGUGAAGAAAAGAAGGACUCUGAUGCAACAAUGAAAGUAAUUCCAGAGAAGGAGCUUCUGAAGGAAGAAAUGCUGAAGAAAUCAACUUUUCCACCUUUUCCUCAAGCAUUACAGGGGAAAAAGGGGGUUAGAAAUGCAGCUGAAAUCCUAGAAGUAUUGAGGCAAGUGAAAGUUAAUAUUCCACUGCUGGAUAUGAUCAAACAAGUUCCAACGUAUGCAAAAUUCCUAAAGGACUUGUGUACUAUCAAAAGAGGGUUGACUGUAAACAAGAAAGCCUUCUUGACUGAGCAAGUAAGUGCAAUCUUACAGUGUAAGUCUCCUUUGAAGUACAAAGACCCUGGAAGUCCUACCAUUUCAGUCAUGAUUGGAGGAAAGGUAGUGGAGAAAGCCUUGCUAGACUUGGGAGCAAGUGUGAAUUUGCUUCCAUAUUCUGUCUACAAGCAACUGGGACUUGGAGAGUUGAAGCCAACAGCAAUCACUUUGUCUCUGGCAGAUAGAUCAGUGAAAAUUCCAAGAGGGGUAAUUGAGGAUGUAUUGGUUCAAGUAGAUAAUUUCUACUAUCCUGUAGAUUUUGUUGUUCUUGAUACAGAUCCUACUGUAAAGGAAGCUAAUUUAGUUCCUAUCAUCCUUGGAAGGCCAUUUCUUGCAACUUCAAAUGCAAUCAUCAACUGUAGAAAUGGGCUUAUGCAACUCACUUUUGGUAACAUGACACUGGAUCUAAAUAUUUUCUAUAUGUCUAAAAAGCAAAUCACUCCAGAAGAAGAAGAGGGUCCAGAAGAGCUAUGUAUUAUUGAUACUUUGGUGGAGGAGCACUGCAAUCAACAUAUGCAAGAUAAGUUGAAUGAAAGUUUUGUGGAUAUUGAGGAAGGUUUUUCUGAAUCUCCUAAUGGGCUUGCUACUCUACAAAGUUGGAGAAAGAUAGAAGGAAUUCUACCUUUGUUCAAUGAAGAAGAGGAGGCAGCUGUUGAAAAAGAAAUUCCAAAACUCAAUCUGAAGCCUUUACCUAUGGAGCUGAAAUAUACAUAUCUUGAAGAAAAUAAUCAAUGUCCUGUCGUAAUAUCUUCAUCUCAAACCAAGUCUCAAGUGAAGGAUGCAAGCUUCAAAUGGGAUCCGGGCAAACUGAAUCAGGAAGGGCAAAAAGUUUUGAUGUAUGACACAAGACUCCAUAUCUUUCCUGGGAAGCUCAAGUCAAGGUGGAUUGGUCCAUUUGUUAUUCACCGAGUAUAUUCCAAUGGAGUGGUGGACUUAUUGAAUUCCAAUGGCAAGGACAGCUUUAGAGUCAAUGGAUAUCGUCUUAAGCCGUUCAUGGAGUCAUUCAAAUCAGAAAAGGAGGCAAUCAACCUCCUUGAACCUCAAAAAGCCUAAGUGAAAUGGGUUUGCUGGACGUGGUUUUACCACAGUCCAAAAAUUUUUGUAAAUUUUGUAAAUUUUCAAGUUGUUUCCAUGCUUUUAAUCUUAGUUUUUGAUUUUAAAUCAUGUUUUUAGGUGUGUUUUAAUCGUUUUAUAUGAUCCCAGGCGGAAGAAAUUUCAAGGGGAUUGAAAAGAAAAAAAUCGGGUCGAAAUUGGAGCCGAAACAGAGCAAAAACAGGGGAAAAACAGAGCUCUGCGAAAUUUCGCAGGGUGAAGGAAACUUCUGCGAAAUUGGCAUUUUGCUGCCAAACCAUUCCGCAGCACUGUAGAAGCCUCUGCGAGUGUAUUUCGCAAUUGCGAAAGUGGAUUUGGCACACGAGUGCCACUUCGCAGCACAGUGACAUCAAUUUCGCAGCUGCGAAACUCACUGCGAAGUUGCUGCGAAAAUGGCAAGUUGCUGCGAAAUUGGCGUUUUGUUGCGAAACGUAAUCUGACCCCUGGGCUUCCGUUUUUCCUAUUUAUACCUGUCAAAAGUGCUGCGAAAAAGGUUUCAAAAAUUAGAGCACCAUUCUCGCAGCCCUUUCAUCUUCUUCGCCAAGCCACGCCGUCCGUUUCUCCGGUCGUCUUCUCCGUUUAGCAGCGCCGGCCAAAGAUCGAUAGCCCAAAAAUGGCACGAACGCGAGGGGCAAAGUCUUCAUCCCCUUCGAACCGCAAAAGGAGUCUGCGAAAGGAGCCAAGUUCAGGCUCUGUUCCAGAACCUGCUCCAAAGCCUUCGCCGUCGAGACCACAACCUUCUCCAGUGAAGCCGGCGCCACCAAAGCCGCCGGCAAGGCGAUAUUUAACCAGGUCAGGUGGUCAGCCAUUGAAGAAGAAAGCCAGAGUUGAGAGCUCUGAACCAAUCGAUUUGACUGAGCAAUCCCCUGAGAAAUCACCAAAUCCUUCACCGGUACAAAUUCCAGUGCCAUCACCGGUUCCCUCGCCAAUUCCCUCACCAGAAGCAACUCCAAUUCCAUCGCCGGUACCAUCUCCGGCACCCCAAGAAAAAGCUCAGGAGCCUCAAGCGCCAAUUCCAGAGCCCCAAAUUGCAGCUGAAGCACCUCUGGAAGAAGUGAUCCGAAGGCCAAUGCUGCCUCAGCCCCCAAUCGAAGGAAACCUGGAUUGCCGAACUCGGGCAUUCCAUUCUGAGCUUUGCUUCGAUUUAACAGCAUUCAGAGUGAGGCCAGAGCUUGCCCAAUCCUUCCAACUGCUGAGGAGAUAUCAUAUGGAGCAUCUGCUAGCUCCAAGGGAUUUUUUCUAUCCCCGGGUAGUCACGGAUUUCUACCAAACCAUGACAACCAAAGAAGUAAGAAAUCCAACUCUGAUUCAUUUCAUAAUUGAUGGAAGGCAUGGUAUUUUGGGAGCAAGACAUAUUGCUGAAGCCCUGCAAAUUCCUUUUGAGCCAACUCAAUUCGACAAUUUUAAAGCUUGGACAAAUCCUACUGAGUUAGAGAUGGUUAGCACACUAACCAGAGGAGCUGCAAAUCGAUCGCAUUUGUUGAGGGGGGAGCUACCUCCAGUUAUGUUUUUGAUUGAUGCCUUUUUGAGGCAUAAUAUCUAUCCCCUGCAGCAUUGGACCCAAAGAAGGGGAAUUCUCCUAGAAGCCUUGUACAAAAUGUCUGAAGGAUUCUUCUUUGGGCCUCAUCAUCUGAUCAUGGCAGCCCUUCUAUACUUUGAGGAGAAGGUUCACAAGAAGAAGCUUCAAAGAGCAGAUUGCAUUCCACUCCUCUUCCCAAGGCUGCUAUGCCAAGUUUUGGAGCAUCUCGGAUACCCCUCUGAGCCUCAGCAGGAAAGAAAGAGAAUAUGCCGUGAGCCUUUUACCCUUGAUAAAUGGAAUAAUAUGACGGCCUACAAAAUUGAUCAGCCUGGGCAGCCUCAGCCAGCAGCAAGGAGAGUCUCCCCAAGACAUAUACCUGAAGGUAUAACACUUGCUACUCCUGCCAUCCCUCGAGCUCCACCAGCUGCACCUGCUCCAUCACAGCCAUCCACAUCAGCUGAGCCGAGGAUGGCCAUCCCUAUAUCCGAAUAUCGAGAGCUGUGCCGUGCAUUGGAGACUCUUACAGCUUCUCAGAGCAAUCUUGCUCAGGAGUUGGCAGCCAUUAAAGCAUGCCAGGAGCAGAUGUUAGCCUCUCAGACUCAACAAGCUGCCAUCCUAAGGCAGCUUCAAGUCCAUUUCGAUCUGCCACAAGCUGUAGAGCCCUCUAUUCCUACUCCACCAGAGCCACACUCUCAGCCUUCAGAGUCUCAUCCUCCAGAACCCGAAGCACCAGCUGAUCCACCUACUGAGGAGGCAGAUCCUUCUGCCUAGCACCAUCACCCCCCUCAUCAGACAUUAUAUAUAUAUUUGCUGUUUAUGUUUUUAUGCAUGUUUGUUUUGUUUUAGUUGAAAAGAAAUCCCAGUAUUUUGGUACUAUAUAUGGGAUUCCUUGUGUUACUUGUCUUUAGUAUUGUAAUCACAUGAACUCAAAGUAAUACAAGUUGACUAUUUCUUGUUAAAAGUUAGCAUUAAAGUUUCCUUAUUUCCUUUUCUCACAUAUUCUAUUCUUUUUGAAACAUGUGGUUUUCCCCAAUCAAUAUUCGAAUUUGAUAUCAGCAUGGAGGUACCACUUCCUCCCUUUUAUUACAGUCACUCAAAUCACAUUGAGGACAAUGCUCAGUUCGGUUGGGGGGUAUGAGGAAGGAAGUAUUCUAAACCUUUUUGGUAUUGCAAUUAUAUUGGUUAAUUAGUUGUAGAUUUUACUUUUUACUAGUGUUACUCUAUUCUCCAUGAAUUUUGAGGAAAAAUUUUCAAAUUAAACCAAGAGAAAUUGAACUGUUGUUUUUCACUUGACUUAGAGUAUGGAUUAUGCUUACUAAAGUGGUUCAAUUGUUGAAACUUCUACUGAAAUUGAAUUGAGUUCUUCCACUUUAAGCUAUCCACACACUGUGCACAUUAGUUUCCGAUUAUAAGAUGAAAAGCUAUUUCCCUCUUGACUUAGUAUAUUUUUGGGACUUGGUAUAUUUGACCUCAUUUGAUAAAAAUUGAAACACCCUGCAAAAGGCCAAUGAGCCUUUGAAAUAAAGAAAGUUGUUUGCUUGCCUUGAAACCCGAGCAAGGUCUGAGGGGUAUAUGGUGAAAAUCUUUAAAGCCUGGUGCCCUAAGCCUUAAUUGGUUGGGAGUCACCGACCUCAAUGCUCGUUACAAGGGUGAAUAGGUAGAGUUAGCAUAUGGUAGAUGCUUGGGUAUUAGAAAUUCAUUCUUAAAAGUCCGGGGAAAAAUCCGAGGAGUUAGUGGUUGAAAGAUCCUUAAAACUUGGUGCCCUAAACCUUAAUUGGUUGGGAGUCAUCGAUGGACCCCCAUUACAUGGACAAGUCAGAAAGAGUACCCCAUAAAGCUACCUUAAAAAAAAAAAAAAAAAAAAAAAAAAAAAAAAAGAUGAAAGUGUGUUCUUUUCUUAUUGAUUUUGGUCAGUUUGCUAAAGUGUUGAAAAGAGAUAGGUUGGGGGGUGAGAUUAGUAGCAUAUUAUUCUCGGAACCUAAGGAACCAAUACACAUAGAUUUUUGUGGAAGAUUGAAGUUUAGUUCUUAGAAAAUGAAAUGAUUUUAAAACUUCAGUUUGCAUAAUGCACUCCCUUGAUUGACAGUGUUUAGCAUAGGUGUUAUGACUCUUGUUGAGAUUUGGGUUUGUAUUUCUUUAAUGAUUCAUGUGAGAAAUAGAUCAUCAUGCCACUUGAGAAUUAUUUUCCUUUUAGCAUGAUGUUGUAAAUUUUAGAUUAGUUUGCUAUUUAUUUUUUAUUUUCUCUCCUAUAUUGCUAAGGGACUAGCAAUAUGUCGGUUGGGGGGAGUGAUUACUACUCAAAAAGUGCUAUUUGAUAGCCUUUAAUUAAUCCUUUUUAACACUUUUGAGUAGUAGUUUAGGCCUUUUAACUCAAUUGGCAUGUUAAGGAUCCUUUAAAGCAAUUUUGAUCACUUUGUGCAAGUUUUGGUGUUUUUGUUAGUAUUUUGAUCACCAAAGCAAGUCAAGAAUGAGGAGAACUAUGAGGAAUCAUGGGCAAAGCUUAGAAUUCAAUUGCCAAGAGUGAAUCCGGAUUGCAAGGAGAAAAAGCAAAGAGAAUCUGUCAUGAAGCCUAUUCUUGAUGACAGUCGUAGCAGCCACUUUUGGAGCACUUUCUGAAGUCCAAAUGAUGCAAGCUAUAUACCAUUUCAAAGCUCAGGAAGUCAACAAUCCAAUGCUUCAAACGGUGCGCGAUUCGGAGUUGAAACGAAGAAGUUGCAGCCAUUACAAGCCAGUCACUCUAAAGUGUUGCGGAAUCAGCCUUUUGUUGCGAGAAUUUCGCAGCACUUUUGUACAGUAAGGUGUUUCUCCUUCUGACGAUGCACGAACCAUGCCGCGAGAGGGAAGCUAGGAACUUCAAGAUGGAAGCCAACUUUGCAGCCUGGUGAAGAUAGCUUGGUCUUGCGAAAUAAUUUCGCAGCCCUCUUGGGUGUCUGCGAAAUUUCGCAGGCACCACUUUUUUCCUGCGAAAUGGCUCCGGAAGCCUCCCGAAGCUUGCUACCGACAUUGGGAGAUAUUUUCCAUUAGAUUUUUGUUGUCUAAAUUCCAAAAUACUCCUUGUAAACCACCAAUUACAUGAUUCCUUAGUUUUUAAGUUAGUAAAAAGACCAAAUAUCUAUGUAAUAAUUAGUUUUAUAUUAGUUUGCUAUAAAUACCUCUCGGGAGCAUGUUCUCAGAGAGGAGUUCCUUCUGUAACCAUUUUGGUAAGCAAGUAAAGUCUUUUCUUUCUACUGCCUUACCUUCUCACUUUGUAUUUUCAUUUUAUUUCUAAGUUAUGAAUUCUCUGAGGAGCUUUCCCCAGAGAAUGAGUAACUAAACCUCCAAUUCCUUGGAGCUAAGGUUGCCGGGGAAGGUUCCAAGUGCAAGAAUGCAAAGCUCUGUGGUUUUAGCUAGUAAUGAAGAGGAAGUGAAAUCCUUUAGUGAUUUCAAUGUUUUUAGUUAACUUAAAACACCUUGGAGUCACCUGGGCCAACACUUGGUAAGGCAAGUGAUUUCCAACCGUGGAAAUGCACUAGUUUACCCCUUGCGAGCCUCUGGUAGGUGACUUCAAGGUAGGAUUUUCUGGAAUUACCAACACUUGGUAAGCUUUUGGACUCCUAGGAGACAUCCAUUAGUUAUCUCUUGCGAGUUUGUGAAGGGGAAUCCAAGGUUAAAGAUCACCUUGAAUGGUAAGUGCUCGUGAGAGGCAUGAACCAUUGCAAGUUGUAUCAGUGAGAGAAUUAAAGUGAAAUCUAAUUGAAGGAGUCUCUGUACAUCACCGGUUAGAGAAUUGACUAUAAGUUGAAUCUCUAAUGCGAGGAAAUGAACCAUCUGACCGGAGCUAUGUCUUUUGCAUGAGGAACCACCCCAGUGAACCUAAAUCUCCAAGGAAUGCUUUUCUUCCUAAAUUAUUCCAAACUUCUGUUAAGUUAGUUAGUUUAAGUCUAAACCUUUACCAAUCAAACUUUGUGUUUUAUUCCUUAAGCUAACCGUGAAAUGAAACAAAACCAAUUCACUUGGAAUUGGUAUCCUUGAUUGCUUGCAAAUCAUUCCCAGUGAACGAUCCUUAGAGCCACUAUACUAUAGUAGCUUUGUAUUUGCUACCCUAGUGUAUGGUGUUAUAGGUAUAAAUUUUGUUGAUCACUUCCUCAAUCAAGGAACACCAGCUGAACACAAAUCAGCUGAGACACCAAUUGGGCAUGAGUCAGUGCGUUAGAGGAUCAAGAAGAAGAAAAAGAAGGAACUGUUGGAAUUAGUAUGAGUGUGAAGAGAAAAGUAUAUAAAUAAGGGGAAGUAAAAGCAAAGUUCAAAAAGCUAUAUUUUUUUAUUGUUGGUGUAUGGUUGCAUGAUUAUCCCUAUAAAUAAUAGGAGUUUUUUGGUAUUCUACUAGUAGUUGAAGCAUAAUUUCAUAAAUUAAUAUUUAGAGCGGGGUGGGGUGAGUUGUGACAAAAUUCAUACCCGUCCCAAACCUUGGUUCAGAUUUUUAAAAUAUUCUCAAACUUAUCAUAUACCCAACUUUUAUAUUUCAUACUUGUCCUAAUAGAGGCACGUUAGGCCGGGUUACUUGAGUAACCUACAUAAUUGUCAUCCCUAGUUGAAAUACACUUUUUGGCAGUGGCCACCAACUGAGCUAGAAGCUUGAUUGAUUGACCUACAAGAUUAGUUCUCAUCAUUUUAAAAAAAGUUCUGGCUUUGGUUGUGAGUGCAAUUGAAUCUAAACUGGCAUUUGCUUAAUGCAUCUACUUCAAUCCUAAACUUCUUACUUCUUAAGCCUCAAUUGUUGUUAGGAUUUUGGAAAACCCAUUUCCUUAAAUUGUAAAUUUAAGAUAAAAUAAAAUAAAAGUGAGACAUUUCUUGAUUGAAUAUUGUUAAAGGUCCCUUGGCAUUAAGACUUGGUUGAAGCCUUGGAAGAUUAGUGGAACUCUCAACAUGUGUUUGAAUCUUGAGGAGAGUGGAUGUAAGCCAAAAUUUUGUCAAACCAUUAUACAAAUUGAGUUUGAAUCCUCAUUUCUUGAUUUCUUAUUUAUUUGCUUUUUCUUAUUAUUACUUGAAUUGUCAUUUGCAUUCAUUAAUGUUAAAAUUGGUUAUAAUUAACCAACACUAAUUCUCUUUCCCCUUCCCUUUCUUGGGUGUAAACCUAGGUUGGAUUAACUAGAUAAAUCUAUUAAGAUGGUAAAAGAAUAAUUAUUCUUAACAUACAUAAGAUCAUCUUCAAUCAAAUGACUCAUUGGCUAAUAUGUUGAAUUUGCUUAUUACUUGCAACUCAAAAUUGUGUUCUAGUUGUGUCAAGUCCCCAGUGUAUGGACAUUAAAUUUGUAGUACGUGAUGAGUAAUUAGAUGGUCCAACUCCAAGAAAGUGAUUGAAAAGUAGUUCAAGAAAGGUGCAAAAGGGAAUUGUUUUGGUAUUUUCGUUUUUAUUCUUGAAGGUGGCAGAGCUAAAAUUUGAGAAAUCAAGCAAAACAUACUGAAAUUACAUUGAAAGAAAGAAGAUGGGAGUUAAUGUCUUGCAGUACAUGAUAAGGACUUCAUGCAUGUAGUGUGACCCAUGUCUUGGACUGAUGCCAACUCACGGUUACACUUAUACCCUUGGUUCUCUCUUUACUACCUUGGCUAACCUAGAUCAGGCUAUGAGAUAGGCUCCUCACCACACCAUUACUUGCCCAUUAAUUAGAGACAUUUUCAAGCAAUGAGGUAACAUGGUGACACCAAGAGGGUCUAUUCCUCGCCCGGAACAAGUCUAGACUUGGUCUCAAAAAAAUGGAGAAAAAUGAGGUGUCGUUAUGUAGAAAUACAACAACCAUGCCUUCCUCAUUACUUAGAUUCAGAAUGUGAAGGUGAAAUUGAGAAACAGAAACUCUUGAAACCAAAAUGAAAAUUGAUACUUUUACGAAGAAUUACAACAACAUUAGAGGAAGACUACAUUCUUCCUCUUUAUUCCUACAUUUCUACACUACUUCUACUCCACUCCAUAUUUCUACAUACAUCUUUAAUCAGUCUUCCCUCCUUUAUAUAGAGCCAUCUUCACACAAAUUUCGCAAGGUAGAAAAGAGGAAUGAAACUUGGAGCAAGGUUCGACUACUGGUUGUAGCUUGUCAAGGCUGGAAGUGAACUUUUCUUGGCUUUCUGGGCAUGGGUAGUAACUUGUGGGUUCCUGUUUGGCAUAAAAAUGGCUAGAACAUGUGGCACUAUCUUGUUGGAUGAUGUGUCAAGCAUGUGGCAGCCAUCUAGUGGCGAUUAUGUCAAUUUUGGGAUGGAGAGUUGGCAUCCAAUUGCAAAGAAAUAUGACGUCUACCAACAUGCAAUGUAAACCUAUGUAGAUCAUAUGAAGAUAGAGAGGAAAAAUAUAGAAAUGGAUAUAUACCUAGAACUAGCUUUUUAUUAAAUGAAACGGAGAGACAACAAUGAAGGAAAAUAAAAUUUUUUGGCUUAUAUCAAAGAGUUCACAUUGUGUUACCCUAGGUUUUCUUAAAACUUACUUUUAUGAUAACAAAAAAGAAAAAACCAUUAUUGUUUAAUCCUUUGUUUUAAACGCAUGUAAGGUGUAAUUAAGUUAGUUCAAUGCAUUAAUUUAAGAAACUUGACCUAUCAAAAGUACAAAAUUAGAUGAAAUCCAUUUCAAUGGUUAAAAUGAUCAAAAUCAAACUUUUUCUAAGUAUUUUUUAAAAGCAUCAAUAGUGAAAGACAAUUUUAUAUUUAGUCGGAGUUUGGACAAAACUGAAAAACACACAAAAUCCAAGCGACCAUCUCUAGCUUGGAUGGUCGCUUGAUCCCACCUAGAGAUGUGCAUGAGUAAAAGGAUUUGAAAAUGGAAAUUGACUAUGUAGUCGAUCAAUUAACUUUGCAACAUCAUAUGCAAUCCUAAUUGCUAGUCAUCUAAUCAAUUAGGUAGUCAAUCAACAGGCCAAAAAUAUGUUUAUAAUGACUAUUUUGUACAAAAACCACCUGUAUAGUUAAAUAUAAUGCAUUUCAUUUAUAAAUCUUCUAAUUCUUGAAUAACGAUCCUAUCAUCCUUUGAAAGUUUUUAUUACACUUUUUUUACUUUUGUUCUAAAACUUACACAUCACCCUUAAUUGUACCAUGAGAACCUAGCUAUUUUUUAUUUUUUUUUUUGUAAUUCAUCAAAGUUAGCUUUUGUAUUCAUUGUUGUAUUAUUUUUAGUAUAACUUAGAAAGCUAGUGUUUUCAAGUGAGUAAAAUUAACUUGUAAAUAUUGUAAAGAUUCAUCGACAUGUAUCUUAAACUAAGUGUACAAGUUAAAACAUUUGCUAGUAGAUUUUCUCAAAAUUUAGAAUAGAGCUUGAGACUAUUGAAAUAGGUGGGGUUGCACCAAACCACAUCACAUCGUUGUUUGCACCUUUUUUCACUCUCUUUUACUUAGUUGCUCUAUAUUUGUUGUCUAGUAAUAUCCUAUAGGCUUGAUGGGUUAGGGAGCAUCCCUUUGUGAAAAAAUUUUAUUCAAUCCUUAGUUGUAUCACGCAUAUAUAAAAUGCCUCAUUGUUUUAAUGGUAUUCAGUCGUGGCAUCACAGAUAUGGGCAUCUAAAUUUUAAAAGUUUGAAACUUUUAUCUAAAGAAAAUAUGGUGCUUUGCCUUUUUGUAAAGCAUGUUGAUGAAAUCCAUGAGAAUUGUGUACUUGGGAAGCAACACCGAGAUGACUUUUUUUUUUUUUUUAUAAUAUUGUUUGUCCAAAUUCCCUACAAAUUAGGCCACCAGAUGUUCAUAAUUCUCCCUUCUUGAAUUUGAAAACUCGGACAAUUGGACAAUGCGACACCUAAGUCCGGUUUCUAAAUGCUAAAGUGAAAGGGUAGGUAUGGACCAUUGAAAUGUGAUCACAACUUUUCUCUGUAGCCAUGUUGUCUCUUUUUUCUUUUGCAUGAUUUUCUUACCUUAACAGAAUCAUAGACUUGUUUAGUCUCUAAAUGGGAUUAAUUUCAUCCAGCUUUAAGCUACUAUAUUAUAUCUAGGUGGAGGACUUUUAAGAGUGCAACCGACAUAGAGCACAUGGAAGUGGGUAUAUGGGACAUGAAAUUUCUUCUUAUAAAGAUUGCAUGAUUUUUAUAUUAGAGUUGUUGAGGCGCUAUGUAUUUAGCUUGUUUUGCAGUUAAAUUAAUUGGAUAAGUAGACAUUGGCGUUUCUAAAUCUACUGUGAAGUGCUUCAUGUACGUGUGAAGUAUUAGAAAUUUCUUUCUUGGCAACUUGUUUUUCUUUGCGGUCUACUGAUAGGUUUGACUAAAAUUAUAUUCCCUGUCAUGCUAAUUAAUUUUCACGUGCAUGCUCAAAAGAAAAGUAUGACCUUAGUGCACCAAAAUCACUUUGAUUAAUUUGUGAUAGGUUUUUGUGCAUCAUGACAUUAGCCUUAUUCAUUUAGAUAAUGUUUAGUUUUUAGAAAGUAUUAAGAAAAGGAAAAUAAAUAUUAAGAAAAAUAUUCUUAUAUUUGAUUGUAUUAUGAAAAAUAUCAUAAAAAAAUCAAAUAUAAUUUAAAUUAAUUAAUAAUUUAUACAUUUUCAAAUUAUUUAAUCUUUAUAUUGAAGAUAUAAUAUAAAUGAAAUGAGUUUUAAGUAUUAUAUAAAAGUGAUUUAUUGAUCUUACAUAUAUAUAUUUCUUUUUUUUUUCCUUCUAUUUUUUCUCUUUAUUUUAUUUUCCUUAUGUUUUCCUCAACAUUUUCCGGAACCAAACAUAGCCUUAGGAAAUCCACAAUUACCUUCAACUGAGUAGAUUCUGUUGUUUUAGCAAUGUUAGGCUGCUAACUUGUGUUGGUACGAACCUAUUAAGCCUAAAGAUGUAAUUAGUUAGGAUAUUCUUUUCCCUCUAGUCUUGUAGCUCCACGUGUACAGUUGGUUAGGACCUCAUUGUAUAUAAUGCUUGCCCUGUUAUUGUAGAAGACAACAAAGAUAAAUAAUAUUAACAUUUUUCCUCUCAUCUCUCUCUGUUUCCCUCUGUUUUCAUCUCCUCUCUCAUCUUGGUAUCAGAGCCUCCAUGGCUUCUUUCAAAGAAACCUCCGAAUCACCUUCUGCUAGCAUUGUUAAUGUGCAAAACCCAUUAUCUCAAUCAAACAACCUUCCUUCACCAGUAGCCACACCCUCUUUUUCUUUCUCGUCUAUGAAUCAACCUCUCACAGUGAAGCUGGAUAAUGGGAACUACCUCAUAUGGAAGAAUUAGCUUCUAAAUGUCAUCAUUGCUAACGGACUCGAUGAUUUCAUUGACGGAUCUCGACCCUGCCCUCCUCGAUUUCUCGAUCUGCAACAACAAACCCUCAAUCCAGAGUACUCAGCUUGGCAGAGAUACAAUCGACUUCUGAUGAGUUGGCUGUACGCAUCCUUGUCCAAAGAUAUAAUGGCUCAGAUUGUUGGGUAUUCAACAGCUAUGGAGAUUUGGAAUGCCCUUAAUCAGAUUUACUCUGCCUCUUCUAUGGCGCGGUUUACUGAGCUUCGCACCAAGCUUCAAACGCUCAAGAAAGAUGGACUCUCAGUUGGUGAAUAUAUUCAAAGGCUCAAAUCCAUUUGCAAUAGUCUUGCAGCAAUAGGAGAACCAGUUUCUGAGAAAGACCAUCUUAUCUAUUUGUUCAAUGGAUUAGAUUGUGAGUAUUAUUCUUUUGUUACCUCCAUUCAAAAUCGAUCUGACCAACCAACUAUUGACAAAAUCCAUAGCCUAUUGCUUAGCUAUGACUUCCGGCUUGAACAACAAAACUCUGUUUCUCUCCAUUCUGCCCAAGUCCAUAUGGCUCAUCUGAACAAGAAACCUUAUAAAUCAACUCCUCAACCUACAUUCAAUCAUAUUCACAUUCAACCUAGAUACUCUUCUCCACCUUUUAAGCCAACCACUAGUCAAUAUCAACCCAACAUUUUGGGCAAACCACAACCACAACCAUGACAGCCUCAACCUCAAUGGAAACCACAUUUUUCAAUCUAAAAUCAAAAGCCUCAGCGCCAAAUUUGUGGUAAAUUUGGACACACUGCUCUUAUUUGCUUCCAUCACACAAAUUUGAACUAUUCACCCCAACCUUCUCCUAAAUCUUUCAAUACUGUUCUCACCACAAAUUCCCAGCUCCCUAAUCCUCCAAAAUUUUCUUACCCUACAAUGGCUCAUCCUGCUGCUACGCAUAACACGGUUCCCGAUACAAAUUGGUACAUGGACUCAGGUGCUACACAUCACUUUACUCUGGACAUCAACGUGCUUGACACUGUGACACCAUUUAGUGGUUCAGAACAGGUGACAGUUGGGAAUGGUAAGCAACUCUGUAUCUCACAUCUUGGUACUGCAAAACUACCAUCUUCGUAUUCUCCUCCUGUUCUACAUCAGGUAUAUCACACUCCAAAAAUUUCAAAUAAUCUUAUUAGUGUUAAAAAAUUGUGUUCUGAUAAUAAAGUUUUUGUUGAAUUUUAUGCCACUCAUUUUCUUGUCAAGGAUCAGGUUUCGAAGAGAGUUCUCCUUUAGGGUCAACUUGAUAAUGGCUUAUACAAAGUUCAGUCGUCAUGCUCUCCUUCUGCUGUUUCCUUUCCUCCUCAAGUUUUCAUAGCCAACAUCAAGUAUCCAAAUCUGUGGCACAAGAGACUAGGCCACCCAGCUUUAUCUGUUGUUAAUCAAAUCUUGGAUUCUUGUAACAUUGCUCGAACACAGAAAAUUUGUUUUAAUUUUUUAAAUUCUUGUCAAUUAGCAAAGAGCCACAGGCUUCCUUUUUCUCUGUCUCCAUCCAUUGCAGAAAAACCUUUUGAGUUAAUUCAUACAGACCUAUGGGGUCUUUCGCUCGUUCGCUCUAUUUCUGGUGCUCUUUAUUUUUUACUUUUCAUUGAUGAUCAUACUCGUUUUACUUGGUUUUAUUUGCUCAAAACAAAAGAUGAAGCAUAUCCUACUUUUCUCAAGUUUCAAGCUCUCAUUGAAAAUCAAUUUAAUACCAAGAUUAAGGCUGUCCAAUCUGAUUGGGGAGGUGAGUUUCGAUCUCUCUCCAUACCGUUUUCAAAUAUGGGCAUUGUCUAUUGUUUAUCGUGUCCAUACACCUCACAACAGAAUGGGCGAGUUGAGCGAAAAAAUCGCCAUGCGAUUGUCCUUUCUUGCUUGCUCUAUGCCCUUAUCUUAUUGGCCUUAUGCCUUUCAAACUGCCACUUACCUUAUUAAUCGUCUCUCUACCCCUGUGCUGCAUCAUCAAUCCUCUUACUUCGCACUCUAUCACAAACUCCCAACUUAUACUCAUCUUAAGGUCUUUGGUUCCUCUUGUUUUCCGUAUUUGCACCCUUAUAAUACCCAUAAACUCCAAUACAGGUCACUAGAGUGUGCUUUUCUUGGUUACAGUUCACACCACAAAGGUUAUCUAUGUCUUGACAUUCAUUCUAGCAGGGUGUAUAUUUCUCGCCAUGUGAUUUUUAAUGAAGAUUCUUUUCCAUUCAAGAAUUUGAAAUCUUCUCUCUCUCAGUCUAUUUCUUCUUCCUCUUCUUUAUAAGUUCCUCUGUUCAUUCUCUUGCCUCCCCUUUCCCCAUCUCCUCUUAUUUCUUCAUCUAUACCUCAUUCUUUUCCCUCUUCUUCUUCUACCUCUAGUACUUGUUCCCCUCUCGUUGCUCCUACCUCUCUUCCUUCCUCUUCACACUCUGUGUCUCCAUCUAUUCCACCUCCUUCUCCACCUUCUCCGAGUGUGGACCUGCUUGCACCUUGUGUGAAUACAAAUUUACAUACUUCUUCUCGCACUCACAAUAUUCAUCCUAUGGUGACUAGAUCUAAGGUUUGUAUCUAUAAACCUAAGUUGUUGUUGAGUGUCUCCAUAGGUUCUCUCACUAAGCCUACUUCCUUUCUUCAAGCUAUUAAAGAUCCUUCAUGGAAGCAAUCCAUGGAAUUCGAGUUUGCUACCCUUCAACACAACAAGACCUGGCAUUUGGUUCCUUCACCUUCCUCAGGCGAAGUAAUCGGUUGUAAAUGGGUCUAUAAGCUAAAGCUUCAGCCUGAUGGCUAAAUUGAGAGAUACAGCCUGCUUAGUAGCUAAGGGUAUCAUCAAAUUGAAGUAUGGACUACUUCGAAACAUUCAGCCUGAUNNNNNNNNNNNNNNNNNNNNNNNNNNNNNNNNNNNNNNNNNNNNNNNNNNNNNNNNNNNNNNNNNNNNNNNNNNNNNNNNNNNNNNNNNNNNNNNNNNNNAGCUUCAGCCUGAUGGCUAAAUUGAGAGAUACAAGGCCUGCUUAGUAGCUAAGGGUUAUCAUCAAAUUGAAGGUAUUGACUACUUCGAAACAUUCAGCCUGAUUGUCAAGCUUUCUACUAUCUGUAUUGUGCUCAGUCUUACUUUUUCCCAGAAUUGGUGUAUUAGACAGCUGGAUGUUCAUAAUGCCUUCUUACAUGGUGACUUAGCUAAAGACGUUUUCAUGGAACAACUGCCUGGAUUUGUUGAUCCUCUCUAUCCUACUCAUGUCUGCAAGUUGGAUAAGUCUCUCUACUGUCUUAAAUAGUCACCUCGGGCUUGGUAUACUAAGCUGAGUACUUCUCGCUACACUUGGGAUUUGUUACUUCUAAGAAUGACUCUUCCUUAUUUAUUUGUCAUUCGUCUCAUGGGUUACUUCUUGUUCUUGUCUAUGUGGAUGAUAUAAUCGUCAUUGGGAGCCACUCUCCUCAGGUUACUCACCUUAUCCAACAGUUGCAUCAUUAGCUUUCUUUAAAGGAUCUUGGUCCUUUACAUUAUUUUCUGGGCUUGGAGGUUCAUCACACCCCUACUGGUAUUCACCUCAGCCAAGCAAAGUAUAUCACUGAUCUCCUUACCCGGGCGGCUAUGUUGGAUGCCAAGCCAUGUCCCACUCCUAUGUCCUCCAACACAUAUCUCUCUUUUCAUGAUGGAGUGGCUCUUGAAAAUGGUUCAGAUUAUCGAAGUUUUGUUGGUGCCCUUUAGUAUUGUACCAUGACACGCCCAGAUAUAGCUUUUGCAAUAAAUAAAGUGUGUCAAUUCAUGCACCAUCCCUCUAAUGUUCACUGGCAGGCUAUAAAACGUAUUCUCCGGUACUUAAAGGGCACAUCUCAUUUUGGUCUCUUCCUACAGCCUUCCUAUGACUUCAACAUCACUUGCUAUACAAAUGCCGACUGGGCUUCCUGUCCUGAUGACAAGUGUAGCACCAGUGGCUACUGCCUCUUUCUUGCCUCUAAUCUGGUUUCUUGGUCAUCUUCCAAACAAAAAGUGGUCUCCCGCUCCAGCGCCGAAUCAGAGUACCGAGGGGUAGCAAAUGGGGCUGCUGAAAUUGCUUGGACUGAAUCUCUUCUUUGUGAACUUUCCAUUACUCCCCCUCCCCUCAUUCUCUGUGACAAUAUCAGUGCCACGUACUUAGCUGCCAAUCCUAUUUUGCAUGCCCGCACCAAACAUGUGGAAAUCGACUAUCACUUUGUCACGGAACGUGUUCUUCAAUGCUCUCUUUUUGUCCAGUUUACACCUUCUGAUGAUCAACUUGCUGAUUGCAUGACCAAGCCUCUCUCCACCCAACGUUUCAUCACUCUACGCUCCAAGCUCACUGUUCUCACUAGACCAAUGAGCUUGAGGGGGGAUGUUAAGCCUAAAGAUGUAAUUAGUUAGGAUAUUCUUUUCCCUCUAGUCUUGUAGCUCCACGUGUACAGUUGGUUAGGACCUCAUUGUAUAUAAUGCCUGCCCUGUUAUUGUAGAAGACAACAGAGAUAAAUAAUAUUAACAUUUUUCCUCUCAUCUCUCUCUCUGUUUCCCUCUGUUUUCAUCUCCUCUCUCAUCUGAACCAAAUGAUCCAUGUUAACCUUGGCUUGGUUUGAUUUGGCUCUAUCUUAGAGAGCUCAAGGAUCACGUCAACUCUGGUUUCUACUAUUCAGGUCCAUUCCCAUAUGAACUGGUUCAAAUUUGAGAAAAUGGUAACAGACCUUUAGUGAUGUUGGUUUGGAGCCAGUUGCCAAACCCGCCCUGAGCUUUACCACUAAUGUCAAGGGAGAAAGCCAUUUGAACAAAAACAAUAGCUUCAAGGGACUGAAUCGUGGAUGAAAUCUGAUCCACAUUUCUUCUCAUUUUGGAAACAAAUGAGAACUUAACUAAGAAGAUUCUACGGCCUCAUAGUGCUUUUCCUGAUCUAAGGUUGGUUCGUUUCCCAAACUGUGAGAUGCACGUGCCAGACUUCAGAACUCUCACGCUCAGGAGUGUAUCCACGUGGUGGACAUAAGAUGGUGGCUUAAGAUCUGGUGUCGGUGGCUUUACUUUACUAGGAGAGUAGUGUGUCUUCAUCUCAUUCACUGCCGGAGGGUGGCGUAAGCAGUGACGCUAAGGUGGGGCACAGUCAAUAUCAUUUGCAUUUGACCAUUAUAGUUUUCUCCCGGCUUUAAAGUAACCUUAUCGUGAUAAAGGAUUACUAGCACUAGUUCAGAUGAUAGUCAUGUUAAAUUCGGACCAUGUUUGUGUCACAUUAUCAGCAACCAUGUGUUUAUGGUUCAUGCUUUCUGCAACUAAAAUUGAUAUAUAACCAGGUGAACUUCAAUCUAAAUUCUGAAAGUACUCAUGUGAUAGAUGGUGCCCGUCUGCAGAGUCCAUCAAUUGAAAAAUGGAGUGAGUGUAUCUAUAAGAGGGAAGGCUUGGAAAAUGUUCAGUUUUCUGGGAAUUCAACAAGGAUCUAAAAUAGAUUGUUUUCUUUGCUGAUUUCAAUGGUUGAAAUUUGAGAAGAUUGUGUCCACAUAACACAACUAUUACUGGUCCUUCUGUUGCAAUUUAUCCUCUAAAGCUCUAGCAUGUCUUCCAAUUCCCACUUCCCUGUUACUCCAGGAAAGCUAUUUCUGUCAUUGUGAAGAAGAAAAGAGAAUGUACAUAUCGAUGCUUUUAAGUGACUGGAGCAUUUAUAUCAGGUGGUCUGCAGCCAUAUAUGCCACUUUGUGAAGAUUGGAACAGUCAAUCACUAGGCUAUAUAUUAGUGUGGCCCAGCCACUUUAAUCAAGGACAAGUCUUCAUACUUAAAGUCAAAUUCUGCCUUUAGUCUCAUUAUAAAUUUCUGUUUAAAUAUUAAGCAAACAUUUGUUUAAUGCGAUUAAGACAGUACUAACUCAAUACCUGUUCUAUUUUUGGAUGCAAAUGCUUGAUGGUUUCAUCAUUGGAUGGGAUAAAGGUGCAUUCAUGAUUAGGAAUACUAGUAGUUAUAUUUUAAUUCUCUUUUUUCUCAAUGAGACUUGUUGGCACAAUUUUGCUGUUGAGAAACCUACCUCUCCAUGGAAAAUAAGUUGUGAUUGAUAGUACUGGAUAUAUUCAAGAAAUCUAAAUAUAGAUAGCACAAAAUAUUAUCGACAUAAAUAGCAUUAACAGCGUACGUAUGUCUCAGUGCUCAUCAGCUAUAAGCAUGGGGCAAACACUUACUAUGAGCAACUUACGUCAAAAUUCCAGAAUAGGACAUAGAAGUGACAGAUAUAGAACAUUGCAUAUGAGUCACAAGAAAGGAAAUUACGGGUGCAUAGCAGCUCUUAUUUUACAUACUACUACUCAUACUGAUCAAAGUCACUCAGUUGGGAUGGGUGGGAGUAGGAGGUUUGUGGGGUGGCUUGUGCGGAGGAGUUGGCAGCUUCUUUCCAGGACCUGGUUGCUUCUCUGCUGGAGUUGAAGGAGGCUUAAUCUUCCGAGGUGGCUUGUAUGAGUCUUCAGCAUUCUCAGCUGGAGGGUGACCAGGGUUGUGACCAUAAUGUGGUGGCUUCUCUCCCUUAGGUGGUUUGCCAACUGGGGUUGGUGGCUUGUAUGAGUCUUCAGCAUUCUCAGCAGGAGGGUGACCAGGGUUGUGACCAUAAUGUGGUGGCUUCUCUCCCUUAGGUGGUUUGCCAACUGGGGUUGGUGGCUUGUGUUCUGGGAGUGGCUUCUCCCCCUUGGGAGGUUUUUCCAAUGGGGUUGGUUUGUGUUCAGGAGGUGGCUUCUCCACUGGAGGCUUGUGUUCAGGAGGUGGCUUCUCCACCGGAGGCUUGUGUUCAGGUGGUGGCUUCUCCACCGGAGGCUUAUGCUCUGGUGGUGGCUUCUCGAAUGGGGGAUGCUUAGGAUAAUCAGCAAGUGAGGGGGCGGUGAGAACCACCAGGCCAAGCAACACCACUAGCAAAUAUGUAGGAGACAUCUUUGGGUUUGGGCUCAGAUGGUGCAAAACUAGGAGAAUUGGCUAGCCUUUUAUAGCGGAUCGUACCCAAUAAUGAAAUGACACGUGUCAUUAUGACCCAUGUGUAAUGGGGUCGAUUUGGGUCCUACAGUGUUGAAAACUUCGACAUCCACUUUUGGCCUUUUGCUUUCUCUACAGCCGCCUUGCUUUUUCCCUCUUUCCUUUUGUUUUCCUCCUGCCCCAUUCUAUCAACUAAACACAAUUAUGUAGUUGUUUAAUUCUUAAAUGAGAUAUUAUCCGUCAAUCGUAUUAUAUUUUAUCAAGAGAGAACGGAGUGCAAUGUGGCUGUAAUUUUAUCGUUUAGUUUUAUCUCUUGGACCACUGCAUUUUUGUUAAGAGGUGCAAUAAUACACGUCUUUAUCUGCCAUUCAAUAUUUACAGUAAAGAGAGGGCACAAAACUCUUCACUUCGCACCAUAAUUAUUUUGUUUUCUGGACACCCCGGGGCCCUUUGGUUGGUUUGGGGGUCAGAAAGUGAACAUCAUAGGGGGUUUUUCCCUUAUGUGCAUUUGUAUCUGAUGGCUUUAACUCGCCUUGUUACUACAAAGAAACUGUCACAGAUAGGAACUUAUUCCAGGCUGAGUAUCUCCUCAUAGACCCUAUAAAAGAAGACAAGUCAUAAUGAACAUCUAACCUUUGUUCAAUUUGAUUCAAUGCCCCCAUUGUGUCCAUCUCACAAAUCUGAAUUAUUAUAUCCAUUGAAUACAUAAAUUAAUGAAGAAAAUAUGAAACCCAAGAUACAUCUCUGCACAACCUCAACCCUGGUUGCUAUGUUUCCCUUCUAUUCACAUGAUUUGAUGCUAAUUGCCAAACUUGCAACAAGCCCUGAGUUUGACACCUAGUAUCGAUGGGCGAAUUUAAAGUCUCCUCCAAACAUAUAUUCCACAGCUUGAAGCUCACAGAAGAUGUUACAGGCAGGGAAAAACCUUCAGAGUUCGCUACCAAAGAUAAUUAUUAAGGAGAUAUCACAAAGAGAAUUCCAAGGGGUCUGAAUCAAAGACAAAUUGGUCGUUCGUGGGGGUUCUUACUUUCUUUUGGGUAUAACUCACUGAGGGCACUGUCUUUGUUAUUUGCAUUUCACAUUUAGAGUUCUGUUCUGGAAACAUAUAAAAGGAGCAUCAUUUUGUUCUUGGGUAACCCAUAGUCGUGAGUGGGUCCAUUUGCAUGCUACUUAGUUGAAAAGUUGGACCAUUUGCUCCGACGCCUACCUCCCGGAUUCCAUGCUCGGAUAAAACAAGAAUAAAAAAAAUAUUUAUAAUUUACAAAUGGGGGAAAGAAAAAAAUGUCAACAACAAACCAGGAAAAAAGAGUAGUAAAAUUCAUGUCACAUGCUAGUGAGAGAAGGGGUUGUUACACUCACUCGAAGUUCUUUCCAAAAUAUCGCAUGGUAUUUUAUUUUAUGUGUCAGCGCAGUUGUGAAUGGAACGUGCAAAAGUCCAAAUUGGCGUUUUUCCUUUUCCCGUGUAGGAUGGCGACCUUUAAUAAAUAUUUAAAACAAAAAACGAAAAAAAGGAGGGAAAAGGGAUCAGAAAAGAUAAAACAAUGUGUACAAGAGCUCAAUUAGUUUGCAAAUUACUGUUUGGAUUUUGAUAGUAUUUUAUUUGUCCAUCUAUAUUUGAUGGAAAAGAGAAUUUAAGAUAUUUCUGAAACAAAAGCAUUAGUGUAAAACUAAAUUAAGGUAUAAUUAAGUUAGUUCAAUGCAUUAAUUUAAGAAACUUGAUCUAUCCAAAGUACAAAAUUAGAUGAAAUCCAUUUCAAUGGUUAAAAUGAUCAAAAUCAAACUUUUUCUAAGUAUUUUUUAAAAGCAUCAAUAUUAAAAGACAAUUUUAUAUUUAGUCGGAGUUUGGACAAAACCAAAAAGCACACAAAAUCCAAGCGACCAUCUCUAGCUUGGAUAGUCACUUGAUCCCACCUAGAGAUGUGCAUGAGUAAAAGGAUUUGAAAAUGGAAAUUGACUAAAUAUUUAGUUGAUCAAUUAAAUUUGCAAUGUCAUAUGCAAUCCUAAUAGCUAGUCAUCUAAUCAAUUAGGUAGUCAAUCAAGUGUUUGUAAUGACUAUUUUGUACAAAAAACCACAUGUAUAGUUAAAUAUAAUGCAUUUCAUUUAUAAAUCUUCUAAUUCUUGAAUAACGAUCCUAUCAUCCUUUGAAAAUUUUUAUUACACCUUUUUUACUUUUGUUCUAAAACUUACAUAUCACCCUUAAUUGUACCAUGAGAACCUAGCUAUUUUUUUUUUUUUUGUAAUUCAUCAAAGUUAGCUUUUGUAUUCAUUGUUGUAUUAUUUUUAGUAUAACUUAGAAAGCUAGUGUUUUCAAGUGAGUAAAAUUAACUUGUAAAUAUUGUAAAGAUUCAUUGAUAUGUAUCUUAAACUAAGUGUACAAAUUAAAACAUUUGCUAGUAGAUUUUCUCAAAAUUUAGAAUAGAGCUUGAGGCUAUUGAAAUAGGUGGGGUUACACCAAACCACAUCACAUCGUUGUUUGCACCUUUUUUCACUCUCUUUUACUUAGUUUCUCUAUAUUUGUUGUCUAGUAAUAUCCUAUAGGCUUGAUGGGUUAGGGAGCAUCCCUUUGUGAAAAAAUUUCAUUCAAUUCUUAGUUGUAUUACGCAUAUAUAAAAUGCCUCAUUGUUUUAAUGGUAUUCAGUCGUGGCAUCACAGAUAUGGGCAUCUAAAUUUUAAAAGUUUGAAACUUUUGUAAAGCAUGUUGAUAAAAUCCAUGAGAGUUGUGUACUUGGGAAGCAACAUCGAGGUGACUUUAUUUUUUUUUCCUUUUAUAAUGCCACACCUAAGUCCGGUUUCUAAAUGCUAAAGUGAAAGGGUAGGUAUGGACCAUUGAAAUGUGAUCACAACUUUUGGCCUUUUCCUUUCUCUGCAGCCAUGUUGUCUCUUUUUUCUUUUGCAUGAUUUUCUUACCAAAACAGAAUCAUAGACUUGUUUAGUCUCUAAGCUACUAUAUUAUAUCUCGGUGGACUUUUAAGAGUGCAACCGACAUAGAGCACAUGCAAGUGGGCAUAUGGGACAUGAAAUUUCUUCUUACAAAGAUUGCAUGAUUUUUAUAUUAGAGUUGUUCACGUGCAAUGUAUUUAGCUUGUUUUGCAGUUAAAUUAAUUGGAUAAGUAAACAUUGGCAUUUCUAAAUCGACUGUGAAGUGCUUCAUGUACGUGUAAAGUAUUAGAAAUUUCUUUCUUGGCAACUUGUUUUUUCCUUGCCAUCUACUGGUAGGUUUGACUAAAAUUAUAUUCCCUGUCAUGCUAAUUAAUUUUCAUGUGCAUGCUCAAAAGAAGAGUAUGACCUUAGUGCACCAAAAUCACUUUGAUUAAUUUGUGAUAGGUUUUUUUGCAUCAUUUAGAUAAUGUUUAGUUCUAAGAAAAAUUUAUAUAAAAAUGGUUUAUUUAUCUUACAUAUAUAUAUAUAUAUAUAUAUUUUUUUUUUUUUCAUUUUUUUUUCUUCUAUUUUAUUUAUUUAUUUUAUUUUCCUUAUGUUUUCCUCACAUUUUCCGGAACUAAACAUAGUCUUACGAAAUCAACAAUUGCCUUCAACUGAGUAGAUUCUGUUGUUUUAGCAAUGUUAGGCUGCUAACUUGUGGUGGUACGAACCAAAUGACCCAUGUUAAUCUUGGCUUGGUUUGAUUUGGCUCUAUCUCAGAGAGCUAAAGGAUCACGUCAACUCUGGUUUCUACUAUUCAGGUCCAUUCCCAGAUGAACUGGUUCAAAUUUGAGAAAAUGGUAACAGACCUUUAGUGAUGUUGGUUUGGAGCCAGUUGCCAAACCCGCCCUGAGCUUUACCACUAAUGUCAAGGGAGAAAGCCAUUUGAACAAAAACAAUAGCUUCAAGAGACUGAAUCGUGGAUGAAAUCUGAUCCACAUUUCUUCUCAUUUUGGGAAAAAAUGAGAACUUAACUACAAAGAUUCUACUGCCUCAUUCAUAGUGCUUUUCCUGAUCCAAGGUUGGUUCGUUUCCCAAAUUGUGAGGUGCACGUGCCACUCUCACGCUCAGGAGUGUAUCCACGUGGUGGACAUCAGAUGGUGGCUUAAUAUCUGGUGUCGGUGGCUUUACUUUACUAGGAGAGUAGUGUGUCUUCAUCUCAUUCACUGCCGGAGGGUGGCGUAAGCAGUGACGCUAAGGUGGGGCACAGUCAAUAUCAUUUGCAUUUGACCAUUAUAGUUUUCUCCCGGCUUGAAAGUAACCUUAUCGUGAUAAAGGAUUACUAGCACUAGUUCAGAUGACCGUCAUGUUAAUUCGGACCAUGUUUGUGUCACAUUAUCAGCAACCAUGUGUUUAUGGUUCAUGCUAUCUGCAACUAAACUUGAUAUAUAACCAGGUGAACUUCAAUCAAAAUUCUGGAAGUACUCUUGUGAUAGAUGGUGCCUGUCUGCAGAGUCCAUCAAUUGAAAAAUGGAGUGAGUGUAUCUAUAAGAGGGAAGGCUUGGCAAAUGUUCAGUUUUCUGGGAAUUCAACAAGGAUCUAAAAUAGAUUGUUUUCUUUGCCGACUUCAAUGGUUGAAAUUUGAGAAGAUUGUGUCCACAUAUCACAACUAUUACUGGUCCUUCUGUUGCAAUUUAUCCUGUAAGGCUCUAACAUGUCUUCCAAUUCCCACUUCCCUGUUACUCCAGGAAAGCUAUUUCUGUCAUUGUGAAGAAGAAAAGAGAAUGUACAUAUCGAUGCUUUUAAGUGACUGGAGCAUUCAUAUCAGGUGGUCUGCAGCCAUAUAUGCCACUUUGUGAAGGUUGGAACAGUCAAUCACUAGGCUAUAUAUUGGUGUGGCCCAGCCACUUCAAUCAAGGACAAGUCUUCAUACUUAAAGUCAAAUUCUGCCUUUAGUCUCAUUAUAAAUUGCUGUUUAAAUAUUAAGCAAACUUUUGUUUAAUGCGAUUAAGACAGUACUAACUCAAUACUUGUUCUAUUUUUGGAUGCAAAUGCUUGAUGGUUUCAUCAUUGGAUGGGAUAAAGGUGCAUUCAUGAUUAUGAAUACUUGUAGUUAUAUUUUCAUUCUCUUUUUUCUCAAUGAGACUUGUUGGCACAAUGUUGCUGUUCAGAAACCUACCUCUCCAUGGAAAAUAAGUUGCGAUUGAUAGUACUGGAUAUGUUCAAGAAAGCUAAAUAUAGAUAGCACAAAAUAUUAUCGAUAUAAAUAGCAUUAACAGCGUACGUAUGUCUCAAUGCUCAUCAGCUAUAAGCAUGGGACAAACACUUACUAUGAGCAACUUACGUCAAAAUUCCAGAAUAGGACAUAGAAGUGACAGAUCUAUAUAUAUAGAACACUGCAUAUGAGUCACAAGAAAGGAAAUUACGGGUGCAUAGCAGCUCUUAUUUUACAUACUACUACUCAUACUGAUCAAAGUCACUCAGUUGGGAUGGGUGGGAGUAGGAGGUUUGUGGGGUGGCUUGUGCGGAGGAGUUGGCAGCUUCUUUCCAGGACCUGGUUGCUUCUCUGCUGGAGUUGAAGGAGGCUUAAUCUUCCGAGGUGGCUUGUAUGAGUCUUCAGCAUUCUCAGCUGGAGGGUGACCAGGGUUGUGACCAUAAUGUGGUGGCUUCUCUCCCUUAGGUGGUUUGCCAACUGGGGUUGGUGGCUUGUAUGAGUCUUCAGCAUUCUCAGCAGGAGGGUGACCAGGGUUGUGACCAUAAUGUGGUGGCUUCUCUCCCUUAGGUGGUUUGCCAACUGGGGUUGGUGGCUUGUGUUCUGGGAGUGGCUUCUCCCCCUUGGGAGGUUUUUCCAAUGGGGUUGGUUUGUGUUCAGGAGGUGGCUUCUCCACUGGAGGCUUGUGUUCAGGAGGUGGCUUCUCCACCGGUGGCUUGUGUUCAGGAGGUGGCUUCUCCACCGGAGGCUUAUGCUCUGGUGGUGGCUUCUCCACCGGAGGCUUAUGCUCUGGUGGUGGCUUCUUGAAUGGGGGAUGCUGAGGGUAAUCAGCAAGUGAGGGGGCGGUGAGAACCACCAGGCCAAGCAACACCACUAGCAAAUAUGUAGGAGACAUCUUUGGGUUUGGGCUCAGAUGGUGCAAAACUAGGAGAAUUGGCUAGCCUUUUAUAGCGGAUCGUACUCAAUAAUGAAAUGACACGUGUCAUUAUGACCCAUGUGUAAUGGGGUCGAUUUGGGUCCUACAGUGUUGAAAACUUCGACAUCCAGUUUUGGCCUUUUGCUUUCUCUACAGCCGCCUUGCUUUUUCCCUCUUUCCUUUUGUUUUCCUCCUGCCCCAUUCUAUCAACUAAACACAAUUAUGUAGUUGUUUAAUUCUUAAAUGAGAUAUUAUCGGUCAAUCGUAUUAUAUUUUAUCAAGAGAGAACGGAGUGCAAUGCAGCUGUAAUUUUAUCGUUUACUUUUAUCUCUUGGACCACUGCAUUUUUGUUAAGAGGUGCAAUAAUACACGUCUUUAUCUGCCAUUCAAUGUUUACAGUAAAGAGAGGGCACAAAACUCUUCACUGCUCUGCAUGUGUCCCAAAAAUGCGAUUGGACAAAUUAUGAUUUGCAUGCUAAAAAGAGGCAAAUGAGGUUAAUUCGCACCAUAAUUAUUUGGUUUUCUGGACACCAUAAAAAGAUGUUAUACAGGCAGGGAAAAACCUUCAGAGUUAGCUACCAAAGAUAAUUAUCAAGCAGAUAUCACCAAGAGAAUUCCAUAGAGUCUGAAUCAAAGACAGAUUGCUCGCUCGUGGGGGUUCUUACUUUCUUUUGGGUAUAACUCACUGAGGUCACUGUCUUUUUUAUUUGCAUUUCACAGUUAGAGUUCUGCUCUGGAAGGUUUGUUCUGGAAACAUAUAAAAGGAGCAUCAUUUUGUUCUUGGGUAACCCAUAGUCGUGAGUGGGUCCAUUUGCAUGCUACUUAGUUGAAAAGUUGGACAAUUUGCUCCGACGCCUACCUCCUGGAUUCCAUGCUCGGUAAAACAAGAAUAAAAAAAAAUAUAUAAUUUACAAAUGGGGGAAAGAAAAAAUGUCGGAAAAAAUAGUAAAAUUCAUGUCACAUGCUAGUGAGAGAAGGGGUUGUUACACUCACUCGAAGUUCUUUUCAAAAUAUCGAAUGGUAUUUUACUUUAUGUGUCAGCGCAGUUGUGAAUGGAACGUGCAAAAGUCCAAAUUGGCGUUUUUAUUUUUCCCAUGUAGGAUGGUGACCUUUAAUAAAUAUUUAAAACAAAAGACGAAAAAAAAAAGGAGGGAAAAGGGAUCACAAAAGAUAAAAUAAUGUUUACAAAAGCUCAAUUAGUUUGCAAAUUACUGUUUGGAUUUUGAUAGUAUUUUAUUUGUCGUUCUAUAUUUGAUGUAAAAGAGAAUUUAAGAUAUUUCCGAAGCAAAAGCAUUAGUUUGCUCUGUGAUGUCCCACAUCGAAUAGGGGAGAAAGUUUCUGGCGCUAUAUAUGUAGAGGCUCCUCUUAACCAAGUAGAUGCGUUUUAAAACCAUGAGGGCCCCCUUAGGUCCAAAGCGGACAAUAUCUACAUGAUUGGGUGUAAGUCAUUACAAAUGGUAUCAGAGCCGAUCCCCGACCCCGGUGUGGGGGUUUGUUUGGCCCUGUAAGGGGUGUUUGUCUGUUUGACCCCACAAUCCCAUGGGACACAACGAGGACGUUGUGUCUGCAUGGGGGGGCGUUUGUGAUGUCCCACAUCGGAUAGGGGAGAAAGUUCCUAGUGCUAUAUAUGUAGAUGUUUCUCUUAACCAAGUAGAUGCAUUUUAAAAUUGUGAGGGCCUCUUUGGGCCCAAAGCGGACAAUAUCUACAUGGUUGAGUGUAAGUCAUUACAUGCUCCAUGUCAAUUUCAGCAUUUCUCAUAUGUUUCACACAUACACAGAAGAGCAUCGUUUUUUAAAGCAUGCAUUUAUGUUGGAUUAAUUUGGAUUUUGUGGGAACUGGGGCAAGGAUCACAUGGAAGAGAGGUUGACUUUUUUCAGUACUUCAAUGGUUGAAAUAUGUGAAGGCUUGAUUGAUACUAAAGCUUGAAAUUGCGACUCUGUCAUUUGUAAAAAAAUAUGACAGCUUCCAUGCUCUCGUUUGGUUGCAUUGUCCGGUCGAGAGGUGCAAAAAGCAUUCUCUCUCUUCUAAUAGUCUUUUCGUUUAAAUCAAGGGAUUUGCCUUCCCGGUCGAGGUCCAAUAGAGGGUAACGGUCACCUACUAAACAUUAAAUGCUCCAACAACUAGUGAACUGAUCGACCCCAGCUCGACUAGUUGAGGUUACUUUUUGGUUUUCUUGUCUCCCGAGGUUAGAAACCUAUAAAUAGAGAGCUUCACUUCAUUUAUGAGUAAGAGAACACCUAAAUUUAUUUGUUUACCUACUUGUUUUUGCCAUAAAAGCUCUCAUUUCUUUUCUUGGUGUAUUAAAUCUCCAUUUGCAUAUCCUUUAGUGCACCUUUGUGAUUCAUUCUAGCCUUGAGUUGUAUUUAAGCCUUUGUUGAGCUAGGUUGAGAGUUUCAUACUUGUUUAUUGAGUGUUAAAGCCUUCAAGUGAGUUAAAACUUGAAGAGAUUGUGUAAGAGCCCAUUGGAGUCGGAAUCCAAGUGUAAAGGUGAUUAAAAGCUUGGUUGAAGCUUCAAGUUAGUGGAACUCUCACUCGGUUAUGAGCUUGAGAAGAGUGGACAUAGACAAGGCAGUGUCGAACCACUAUAAAAUCUGAGUUUGAUUUCUCUAACCUUAUCUCUUUAUAUUUGCUUCUCUUGUGCUUAAAUUUUUUGUGUUUAAAAAGAAUUUUUAAAAACUCAAUUCACCCCCUUCUUGGGAGUUUUUCUCUUUUAAGAUCAGCUUUUAUUUUCUCAAUUGGUAUCAGAACUAUGCCUCUUGUUUAAGACUUAAUCGUCUAAGAGGAAAUGGCUAAUCCAUCAAGUUCAUCUCACAUUGAAAGUUUUGCAACCAAUAGACUUCUUUUUUUUUUUUUGCGGGAACUGAUUAUCCCUAUUGGAAAACUAAAAUGACUUGGUUUUUACAAUCAAUUGAUUUAGAUGUAUGAGAUGCCAUUGAAGAUGACCUAACUUUUCCUUCAAAACUAGUUGAUGGAGUCAUGGUUCCAAAACCUAAGCAAGAAUGGGAUGAGCGUGAUUGAAGAAAUUUUCAAUUAAAUGCUAAAGUCGUUUAUACUUUGCAAUGCUCUAUGGACAGAAAUGAAUAUAAUAGAAUAUGUCAAUGCAAAUCGGUUAAAGAAAUUUGGAGAUUGCUUGAAAUAACUCAUAAAGGAACAAAUCAAGUUAAAGAGUCAAAAAUCAAUUUACUUGUUCAUAGAUAUGAAUUGUUUUUUAUGAAAGAUAAUGAAACUAUUGUUAAGAUGAUCACUAGGUUCACCAACAUUGUUAAUGGUCUUAAAGCCUUGGGAAAGACCUACAAGGAAUCCGAAAACGUGAUGAAGAUCUUGAGGUCACUUCCAUCAAAGUGGCAUACCAAGGUCACCGCAAUUUAAGAAGCAAAAGACUUGAUCAAGCUACCUUUGGAGGAGUUCAUAGGGUCAUUGAUGACAUAUGAAAUCAAUUUGGCAAAGAAGUAACAAAAAGGUGAAGACAAAAAGAAGAAGAACAUAACUCUCAAAGCUACAACUAAGGAAGAAGAAGUUGAAGAAGAAAAACAAAUUGAAGAAGAUGAAGAUUUAGCCCUCAUCACAAGAAAGUUCAACAAAUUCAUGAGGGGUGAAAGGUUUAGAAGAAGAAGGUUCACUUCUAGAAGAGACUUUUCUAAAAAGGAAUCUUCAUCUAAUGGUGACAAAAAGAGAUGGGAAGAGAAAAGAGACUUGGUGUGUUUCAAGUGCAAGAAACCGGGACACAUUAAAUAUGAUUGUCCUCUCUACAAAAGUGAAGUCAAGAGGAAAAAGAAUAAGGCAAUGAUGGCCACUUAGAGUGAAAGUGAAGAUGAAUCAUCCGAAGAAGAAAAUGAGAAAGAAGUGGCAAACAUGUGUUUCAUGGCAAUAGAUGAACUUGAUGAGGUAAAAUCUAACCUUAGUGAUUAAGAUAUACAUGAUGCAUUUGAAGAAUUGUAUGAGGAUUUUUAAAAACUUAGUUUGAAAAAUAUUUCUCUUAAAAAGAAAGUUCAACAACUUGACAAAGAACUUAGAGAAGUAAAAGAAAAAUUUUCAAAUGUUAAAGUUUCUAAAACUCAUCUUGAAAAAGAAAAUGAGAUUCUAAGAAAGAAAAAUGAAUAGUUGAACUCCUCUCUUUCAAUCUUUUCUUCUAGACAAAAAUCUUUUGAAAUGAUUCUAACUAGCUAAAAAUGUGUUUUUGACAAACAAGGGUUAAGAUUUAAAUCUUCAAAAAAUCAAAAGUAUUUUAAAAACUAUUUUGUAAAGGAAUCCACAAGUGCAAGUCCUUCCACUACUUGCAACUUUUGUGGAAGAGAAUGGCACAUUAGUAGUACGCCCUUUAAGAAAUGGUUCUCAAAAGAAUUUAAAUGCAAAAACUAAAAAAGAUUUGGAUUGAGAAAUCCAAGGUCACUAACCCUCAAGGACCCAAAAAGAUAUAGGUACCUAAAUCAACUUGAGUUUUAUGUUGUAAGGUUCAAAGAAUGAUAAGUGGUUCUUAGAUAAUGGUUGCUCAAGACACAUGACCGGAGAUGAAUCCAAGUUUGCUUUUCUUAAAAAGAAAAAUGGAGGAUAUGUUACCUUUGGAGACAAUGCAAAAGAAAGGAUGAUUGGUCAAGGCAACAUUGGUAAUGGCACAUCCUCUCUCAUUGAAAGUGUUUUAUUAGUAGAUGGUUUCAAACAUAACCUUUUAAGCAUUAGUCAAUUUUGCGACAAAGGUUUUUAAGUGAUUUUUUAAGCAUCUCAUUGCAUCAUCAAGGAUAUUCAAAAUGAUAAAACCAUUUUCAUGGGCCAUAGAUGUGAUAAUGUUUAUGCUAUAAAUAUUUCAAAAUAUGAUGGCCAUGAUAGAUGUUUUUCAAGCAUGCAUGAUCAAAGUUGGUUGUGCCAUAGGAGAUUGAGACAUGCUAACAUAGACCUCAUUUCCCAACUCAACAAAGAUGAACUUGUUAGAGGCCUUCCCAAAAUAAUUUUUUAAAAAGAUAAAGUUUGUGAAGCUUGUCAAGUGGGAAAGUAAAUCAAAAACUCUUUUAAAAACAAAAACUUCAUUUCCACAUCUAGGCCACUUGAGUUGUUGCAUAUGGAUUUAUUUGGUCCCUCUAGGACACCAAGUCUUAGAGGAAAUUCUUAUGCAUAUGCUAUUGUGGACGACUUCUCUAGAUACACAUGAGUCUUGUUUUUUAGUCAAAAGAAUAAAGUUUUUUAUGAGUUUUCAAAGUUUUGCAAUAAGAUUCAAAAUGAAAAAGGUUUUUCAAUUACUUAUAUAAGAAGUGAUCAUGGGAGAGAAUUCGAAAAUAUUGAUUUUGAAGAGUAUUGCAAUGAGCAUGGAAUUGACCACAAUUUUUUGGCUCUUAGAACUCCUCAACAAAAUGGGGUAGUUGAAAGGAAAAAUAGAACUCUUCAAAAAAUGACAAGAACCAUACUAAAUGAAAACAACUUACCAAAAUAUUUUUAGGCCAAAACGGUUAACACUUCUUGUUAUGUUUUAAAUAGAGUAUUAUUGAGGCUCAUACUUAAGAAAACUCCCUAUGAGCUUUGGAAAAACAAAAAACCCAACAUUAGUUAUUCCAAAGUCUUUGGAUGCAAUAUUUUAUAAUAAACACCAAAGACAAUCUUGGAAAAUUUGAUGCAAAAUUGGAUGUUGGAAUUUUCCUUGGUUACUCAACUUCAAGUAAAGCUUUUCGAGUUUUAACAAAAGAACCAUGGUUGUAGAGGAGUCCAUCCAUGUUAUUUUUUAUGAAUCUCCAAGAAAGAGAGAGGAUUGAUGAUGAUUUAGGUUUGAAGACCUCUAUAGGAAGAUUGCAAAUCGAAGAUAGAAGACAACAAGAAGAAAAUGGAGAGAAUCCAAAGAAAGAAGGAUCACCAUUGGCACUACCCCCUCAUCAACAAGCGCAAGGUGAAUCAAGUCAAGAGCUUCCUAAAGAAUGGAAGUUUGUCAUCAAUCACCCACAAGAUCAAAUUAUAGGCAAUCCAUCUAGUGGGGUAAGAACUAGAUCCUCUCUUAGAAAUAUUUGCAAUAAUCUAGCUUUUAUCUCUCAAAUUGAGCCUAAAAAUAUAAAUGAUGUUUUAGAUGAUGAAAAUUGGAUAAUUGCAAUGCAAGAAGAGUUAAAUCCAUUUGAAAGAAGUGGAGUAUGGGAAUUAGUACCAAGACCUUCAAAUCAAAGUGUUAUUGGAACUAGAUGGAUCUUUAGAAAUAAAAUGGAUGAAAAUAGCAUAAUUGUUAGAAAUAAAGCAAGAUUGGUAGCCCAAGGUUUUAAUCAAGAAGAAAUGAUAGAUUAUGAAGAAACCUUUGCCCCCGUAGCUAGGUUGGAAGCCAUUAGGAUGCUACUUGCCUUUGCAUGUUUUAAAGACUUUGUUUUAUAUCAAAUGGAUGUGAAAAGUGCUUUUUUAAAUGGUUUUAUAAAUGAAGAAGUAUAUGUUGAACAACCACCCGGUUUUCAAAGUUUCAACUUUCCUAACCAUGUUUUUAAACUUAAAAAGACACUUUAUGGUUUGAAACAAGCACCUAGAUCAUGGUAUGAAAAAUUGAGUAAAUUUCUUUUGAAAAAAAUGUUUUAAAAUGGGAAAAAUUGACACAACUCUUUUUAUAAAAACCAAAGAAAAUGAUAUGCUCUUAGUUCAAAUAUAUAUUGAUGAUAUCAUUUUUGGUGCUACUAAUGUCUCUCUUUAUGAAGAAUUUUCUAAGUGCAUGCAUAGUGAGUUUGAAAUGAGCAUGAUAGGAGAACUCAACUUCUUCCUUGGACUUCAAAUCAAGCAACUAAAGGAAUGAACCUUCAUCAAUCAAGCAAAGUAUAUAAGAGAUCUUCUCAAAAGGUUCAACAUGGAAGAAGCCAAAACAAUGAAGACUCUAAUGAGCUCAUCCAUUAAGCUUGAUAAGGAUGAGAAAGGUAAAUCCAUUGACUCUAUUAUGUAUAGAGGCAUGAUAGGUUCUUUGCUCUAUUUGACCACUAGUAGACCUUACAUUAUGUAUAGUGUGUGUUUGUGUACUAGAUUUCAAUCUUGUCUUAAAAAAUCUCACUUAAGUGUCGUGAAAAGAAUCCUCAAAUAUUUGAAAGGGACAAUGGACAUAGGCUUAUGGUAUCCUAAGAGUGAUAACUUUGAAUUAAUUGGUUUUUUGGAUGCUGAUUUUGUCAGUUGUAGGGUUGAAAAAUAAAACACUAGUGGCACUUUUCAUUUCUUAAGACACUUACUUGUCUCAUGGCAUAAUAAGAAGCAAAAUUUGGUAGCUUUGUCAACAGCAGAAGCUAAAUACAUAGCAACUGGUUUAUGUUGUGCACAAAUCCUUUGGAUGAAAUAAACACUUAGUGAUUUUGAUUUAUCUUUUGAGCAUAUUCCUAUUAAAUGUGAUAAUAGUAGUGCCAUAAGUAUAUCAAAAAAUCUCGUGCAACACUCUAGGACUAAGCAUAUAGAGAUUAGACAUAAUUUUCUUAGAUAUCAUACACAAAAGGAUGAUAUAACACUUGAAUUUGUAAGCAUAAAAGACCAACUUGCCGAUAUCUUUACAAAACCUCUAAGAACAUUUUGUUGAUAUUAGAGGACAAUUAGGAGUGAUUUCUUUAUGAUCUAAUGUGAUGAAUUCUUGAUGAAUAUACUUUUUGAUUGCAUGAAUUUCAUGUCAUAUAUGCAUCAUAUAGAAAUAUACUUAGAUAAUGGUCAAAUUUCGACCAAAAAUCAAAAUUCCCAUGGCAUUAGGCAUAAAAAUUUUGGAAUUUCAACUGAAAAUGGUAGGAGGAGGAUCACAAAAUGAGAAAGUAUGCAAAAAUUGAAAAAUCAAAACGUUGACCAAGCGGUCAAUCGGACUAGACCGAUCGACUAGUUUGUCGAGAUUUAGGAUUUUUAAGAGACUCCAACGCUUCAAUUUUUGCACCGUUCUCCUCUAUUUCUUCACGGUUUCUCUGAUUUUGUCUUUUAGAGACUAAUUUGAGUGCGUUUUGGAUCAAUUGAAGCAUUUUGGAUUGGAUUUUAGGAAGAUUGAAAGUUAAGGUUUCGGAUUUGGGUCGCCUUCUCUUCCUCUCGCGUGUCACAAUCAGCUUUAGCAUUGUUCUCUUUCCAUUUUCACACACCUAGGGUUUCAGUUGUGAGCAUCUCUCUCUCUUUACCAACCACUACUCCCUUGCUUCUUCCAUAUGGCUCCUAGGCGAGAGUCCGCUACUUCUAGGGCACAAGGCAAGCACCCAACUGAGUCGUCUCAGUCAAAGGCACGUCGAAAAGUGAGAUUUGACAUUGCCUUGUUCAGUUCCAUGGAGGACUACCAACUAUACAAGCAACACUUUGCUUAGAGACGAGUAGUUCCCAAGAGAAAUAUUAAUUUUCCUCAACUUCAGCAUUUCGAAUUUAAGGGUCUAUUUACUAGGAUGGUUGGUUGUCUAUUGUCACAAUUUCGGAGCCGGUUUUCCUGACCUUAGUGCGAGUUUUUUACUCGAGGGCGACUUAUGGCAUGGGUGGCAUGAUCAUUUCUACUGUUGGAGGAGUUGAGAUCUGUCUGGACCCAGAGAGCAUCUGCCAUAUUUUCGAUAUUGCUCUGGUUGGACUCAAAGUAUACAAGUCCAAAAUGUGGCCCAUUGUGCCAGGAUUUGAGCUUAGAGAGGUCAUUCAGAGGAUUUGUGAACUUCCAGACGCCCAGGAGAUGGGCAAACCAUUGCCACACAGUUUGACGGUCAUCAACAGGGUGCUACACCAUAUAUUGUGCUCUAUCUUUCUACCACGAAGUGGACAUUGAGAUGAGGUCUCUUAUUAUGAGGCAUUCCUUAUUGACUCCAUUCUAACGGAGAGACGAAUUCAUCUACUAUGUCAUCAUUCACUAAGCCUCCUCACAGUGACAUACCACCUCAUCAGGCACCUCUUGCUCCUGACCAUGCUCCAUUGAUGGAUUUAUUUACUCAUAUUAGCUCUCUAGGCACUCGCAUGAAGGAGUUUGUUGUAGUUAGUGAUACAUGGUUCUACUCCAUAGAGGAUCGCAUGGAUCAGUAUCAGACUGGCUUCACGUCACAGUUUGAGUAUCUCCAAUAGAGGAUUGAGCAUAUUGAGGAUCACUUGAGCAUGAGAAGAUGAUGGCUUUUCUAUGCUCUGUGUUUCCACCUCCACCUCGUCAACCUUGAUUUCUUAGAGACCCAUUGUUUUCAUUUUGUAAUGUUGCCAAAAGGGGGAGAUAUUUAGGAUCUAGGACUCUAUAGGAGACUUACAUGCAUAUCAUUUUCAUAUCAUUGUUUGGAUCGUACAUAUUGGAUAGUGAUACUUUUUACUUAUAUAUGAUAUGCCUAUAUGUUUCAUGUCUUACAUUGUUUCUUAUUGCAAAUUAUCUCUAACAUGUCUUGAUUAUCUUUUUUUUAACUUCAUAAAUUUUGAUUGUUAACCCAUGAUUGGUUUGAGGGGAAGAUUCUUCUUCUCCUAGAUAACCAAGGUUUGUCAUCAUAAAAAAAUUGGAGAUUGUUAGCCCAAGGGUUCUCCUAAUCAUGUUUUGAUGAUAACAAACCAUGCUUAAGUUACUAAUUGGUUUGAAUUAUAAAGAAUUUCAAGUGUUAAUUUGAAAAUUCAUCAAAGAACCUAAUGGAUGCAAGAUCAAGAUUUUUGGAAGACCUUUAAUCAUAAGAAACAUAUGUAAGAUGAAUGCAUGGGUGCACUUAAGAUUUGCAUAUCAUUUCAUGCAUAUUUGGAAAACACGGUUUAUGCUUUAAAGUUACAUUUCCAUCAAAAUUUGAGAUCCAUCAAAUGAACCUUAGGAAAAAUGUUUUAAAAUUGGCAUAUAAUUUUACCUAAAGACCUUGCCUAAGUGUUAGAAGCAAAAGGACAAAAAAAAUAUAGGUUUUCUGGUCAAAAAUGGUGAACCAGUCAAGGCAUUGUCUAAAUCAGCUCAAUCGGCCAAGGUACCGGUCGAUCGGUUUCCCUUUCCCUGUCGAGAUCUAGUCAAGAGGUACAAAAAUCACAAUCUCUGUCUCUUUCUCUCUUUGUCUAUCUUCCAGUAGUCUUUCCUUCCCGGUCGAGGGAUUUGCCUUCCCGAUUGAGGUCCGAUUGAGAGUAAUAGUCACUUGCCAAAUAUUAAAUGCUCCAACAGUUAGUGAACUGGUCGACCCCCACCUUGCCCAGUUGAGGUUACUUUUUGGUUUUCUUGGCUCCCGAUGUUAGAAACCUAUAAAUAGAGAGUUCCACUUCAUUUAUGAGCAAGAGAACACUUGCAUUUAUUUGUUUACCUACUUGUUCUUGCCUUAAAAGCUCUCAUUUCUUUUCUUGGUGCAUUAAAUCUCCAUUUUGAUAUCCUUUAGUGCACCUUUGUGAUUCAUCUUAGCCUUGAGUUGUAUUUGAGCCCUUUUUUUAGCUAGGUUGAGAGUUUCAUACUUGUUAAUUGAGUGUUAAAGCCUUCAAGUGAGUUGAAACUUGUAGAGAUUAUGUGAGAGUCGAUUGGAGCCGAAAUCCAAGUGUAAAGGUGAUUAGAAGCUUGGUUGAAGCUUCAAGUUAGUGGAAUCCUCACUCAAUUAGGAGCUUGAGGAGAGUGGACGUAGCCAAGGAAGUGUCGAACCACUAUAAAAUUUGAGUUUGAUUUCUCUAACAUUGUCUCUUUAUAUUUGUUUAUCUUGUGCUUAAAUUUAUUGUGUUUAAAAAGAAUUUUUAAAUACCCAAUUCACCCCCCUCUUGGGUGUUUUUCUCUUUUAAAAUUAGCCUUUAUUUUCUCACAAACUAUUGUAGUAUAGUGGUUUUUAGGUGUCAUCCAUUAGGAUGAAUUGUUCUCGGUAAUUAAGGCGUGAAUGAGAGGAGAAUUAAUGAUUGUGAUUAAGUAAAAUUGAUUUGAAAAUUCAUGGUGAAAAAUCAAUUUAACAAUGGUUUCUAAUUGAGAAAAACAAUGAAAUGUGAAAUAAAAUAAAAUUAAUAGGAAAUGAAAUUCUCGAAGUUAGAAUUUUCUAAAAAACAAAUUCCAUGGUGAAUGGAUGUUGAGAUCUAAUUUUCAUCAAGUUAGAUUGAAAACCGAAAUUUUCAUAUAAACUGAUUUUUUAUUUAGUUUUAGGUCUAGAUUUAAUUUCCCUUAAAAUUAGGUUAUUUAAUCCAAGAAAUCAAUUCAAAUCAUAUAUUCAAUUCAUCUUAAAUUAUCUUCCAAUUAUUCACACAAUGCAACUAUUCAAUCUCAUCAAAUCUAGCUUUUAAGAAUUUAAUGAAUCUACCUAGUUUGCAUUGUAAUAGUCAUCCAUGACAAUUUGAAGAGAAAAAUAAUUCAAUUAAUCAAUCACUUGGAUCAAAUUACCUUUGCAAUUAAAGUUCAUUUCUCUAAUUCACCACAGAUUUUGUCUCUAGAUCCUCCUUUCUCAAAGAAAAAUGAGAUUUAGCCACACAUGAUUGGAGAUUUGGUCUCAUAAGGCAUGUUUAGCUAGUGAUAAAAUGAGAGAAAAUAAAGAAAAAUAGAGAAUUCGAUUAAGAAAGAAAAUCUAAAAAAUUCUACAAUUAGAAAUGUCCAAAAAGCUUUUUCAUGAGAAAAUCAAGUUUCUAUUUAUAGGCCAAGGUCAAGUGGACACUUGACAUCAUCUAAGAGGUCUUCCGGAAGCUUCUUCAUCAAGAAAUCUGGAGUUUAAUAAUAAAAUGGUCAUUUCACAAGAGCUCAAACAAUUUCGCAUGAUUAUGUGAAAUAAAAAAUGCAACAACAGCAAUUUACAUCUUCUUGGAGCAUUUCGCAUGACUGUGUGAAAUUUUCACAUGAUCAUGUGGAAUCGACUUGACAACUCUCAUUUAGCCUACAACAUAAUUCCACCUUUUGGUCCAUUUUUCAUAGUCAUGCGAAAUGGAAAUAUUUGAUUUUUAAGUUUUCUUUUGUCAUUUCUUUCAUUUCCUUCUCUUGAUUCCACUUCAACUACCUCCGAAUCCUGGUCCAAACCAAUUGCAUUACUUCUUUCAUUAUGCAUUUGGAUCAUCAUCAACAUUAUUUGUUCUCUUCAAUUUGAUUCAUCUCUUUUGUCACCAAUUUAUCAAAAUCAUACCUUGAAAUGACUCCAAAACUUCAUAAAACUUGUUAGUAACUCUUGCAAGGGCAACAACAUAUUAAUUAAGUGUUUUAGGCAUAGUUACUACUCAAAAGAUGCGAAACUCAUGAUAAUUAUUAUAUAAAAUAUGCUCUUUUUGAGUAGUAAUCAACUUUCUUGCAUAAGCAGACCUUUUAGGGUGGAGUACUAAAGACCAAUAUGCUUGUCCUUGUUGUAAUAAAGAAACUUGCUCUUAUUGAUUGCACCAUGGGAGAAAAUUUUGCUACAUGAGUUAUCAUCAAUUUCUUCCCACCAAUCAUAGAUUUAGACGUGACAAGAGGCCUCUUAAUGGCAAGGAGGAACUGACACUCACACUUAUACAAUUAUCGGGCAUUGAUGUGUUGCAACAAUUAGAAUAACUUACACCAAUUAUGUUGGGGAAGUCACAAAAGGCAAACAUGAAAACUAAAAGGAAAAAAGAAAAAUGUUACAUAUCACCACAACUGGAAAGAAAAAAGUAUUUACUUUCAUUUGCCAUAUUGGAAAGCACUUAUUUUACAUCAUAAUAAUUUAGACAUAAUGCAUAUUGAGAAAAAUGUGUGACAAUAUAAUUGAGACAUUGUUCAGUAUUGACGAAGAAACAAGGACAACCUAAAUAGUCAUCUCGAUUUACAAGCUCUAACUAUUAGAAAUGAGAUUCACCCAAUAGAAAGCAGGACCAAAUUUAUUUUGCUUGCAACAUGCUACUCACUCACCCCAAAUGAGAUUAAGGAAUUUUGCAAGUUUUUGAAAUCAAUAAAGGUCCCCAAUGGCUAUUCUUUCAAUAUCUCUCGUUAUGUGCAACUCAAUGAAAGGAAGAUAUAUGAGCUCAAAUUGUAUGAUUGUCAUGUCCUAAUGCAACAACUUCUCUCACUUGUAGUUCGUGGAGUUCUACAUAAGAAUGUUUGUGGAGUUAUCAUAGAAUUGCGUAAUUUUUUCAAGCAAUUGUGCUCAAAGGUGUUAGAAACAAAUCACUUACACCAACUUGAGAACAAUAUUAUUGUCAUACUAUGUAAAAUGGAGCAAAUAUUUCUUCCAUCAUUCUUUGAUAUUAUGGUGCAUUUACUUGUGCAUCUAGUAAGGCAAAGGUUGCAAGACUUGUGCAAUAUUGUUGGAUGUACCUAAUUGAACGAUAUUGUUAUAAUUUCAUAUGAAUCAUUUAAUUUUAUUUUAUAUUAUGUUCAGUUCAUUAACAUGUACAUUGGUCUACAUAUGGAUGAUGAUAGGUACCUAAGCACUUUAAAGUCAUAUGUGCGUAAUAGAACUUUUCUAGAAGGUUCUAUUGUAGAAAGGUACCUUGCAAAAGAAUGUACAACAUUUUAUUCUAGGUACUUGAAUGAUGUGGAAAUAAAGUAUAAUCACAAUGAUAGAAACUUUGUUGGUUUCAACACUAGAGGAGAUGAAAGGGGUUAUCUUUAAACAUAUUGGACAUGCAUUGGGAAAGCCCAUAUUUCAUUAACUUAGUUCAAAAGAGUGGUCACAAGCACAUUUAUAUGUGUUGACAAAUUGCGAAGAUGUCAUACCAUUCAUUGAGUAAAAAAUUUAUUUGAAUUUUAAUUAAAGCUCUAGUUUAUAUCCUUAAUCAAUGUUUUUUAAAUUCACAAGGAGCACAAGCAAACCAUCAAGGCUAGACCACAUAUACGUGUUUGAGACGUAGAUUUAAUUCAUAACAAGGAAUUUAUCAAGUGGUUUGAAAGACAUGUAAGUAUAUUCCUUAUUAUAAGGGAUUUAUUUCACAUUAUGUUUAUAUUGAAUCCAAACCUAUUAUUGAAUUGUAGGUUGAACAAUUACAUAAUGAAGGUCAUAUAUCUGAACACCUUCUCACAUUAUCAUGUGUUCCAAAUUCAUUAGUUACAUGCUUCAAAUGAUAUAUUGUCAAUGGAUUUAGAUCCCACAUUAAAGAACGUGAUAAAAAAGUUUUUAAAAAAAGACUCAGAAUAAUGGAAUUGUUGUAGUUGCAAAAACGUCAAGCUUUACAAGUGCAUGUGAUAUGAGUCCAAUUAUUAGUGAUGCUCUCUACUAUGGUGUUCUAACUAAAGUUGUUGAGUUACAUUAUCUUGGUGAAAAUAAGGUUGUUUUAUUCGAGUUUGAUUGGUGGGAUGUUACAAAUAUUGGAAAAUUGAUAAAAGAUGAUGAGUACAAUUACACAUUUGUUAACUUUGCAUGAAUUCUAACCACGAACGAACGAUUUGUACUUGCAUCUCCAGCAAAGUAAGUGUUCUAUGUGAAGAAUGCGAAUGAAUCAGAUUGGCAUACUAUCAUGGAGAUGCAACCUCAAGACCUCUAUAAGAUGAACGGGAUAGGAUCCAAUGGUGAUUUUGAACCAUUUCAACAAAGUGAACUACAUGAUCACUAAUAUAUCUCAGAUUUAGUUGAUGAAGAUAUAAUCAAGUGGAACAAAAGUGAUGUUUUAGGACUAAUCAUCCUAAAAAAUAUUGUAGUUUCUUAAAAAAAAAAUGAAAAUGAAGAAGAUAAUUGAACCUUUGUCAUACUUUAAAAAGCAACUAUGCAUUGUUCAUUUUGUAUGUUUUGGUUUUCUUCAUUUAAUUUCCUGAUUUUUGUGAUUCAAUGUCAUAUUAUUGAUCUUGAAAUAUUUUUCUAAUUUUUCAUUCUACGAUGGUUUCAACAAGGAUGACAUCAAGUCAAAAAAGGAAAUGUGGUCCCACACACAAUAUUGCAUUACAGGGAUUAAGGUCAGGGAAGAAGGUAAAAGUUGCAUUUAAUGAGUACAAUCAAUUGGUUAAACAGAAAAAUGGAAAACACUUAUCGAGCUACAUAGGGACACUUGUAUCUAACCAACACAAUGUACCUCUCCAAGCUAGUGAUUGGAAAAAUGUUCCAAAUGAUGCAAAAGAGAAAGUAUGGCCUUUGUUUUGGUAUGUUGUAUUUCUCACUAUAUGAUGUCAUUUCACUGUUAUUCUAUUUUGUGACUAACGUUUGAAUCAUAUGUAAGAAAAAUUUGAAGUAGAUAAAGACUGAAAAGAUUACAUGUUGGGUAUAGCCUCAAAUAAAUAUAGAAGCUAUAAAAAUAUGAUGAAUGCAAAAUACUAUGACCCUUGGCAUAAGGAUGCAUGAGGAGAGGUUAAUACAUAAAUCACCAUUUGUCUCUGAUGUUGAUUGGAAGUGGCUUGUCUCUGAUGCAUAAACCAAAUCCCCCACUGAAUGUUUGAUAUUUGAUAGCAGGAAAAACACACCCGCAGCUAUACACCUCCAUCAUUCAGAUAAUUAUAGUGGGGGAGAUGAUUCAUGGUUGCCCUUAUACCCUUUAUUUGCACCAUCUAUUGAGAUUCUUUAUCAUGGCCAGGUUUUACUGCAGCAAUAAGAUAUGGUGGCAACAAUUUUAUCUAUAGGUGCGGUUCCAGACCGCCUCCAUAGGUGCGGUUCCUGACUGCCUCCAUAGGUGCCUCUUCUUGUAAUGUUUGUUCUGGGAAUUACACUUGAAAGCCUUAUCGUGAUAAGGGAUUACAAACACUAGUUCAGAGGACAGCCAUGUUAAACUUCCACUAUGUUUGUGUCACAUUAUCAGCAGCCUAGUGUUUAUUGGUCAUGCUAUCUGCAACUAAUAUAACCCGGUGAACUUCAAUCUAAAUUCUGAAAGUACUCAUGUGACAGAUGGUGCCUUUCAGCAGAUAUCAUCAAUUUAAAAGUAGUGUGUGUGCCUAUAGGUGGGAAGGCCUUGGCAAAUGUUCAGUAUUCCGGUAAUUCAAGAAGGAUAUAUCUAAAAUAGAUUUUCUUCUUGCCCAUUUCAAUAGUUAAAAUUUGAGAAGAUUGUGUCCACAUCACACAAAUAUUAUUGGUCCUUCUGUUGCAAUUUACCUCUGAACAUGUCUUCCAAUUCCCACGGUCCUGUUACUCCAGGAAAACUAUUUCGGUCAUAUUGAAAAAAAAAAUAUUAAAGAAGGUACACAUGCUUUUAAGUGGACUGGGGCAUUCAUAUCAGGUGGUCUGUAUCCACAUAUGCCACUUCGUGAAAGGUGGAACAGCCUAAUCACUAGGCUAUUUAGUGUGGCCCAGCCACGUUAAUCAAGCACAAGUCUUCAUACUUAAAGUCAAAUGGUGUCUUUAGUCUCAUUACACAUCGCUAUUUGAAGAUUAACUCAUCACUAGUGUAAUGCGAUUAAGACAGUCCUAACUCAAUAUUUGUUCUAGUUUUGGAUGCAAAUGCUUGCUGGUUUCAUCAUUGGAUGGGAUAAAGGUGCAAUCAGGACUAUGAAUACGUGCAGUAAUACUUCAUUCUCUUUUUUCUCAAUGAGACUUCUUGGCACAAUUUUGCUGCUCAGCAACCUACCUUUCCAUGGAAAAUCAGUUGUGACUGAUAGUAAUGGAUAUAUUCUAGAAAGCUAAACAUAGAUAGCAUUCAAUAUUAUCGAUAUAACAUUAACAGCGUAUGUCUCAAUGCUCAUCAGCUACAAGCAAUGGACAAACACUUUGAGUAACUCACAGCAGUCAAAAUUCCUAAACAGGACAGACGUGACAGAUCUAUAUAUAGAACACUGCAUAUGAGUCACAGGAAAAGAUAAUACGGGUACAUAGAAGCUCUUAUUUUACAUAUUACUCAUACUGAUCAAAGUCGCUCAGUUGGGAUGGAUGGGAGAAGGAGGUUUGAGGGGUGGCUUGUGCGGGGAAGUUGGCAGCUUCUUUCCGGGAGCUGGUUGCUUCUUUGCUGGAGUUGAAGGAGGCUUAAUCUUCCGAGGUGGCUUGUAUGAGUCUUCAGCAUUCUCAGCAGGAGGGUGACCAGGGUUGUGACCAUAAUGUGGUGGCUUCUCUCCCUUAGGUGGUUUGCCAACUGGGGUUGGUGGCUUGUUUUCUGGGAGUGGCUUCUCUCCCUUGGGUGGUUUGCCAACUGGGGUUGGUGGCUUGUGUUCUGGGAGUGGCUUCUCCCCCUUGGGAGGUUUUUCGAAUGGGGUGGGUUUGUGUCCUGGUGGUGGCUUCUCUCCCUUGGGAGGUUUACCAAUUGGGGUCGGUGGCUUGUGUUCUGGGAGGGGCUUCUCUCCCUGGGGAGGUUUAGUGGGUGGCUUGUGUUCUGGAGGUGGCUUCUCCACCGGAGGCUUAUGCUCUGGUGGUGGCUUCUCGAAGGGGGGAUGCUCAGGGUAAUCACCAAGUGAGGGGGUGGUGAGAACCACCAUGCCAAGCAACAACACUAGCAAGUAUGUAGUAGACAUCUUUGGGUUUGGACUCAGACAGUGCAAAACUACGAGAAAUCGCUAGCCCUUUAUAGCGGCUCGGACCUAAUACUGACAUAAUAUAAAAUAAAUAUUAUAUUUUAUCAAGAGAGAACAGAGUGUAAUUUUAUCAUUAAUACCGAUCGAGGCCAAAGAAAGAAGACCCAUAAUCCAUUUCCCACAAGCAUACACAAUGCAGCUGUAAUUUUAUCAUUUACUUUUAUCCCUUGGACCACUGCAUUUUUGUUGAGAGACACAAUAACACAUUUUUAUCUGUCAUUCAACAUUUACAGUAAAGAGAGGGCACAAAACGCAAUUAGAUAAAUUAUGUUUUGCCUGCUAAAAAGAGGCAAAUAACUUUAUUUGCAACAUAAUUAUUUUGGUUUCUAGUGACCCCGGGGCCUUUCGGUUGGUUUGGGAUCGGAAAAUGAACAUCAUAGGGGGGGUUGUGCCCUUAUGGGCAUAUAUAUCUGAUAGCUUCAACUGGCCUUGUUCCUAGAAAGAAAUUGCCAAAGAUAUAAACUUAUUCCAGGCUGAAAGUAGAUGAGAGUCAUAAUGAACAUCAACCUUUGUUCAGUUUGAUUCAAUGCCCCCAUAGUGUUCAUUUCACAGAUCUGAAUGAUUAUAUCCGUUGAAUACAUAAAUUAAUGAAGACAAAUAUGAAACCCAAGAUACAUCUCUGCAUAACAACCCCAACCCUGGUUGCUAUGUUUCCCUUCUUCUAUUCACAUGAGGAUACUGGUUAUAAUUGUCAAACUUGCAACAAGCCCUUUGACACCUAACGUCAAUGGACGAAUUAAAAGUCUCCUUCAAACGUCUAUUUCACAGCAUGAAGCUUAUAAAGGAUGCUGACAACCUUCAGAGUUAGCGACAAAAGAUAAUUAUCAAGGAGAGAUAGUUCCAUGAGAAUUCCAAGGAGUCUGAAUCAAAGACAAAUUGCUCACUCAAGGGUUCUUAUUUUCUUUUAGGUACAAAUCUCUUGAGUGUUGUUAAAGAAACACGUCACUGUCAUUUUGAUUUGCAUUUAACAUUUCACUUUUGUUCUGGAAGGUUUGUUCCGGAAACAUAUCAAAUGAGCAUCAUUUUCUUCUUCGGUGACACAUGGUCGCGAGUACGUGGGUCCAUUUUCAUGCCACUUAGUUGAAAAGUUGGAAAGAAAAAACAUGCCAACAAGAAGAUAGUGAGAGAAGGGGCACUUCAAGCCUUUAACAUGAACAAACAGUAAAUAAAAGAUGUUUCUCCACUCAUAAAAGUGUGUUAGAUAGCAAUAUAACGAAUCACAUCCAAAAUCUUUACUAGGCUCAAACAUAAAGAAGACUCAUUUUUAAGAAAAGAUAAAAAUGGCAUUGUCUGAUAGUAUCCAAUACACGAGAUGGCACUUAAUUUGUACAAGAUCUGUCAAUGCUGACGCACAUUUUCUGAUUAAAAAAAAACUGAUCAGUCAAAAGCAAUGAAGAGAAGUGAUGACAAUGAAUGAUGCUUCCAAUAUUUUCACCCCUUAUAGUGUUCUUCAUGAUUCAGAUAUAUAAUUGGAAAUAGAACAACCCUAUGCCAUACAUUCGUCUAAGUAUGGUGUCUAAUUUUUUGUGUCAGCGGUUGCGAAUGGAGCGUGCAAAAGUCCAAAUUGGCGUCUCUCCAUUUCCACAUAGGAAGGUGACCUUUAUUGACAAAUACCCAAUAUUUGUAGACAUUCCUUAAAUAUCAUAACUUCUUGUUGAUUUGAAAAUCAUUUUUCAACUACCAUGUUUUAAUAAAUAUUUUUUAAAAUGUAUUUUUAUCAAAGUCCACCAUGAUGGAUAAUAUUCACCAUGCAAUAAUUAAUAAAGUACAAACUAAGCGAAAUGAAAAGCAUUUUCUUUGCUUUGAGUUGAUUUUGGUUGCAUUGAGUUGAUUUUGGUUUCAUGGUUUUUUCAACUCUUAUUUUGAUUGGAAGAUGUCAAGAAAAGAAAACAUAAAGAAAAAUUAAAAGGGAAAAAAGAAGAAAAAUAAAAAAAAAUAGAUUUAAAAGUUAAUAAAUUAUUUUUUAUAUUUAUUUUAAUUCAUUUCACUUAUUUUUCUUUUACUAUAUAAAAUUUAAAUAAUUUAAAUUUUAUAAUUAAUUUAAUUACAUUUCAUUUUCUUCUAUAUUUAAAUAUUGGAAAAAUAUUUUACUUAAUAUUUUUUUCUUUAAUUUCUUUGGCAUUUUGGGAACCAAACUUAGCCUUUAAAAUAAAAAACAAAAAAAAAAUGAAAAUAAGGAGGGAAAAGUGAGAAAAGAUAAAAACAAUAUGUAAAGGAUUUGAAAAGUAUUAGUUUGUAAUUACUAUUUGGAUUUCAAUAGUAUUUUAUUUGUCUUUCUAUAUUUCAUGUAAGAGAGAAUUUAAGAUAUUCCCCAAGGCAAAGCAUUAGUUACCUGCAAUCAGUGGUGAUAAGGCUCCAAGCCAAUUUUGGGCCCCAUAUCUUAAGACAGUACAAUUUCCAUUUCAACAUUUCUGAUUUCUCAGAUGUUUCACAUACCACAGAAGAACAUUGUUUGUGAAAAUAUGCAUUUAUGUUGGAUUUUGUAUGCUGUGGGGACUGGGGCAAGGAUCAUAUGGAAGAGUGGUUGACUUUUUCUGUACUUUAACGGUUGAAAUAGGAUAAGCACGGGCAUUUGUGAGGCUUAAUUGAUUUUGAAGCCUGAAAUUGCGUUUCUGUCAUUUUGUCAAAAAAAUGGCAGAUUCCAUACUCAUAUGUUUGGCCUGUGGCCAUGUACAGAUGCCAUUUAGUGACCAGUUUGUAACUGUCAAUCGUUGCGUUUUGACUCUGCCUCAACAACAUCUGCCAUUGACGGGUUUUCAUACUUGCAAAUCAAAUAGUCUUUCGUCCCAUCAGGAAUUUCGGUUUAAAUAUUAUUAAGCAUACGUUUGGCUGACAAUCAUUAUCCAGUUCAUGAUUUGGUUUCUUACCCUUAAUCAAUGGUUUCUAAGUGAAUAUAUGUAGAAGGAAAUCCGAAGUGUAGACAGUAGUAUCGAUAACUCUCAAUAUUCUCUAUAUAAUAGAAUAAACAGCGUCAUAGUGAUCGUCGCCUACAAGCAAGGUACAAAUACCAAAACGAGUGACUCACAUAGACAUCUCCCAACAAGAUGUAGUAGUGACUGACACAUGGACACAAUUAACUCGUAGAAAAGGAUAAGACCAUUGCACAGCAGCUCUUAUUUUACAUACUACUUAUGCUAACCAAAGUCAAUUAGUUGGGAUGGGUGGGAGAUGGAGGUUUGUGCGGUGGCUUGUGGGGCGGAGUUGAUGGCUUCUUUCCAGGAGCUUCUGGCUUUUUCAUCGGAGCUGAAGGAGGCUCAAUCUUAUGAGGCGGCUUGUAUGAGUCUUCUUUACUCUCGACAGGAGGGUGGCCAGGGUUGUGAUCAUAAUGUGGUGGCUUCUCUCCCUUAGGUGGCUUGCCAACUGGGGUUGGUGGCUUGUGUUCAGGAAGUGGUUUCUCUCCCAUGGGAGGUUUAGCAAUUGGGGUUGGUGGCUUGUGUUCUGGGAGUGGCUUCUCUCCCUUGGGAGGUUUAGUAGGUGACUUGUGUUCUGGAGGUGGCUUCUCCACCGGAGGCUUGUGCUCCGGUGGUGGCUUCUUGGUUGGAGGGGGCUUGGGGUAAUCAGCAAGAGAUGGGGUGGUGAGAACCACCAGUCCAAGGAACAACACUAGCAAGUAUGUGGGAGACAUUUUUGAGUUUGGGCUGAUCAGAUGAUGCAAAACUAAAGCAUUACGUGACCUUUUAUAGCAUGUAGCUCCCAAUACCCACUAAGUAUUGUGGGGUCCAUUUGUGCCCUACGGGGUUGAAAACUUAGACAAUUGGGCAAGGACCCACCUGACUAUGGAGGACUAGUGAGGUGUGAUCAUAGCUUUAGGAUUUUUCUUCCUCUGCAGCCGUCGUGCCGUUGGCAUGAUUUUCUUAAUCUUAAAUAAAGGCAUAGUUAUAGAGUUGUUUAAUCUCUAAAUGGGAUUUUAUAUAUAUCUUCAGAUAGCCAUUAAUAUAUUUGAUGAAGAAAGAAAGACAAGUGCAUACAACAUGUAUACGACUAGCUUUCAUGGAGUUCAUUUAUGAUCAGUUUUCCUGUACAUGUAAACCAGGAUCAUAUAUAUGUUUCUGUUCCACAACUAUUUUGGAAUCUUGUUUAUCAGUUUUUAUCAUUAUAAUGUCACAUAGGCUGCCAACUUGGGCGCUAAAAGAACCAGUUGGGCUAGUUCGUUUCAGAAUUUCAAUGUGGAUUCAGGAAUUGUUUUGUAAGAUAUGCGAAAUAGUAGAGGGAUGAAUAGUGUUUCAUUAAUAAAAGUGUCCUGUAAAUUAGAAGGUGUCAUAGAAACUAUAAUCAAUAAAUAACUUUUUUUCCCCACGGGUGGUGUUUCUUGUGGGGAUCAGUGACUGGUUUAGGUUCACCCAAAAUGAGUUCAGACUAAAAUUGGUUUGAGUCAAUGCCGUGUCUCUUUUUUCCAGAAAUCAACUAUUUUAUGCAUUGAAUAAAUCAUACAAAGAAAAUAUGAACGCCCGCAAAACCUAAACCCUGGUUGCUAACUUUCUAUGUUUCAGUUCUAUUCACGCAAGAAUAUUAGUUUAAGUUUGGGAAAAAUGGCAACUUACCUAGUGAUUACUUGGUUUUGGUUUGCGACUAUUUACGCAACCAACCAUGAGUUUGACUUUAACGUCAUGGGUUGAAGCCUCCUACAGGAAGGGAGAAAGCUCCACAGCUAGCUCCAAAAGAGAAUUAUCACAUUGAUAGCUCCAGAGAUUCCCAAGGGGACUGAAUCAAAGACAAGUUCCUCACUUUUUCUUCUUUUGAGGCCAAAUAUGAACCAAGGAUCACACAACCUCAUUCAACUUCAUAAGUUUGAUUUCAUGCAGUUGAACACUGGGUGAAGGCCAUGACAAGAAUUGAUUCAAAAAUUCUAUCACUCUUUUAAGUAAUGGAAGAUUAUUAUCUCUGAUUGGCAUCACAACAGCACAUGCUCCUAGAUCUUUCUAGACACUCCAUGCAAUGAAAGCACAAUGGAUCUUGUAACGAUAGAAACUAAGCCAUGCUACAGUACUAGAUGAUGAGGUAAAACUAGUAGACACGGGUGGCAGCCUAUAUGGGAGGGACACAAGUCUAAUUGAUUUGCAUUUCAGCAUUAUAGAUAGGUAUGUUUUGGAAGAUUUGUUCUGGAAAUACCGCACCAAGUAGGAUUCUUUUUCUCUUUAGUGGGUCCACUUGCAUGCCAAUUAACGAGUUGAAAAGUAUGAGCACCUACCUCGUGCUCGUGGAACCGAAGGUCAGUGAAGUGGGGCUCCUUUUGGCCUCGUGUAAACUUGAUUCAGAAGUGAAGUUAAUAGUCUUCCAUUCAGAUGGAUACAUGGGAAUUUUUCUCUUUUAUUUAUUUAUUUAUUUUUUUUUUGUGUGUGUAUGUCAAAGGAUAAUGAAUGAAGCGCGUUAGCUUGUUUUCUGACUGGAACCGCAGAUGUCCAAAUUGGAGUUCCUUCAUUUCUUACUUAGGAUUGUUACAUGUAUAAACAAGGUAUAAGAAAUAUGCCAACGUGUCUUGAGGAGUUAUUGAUUAGAAAUAACAAGUCACCCGACUGUAGAGUUCCAAGAUUUGAAUCUUCAGACCCUAUAGCAGCCUCUGGGGUACGUGGCAUCCUAUAGCAUAUUAAUGAAGGCUUUUUCGAUUUAGACUUCACAAUACCAAUUAAUAUGUAUGCACAAAAUGGAGAUGACCCCAAAAAAAACAGAAUCGCCAUAGUUUAUGAGGUUAAGGUGAUUCUCCACUUAAUAUCUACAUUAGCUAAUUAUGUAAAUCAAAUGAACUUCUAUUUUUCCUUUUUUUUUUUGGUUUAUGUCAAAUAGUAGCCCAUAAUUAACCCAACCAUUAGCCUGUUUGAAUUGAUUUCACAUGCACAAUGUUGUAGUAGUUCAUAUUUUGAAUUUUAUUUUUACAAAGGUAGUUAAGGAAAAUGAAGUAUAAUAAUUAUAAAAGCAGACUAUAUACACUACAAUAAUUGUUAGAAUGGUAUCUCAAAUUCUAAUUUAAAAUAUUAUUUUUUGUAAAAGAAAUAUUAUAUAGAAUAUUUCCUAAUUUUAUAAAUGAUUAUAAUUAGAUCUUUAUAAAAUAAGGAAAGUUGGUAAGAAUAUCUUUAUAAAUAUUUUAGGUCAUGAGAGAAAGAAAUGGGAUAAAAAUGUGAUGAAGAGGUGAAAUAAGAGAGUUGAUUAGGAUAUAGAUGUGAAGAAGAAAGGGAUUCAAUAUAUAUAUAUCUUUCAAUUACCACAUUAAAACCCUGUGAACCUUUUAUAUGGUUUACUUUAUUUUUAUAUUCCUCCUUUAAUAUAUUUACAUUAAUGCUUCCAUUGGCACAACAAUAACGAAUUACAAAUACAAGCAACAAGUCCCAUGUUUUAUUACCAAAAGCAGGUAAAAUCCACCUAAUAUAUUACAAUAUAUUCAUCCAAUAUUUUAGACCAAUUCUUCACCAUAAAUAUCAUAAUGUGGCUUUUGUUCUUUCUUAAAUUUAAAUUGAAUUGUCUUAUAUCAAUUUGUUUGUGAUUUUUUCAUUAACUUCACUUUCAUUUGGUUAUCUUUGGUUUUUGAAAAGUAUUAAGGAAUUAAUUAACAAAAUAAUGUUAAGAAAAAUAAUUUUCUCUCUUUUGAUUUUGAUUUUGUAGUAGAAAAAUAUAAUUAAAAUUAUUUAAAAAGUAUGUAAUUUUAAAUUAUUUAAUAUUUAGAUAAAAAAAAUAAGUCUAAUGAGUUUAAAAUAACAUAUAAAAAUAAUUUAUUUAUUUUAAAUUUAUUUUUUAUUUUCCAUUAUGUUCUCUUUCUCUUUUACUUUUUCAUAUUUUUUCUUACGAAGAAUCAAACACAACCUCAUAUUAUAUGUCAAGUGUUUGUCUAUAUUUGAGCAAUGUUAGAUACGGCCAUGGAUUCAUCAAACUAAACUGAUUUUAAUAGAUACUUCACAAAUUGAUUUAUACACUAAAUCAUUGGAUAGCAAUGAUGCAUUGGAAUUAAACGUAGGAUGAAGCUCGAAGAACACUGUUUGUGUAACAACAUAUUUAUGAAAUUAUGCAAAGGAUGAGCUUCGGGGUAGUAGUACAAGGUCAUUAAUGGAGAGCCGUGUUAAACCUUGAUUGUGAUUGGAUUCCGUUAUCAGCAACAGCAACCUUGUUUGUAACCUUGAAAGUCAUUCUGUCCACAUCGAAACUCCAAUUUGACGUUUGUAAUUACCAUUCCUGGAGUGUUCCUUGAUUGAAAUUUAAAUAAUAAUUGCGGCCCACAAGGAAUAUUUUCGAUUCUGUGGGAAUUUGACAAGGUUUGUUAGAGAAGACUGGUGACAUGUUGACUUCAAUGGUUCAAAUAGGAGACGUAUGUGGAUUUGGGGGGUUUAAUUGAAACUGAGUCCCUAUGGCUUUUUAAUAUUUGCAUUGAGCAGUCUCCAUGUGACUUCCUAAUUCCCACCAACCCUCCUGUCCAUGCUGUGAAACUAAAUUGUAAUUUAUCAGCCUUUGUCAAUGGUUUCUAAAUUAAAGAUAUAGACCAUGCAUGUACUUUAAUAAAAGCAAAUCUAAAGUGUAGAUAGCAGCAAUGGUGACACCCAAUAUUCUCCAUAAAAUAGAAUUAGAAUAAGCAGUGUUACAUUGUUCAUGAUCACCUACAAGCAUACAAGAACUUCCAUGAAUAACUCAUAGCAAUUGCCAACAGGGCGUCGUAGAGACUCAUACAUAGAACACUAUCCACCCAGAGGAAAGGACAAGACCAGUGCGCUGCAGCUCUUAUUUUUCACAUGUAUACCACCACUCGUAAUAACCAAAUUCACUCAGUUGGGAUAGGUGGGAGAUGGUGGUUUGUGGGGUGGCUUGUGGGGAGGAGUUGGAGGAGGCUUUAUUUUCUGAGGCGGCUUGUAUGAGUGUGCAGGAGGAUGCCCGGGAGUGUGACCAUAAUGUGGUGGCUUCUCUCCCGUAGGUGGUUUGCCAAAUGGGCUUGGUGGCUUCUCUCCCUUAGGAGGUUUACCAAUUGGGGUUGGUGGCUUGUGUUCUGGGAGUGGUUUCUCUCCCUUGGUAGGUUUGCCAAUUGGGGUUGGCGGCUUAUGUUCUGGGAGUGGCUUCUCUCCCUUGGGAGGUUUGCUAAUUGGGGUUGGCGGCUUAUGUUCUGGGGGCGGCUUCUCUCCCUUGGGAGGUUUGCCAAUUGGAGUUGGCGGCUUAUGUUCUGGGAGUGGCUUUUCUCCCUUGGGAGGCUUGCCAAUUGGGGUUGGCGGCUUAUGUUCUGGGGGUGGCUUCUCUCCUUUAGGAGGUUUGCCAAUUGGAGUCGGCGGCUUAUGUUCUGGAAGUGGCUUUUUUCCCUUGGGAGGUUUGCCAAUUGGGGUUGGCGGCUUAUGUUCUGGGGGUGGCUUCUCUCCCUUGGGAGGUUUGCCAAUUGGAGUCGGCGGCUUAUGUUCUGGGAGUGGCUUCUCUCCCUUGGGAGGUUUUGUUGGUGGCUUGUGUUCUGGAGAUGGCUUCUCCCCUGGAGGCUUGUGCUCCGGAGGUGGCUUCUGAAAUGGCGGGGGCUUGGGGUAAUGAGCAAGAGAUGGAGUACUGGUGAGAACCACCAUUCCAAGCAACAAUACUAGCAAGCAUGUGGGAGACAUCUUUGAGUAGUUGUAGCUAAGAUGGCGCAACACUGUAGGCAUUGGGUGGCCUUUUAUAAAGGGCUGGACCCAACAGCCAUAUGACACGUGUCAUGAUGACAAAUGAAGUUGAGGGGAUCCAGAUGGGUCCUACUGAGUCGAAAACUUGCACUAAUUGAUCUGGUGAGAUGACUAUUUCUGUCCUUUUGCCCUUCUCGGCCACCCUGUGCUGUUUUCCUUUUGCACGAUUUUCGUUGCCAAACAAGCAAAUAAUAUUUCGCCAAGAAAGAGGAGAGUGAAUGUGGAAUGCAUCAAGUCCCAUCAAGGAUGGCAGAGAAGAAAUAGAAGAUUGCCCAACUGUGAUAAACAUAGCAUACACGUAGCACCAGGAACUUCAUUUACUUCCAUCUAAUGGAACAUAACAAUCUUCUAAAGUUUUUGCAUGAUUUUGUUAUAUGUCUCUUAGCCUAAAGUUGGAAAUGCGCAACAAAUUUUGUCACUUCUCUAUUUCCCACUGAUGAUGUUAAUUAGCCUUCAUAGAUAUCAUCCUUUCUACAAAGUGCUUCAUUUGUGUGUUAUUGUAAAGUGUAAGAAAAGUAAUUGAACAUGUUCUUUUUCCUUUCAUAGAUGACUUUUGAUGUGCAUUUUAAAAGCAGCGCUGUGAGUCGGUGACCUUGAUUCACACGGAAACUAAGGCUCCUAUAGGACCCACUUUUAGCUGGUUAGGGGUGAAGAAAAUAUCAACUUUUCAGAGUGAUUUAAGUCAAGGCCAAGCCUCACUGUGUCAUUACUCGUGUGAAUUUUAUAUGCACAUACAUACAUAAAUAAAGUAUGAGACCCAAAUAACACCUUCCCUUUACAAACUUAACCCCAGCCGCUCUCUUUCAAUUCUUUUCACACAAGGGUAUUGACUCUAUAAAGGUCAAGAAAAUCAUAAUUUCCUAGGGUUUACAAGGUAAUUGGCUUAAUGCUAAUGUGAAAACAUAAAAGAUAAUAGUAUAUUGUAAGCUAACGAAUAUUCUAUAGUUAUAAUUAUUUGUGAUGUGCAUAAAUAAAUCUUCAUAUAUAUAAUGGAACAAUGAAUAAAGAACCAAUGAAAAAAUACUAUAUAUCAUUGCUUGGCAUUUAAACCGUAUAUGCUGCUCUUUCUAGCUACUCCAUCCACUGAAAGACAACAAGGUAAUCCAUGUUAUAAUGAUAGAAGAUACUGUCUCUAGGCUUUUUGUGAUGAAAAAUAUAAGAUAUGGGUAGGGUUGACCCUUGUAUGUUUGUCCUAUAAACACUUCAAAGUAACAUAUUUUUCUUCUUUAGCAACUCAUAAUGAUGGGGUUCAUUUGCAUGUCACUGAGUUGAAAAGUUGGACAAUUGCCCAUGUCGCCUUCCUCCUAGAUUCCGUAGUUCACGGGAAGGUAACUCAAGUUUGACAUAUUUUGAAUUCUUUUCACUCGGACGUCUUCAUAACCUGACAAAACAAAAAUGAAAAACAGAGGAUUGGUAUAUUAUUCAUGGUAAGCCUCAAAUUAUAGUAGUAUGAGAAAGGAGAAAAAGAUUUUGGGAACUCCAAUCUGGAUAAUUCUCGUUUCUUCUCUUGAAUAAAAAUUUCACUUACCUAACUUCGUUUGGAGAAAUGGCAUAUUUUAAUUUUGUACGUCAUUGCUAAUAAAUGGAGCAAUUUAGCAUGUUUUGUGACUGAAACUGCAAAUGUCCAAUUGGCAUUUCUUCAUUUCCCACUUAGGAUCUGAUCUUGUAGACCAUAUAACGAUAUGUAUCUGUGCAAGCAUUGAAAACUAAUGUGAACUAUGAGGAGUUACAAGCCACUGGACUGUAGAGCGAGUGCCAAGAUUUAAAUCUUCAGGCUCUAUCUGGGUAAGGGGAGGAUAGCGACCUAACCUUUUACCAAAGGCUUAGAAUUUAGACUUUUGGAAAAAAAUUUCUCAUGUUUUGGCUGGAUUUCUUGUGCUUGGCGCAAAAAGGAGAUGGCCUCAAGAAAUAGCAGACUCACUUUUGUUUUCAGCCCUUAAUAAUUCUCCACUGCUUUCCAUAACUACAUGGGUUAUACAUGCAGUCUGCUGCAAUAUUCCAGUUAUAUUUAUUAUUUCAAAGAGGGUGAAUGACUUCACAUGCAAUAUGUUGCAGUAACAACCCAAAUUUUGGCACACCAUCUUAAGAAUAGAAAAGUAUAAUAAAAGAAAUCAAUCAGAGAAUCACUUUGCAUGCAGUUCAUAGAGUUCGCCCAAAAUGGAGCCACAUGUACGGACAACCCCACAAUAGACAAUCUUCUCUAUACAGUAAUAAAAUACAGAAAUGGUUAAUGAAGCUCUGUAUUUCCUUAUCAUAUAUGACCGGUUGAAAACUCAGCAAGUCUUCCUCAAUCACAGACAGUUGGAGUUGCUUCAUCAAAAUCAUGCCUUCAUUACUGGCUUCAUUUUGGUUUCAAUGUCUGUUCUACCCUUAAAUUGGGUCUCUGCUUACUACCGGGAUAUCCUUUAGCGUCCUGCAAUUCUACUAGAUUAAAGAGAAUGACUUAAUUCUGCAUUCUGCCGUCCCUAGUCCAAGUGGUACUAGAAUUGAUGUUUCCUUUAGUGUCCUUUCUUCAUACUUUCAGGUUCUUCCCUUGUUUCAAUAAUGCUGUUUUCCUUCAUGUUUAACCUCUGUUGAACCACUUAAAACAACACAAUUUGCACACCAAUGUUUCUUUACAGAAAAGACUGUUUGCAAAAAUGCACAUGUUAUAAGGUUAAUGGAAGAAUUAAUUUGGGGAUAAGGGACUAGGAUUGGGCCAAUGAAGUUUGGUGUUAAAUUUUGAUUAUGAUUGCUUUUCAUUAUCAGGUACCUUAUAUUUGCUGAUGCUAUCUGGAACUAAAUUCAAAUCAGACAUUAUCCGAUUACUAACAGGACAUAUCAUGUCCCUCUGCAGAGUUUCUAAACUAACAUGUAUCGAAAUGUGGCCCCAAAAGGAAGGCUAGGAAGAUGGAGGAUUUUGUAGGAAUCGACCAGAAUCAGAUGGAAGAGAGAUAGUCCUGUUGACUUUAAUGGUUGUGAUAGGAACAUGCAUCAUUAUAUGAGAAGUUGCAUGAAUUUAUGUAUCCUGUUAUCGUUCCUUGACGAUUUCCCAAUGCAAUUUCACUGUCCACAAGACUAACCUCUCCAUGCAGUCAAAUGAAUUGUAAUUUCUCUAUUGGUACCAGUAGUACAUUUCAUACCAAACAUAUAGUAAAUAUAAAAUAUAAAUAGAUCAAGGAAAUCUGAAUUGUAGAUAGCACUGCAAGUAACACUCAAUAUUCUCUAUAUAUAAUAAAAUAAACAGUGUCACAAUACUCAUCACCCAGUGGCAAGGGAGAAAAACCUACAAUGAGUACUCAAAUCACCAUUCUCAAACAGAAACAUAGCAGUGACUGAUACAUAGAACCUAUAUGCUCACAGGGAAAGAAUAAGAUGACCAGUGCACAGCGGGCAGCAGCUCUUAUUUUACGUACAACUCAAAUCCCAAACUAACCAAAGUCGCUCAGUUGGGAUGGGUGGGAGAUGGUGGUUUGUGGGAUGGCUUCUGGGUAGGAGCUGGUGGCUUCUGUCCCUUUGGUGGUUUGCCUAAUGAGCUUGGUGGCUUGUGCUCCGGGAGUUGUUUCUCUCCCUCGAGUAGGUUUCGAGUCUUGUCAGAUGGCUUGUGUUCUGGUGGUGGCUUCUCUCCCUGGGGUGGUUUGCCGAAUGGGCUUGGUGGCUUGUGUUCGGGGAGUGGCUUCUCUCCCUGGAGAAGGUUACGAGUUUUGUCAUAUGGCUUUUGUUCUGGUGGUGGCUUCUCUCCCUGGGGUGGUUUGCCGAAUGGGCUUGGUGGCUUGUGUUCGGGGAGUGGCUUCUCUCCCUGGAGAAGGUUACGAGUUUUGUCAGAUGGCUUGUGUUCUGGUGGUGGCUUCUCUCCCUGGGGUGGUUUGCCGAAUGGGCUUGGUGGCUUGUGUUCGGGGAGUGGCUUCUCUCCCUGGAGAAGGUUACGAGUUUUGUCAGAUGGCUUUUGUUCUGGUGGCGGCUUCUCUCCCUGGGGUGGUUUGCCAAAUGGGCUUGGUGGCUUGUGUUCGGGAACUGGCUUCUCUCCCUUGGGAGGUUCAGUUGGUGGCUGCUGUUCCGUAGGUGGUUUCUUCACCGGCGGCUUGUGCUCCGGAAGCGGCUUCUCUACCUGGAGAAGCUUACGAGUUUUGUCCGAUGGCUUGUGUUGUGGUGGUGGCUUCUCUCCCUGGGGUGGUUUGCCAAAUGGAGUUGGUGGCUUGUGUUCGGGGAGUGGCUUCUCUCCAUUGGGAGGUUUAGUUGGUGAUUGGUGUUCCGUAGGUGGUUUCUGAAGUGGGGGAUGCUUGGGGUAGUCAGCAAGAGACGAGGUAGUGAGAACCACCAGUCCCAGCAGCAACACUAGCAAGCAUGUGGAAGACAUCUUUGAGUUCAGGCUGAGAUCUGUGCAAGGAUAACAGAAUUAGGUGGCCUUUUAUAGAGGCCUGGACCCAACACCCAUAUGACACGUGUCAUGCACUCAUGGUGACACAUAAUUCUAUGGGACCAUUUGGGUCCUACAGAAGUUGCAAAGUUGGACUACUGAGGUGUGAUCACAACUUUUGUCCUUAUUGCUUUCUCUGCGGCCAUUGCACGAUUUCCUUUAGCAUCAUUUUCUUGGCUAAAUAAGCGUAUUAUAUUUGUGGCAGACCGUCCACGUGUCAUAAACAGAUAUAUUAUAAUAAUGUAGUAUGCUUUUCUCCAAUGGAACAUGACACUCUUCUAAGUCUUGUUUUAAAUAUUGUGCAGGAUUACUUUAUACGUUGCAGUUCCAAGUCAAAAUUGGUGGGCAAACGUUGGCCUUUUUUCAUUUCACCUAAGAUUAAUGCUCACCUGGGAUAGGCACUACAUGACUUAUCUGCUCUUUUACUGUAAAGUUGCUUUGUGUAUGAGAUACACCUCCCCUGCACACCCUCAACAUUCGUUGCUCUGUUUUCCUUGUGUCCAGACGAGGAUAUUAAUUGGAGGCUGACAAAACGACUGCUAGCCCAGGAUUUACAAGGUCCUGGUUUGAGGCUUCGGUGAAAGUAUUUUUGAAAAGACACACAUAGAGAUAGUGCGUUUGGUGCAAUGCAGCACUGUGAGCCAUUCUGACGCGUUCUUAAUUUCAAAACUAAUGAAUGCUUCAAAAUUUUAAGAAGUGACAUUUCCAAAUAUUUGAGUUCGUUUAAUUGAACAUUGGAUAACUAGUGAUCAUAGAUUAUUAUCUGUGCUUGGCACUAUAAGAGGGUAUAUGCUUCUUUUUCUGGCCCCUCCUUCAAGGGAGGAGGGACAAUGUGAUCUGUAACGUUAGAAGCUAUUCCAUGUCAUCUUUGGGCUCAGUUCAAAACUAAAAGAUAAUGGGGGGGGGGGGGGGGGGCAUAUCAUUUUAUAUUUCUUCUAGAAGGUUUGUUCUGGAAAUAUUUCACAGGAGCAUAUCUUUUUCUUCUAUUACGUCAUCCGCAGCCUCCAAUAGGUCGGUUAACAAGCCACCGAGUUGAAAAGUUGGAAAAAUGGGAACACAGCCCGCCUCUUGUAUUCAGUAGUUAAAUAAAAGGUCACUAGAAGUGAGAUCCCUUUUGGCGUCUUGAUUUUCAAUCCAGCACCUCUGUGACCUGACAAACCAAAAAAACUAAAAAAUAAAAAACAGUACGUGGGUUGGUGUUAAGCAUCAAGACAUGUUAAUGAAAGAAGGUAGAGAAUAGGAUAUUGAAAUCCCAAUCCUGAUAACAUGAUUUUCUUUGCUAACAACCAUAUUAUAUUUUAUCAAGAAAGAGUAAUGCAUGUGGCGUCCAUCAAGACCCAUUAGAGUUCCGCUAAAGCUAUAGUUCUGUCAACGUUAUCAUUUACGUUUCCUCUAGAUAAUGGCAUUUUCCUCUAAAGCUCUUGCACCAUUAGGCUUCAAGUCAAAAUUUCACAUGUGAACUUUGGAAAUUUUCUCCAUUUGCCCCUAAGGAUACAGUUAGAAUUGACUUAAAAUCCUGAUUGAUAUGUACUAUUAACCAAAGAAUAUUGUAUAUAAUAAUUGAAAUAUUGUUGAUUCAUCGUGGAAAUACAUUUUGUAAGGAAAGUUGUUGAGAAUUUAGUAUGCUAUAUGGAGAAAAAAGUCAUGACUUAAGGUUGUGUAUGUAUAUUCUAUAUCAAAUAUUAGGUAGGAAUGUGGGAAAGAGCAGAGUGUAAUGAUAAGAAACAAAGAAAUAUAAGAUAUUCUUGAAAGUGGAAAAUAUAAAAUGGCUAACGAGUCAAAUUUAUGAUGCGUAAGGGGGAUCAUGUCACAUAAGAAAACCAUGGCAUACUAAAGACGUACGUGUGGUAUGGAGUAAUAAUUUUGUUAAAAUAAGUUUCUUGUUGGAGUACAUUAGGUGACUAUUCAUAACGUAUCAAAUUAAAGAGUCAAGUGCAUCAAUGAAGGCAUAUGUAGAAAAUUUGUUUGUGACAUGUACCAUAAAGAUAAGAUUGACUUGAUAGAAUUUAGUCUAAGUAGGAGUUGUUAAAGGUGUCUUAAAUUUCUAAUUGAUGUAUAUUUUUUUCUAAAAAAAUAUUAUAUAGAUAUUUUAAUAAAUGAUUAAUUCUUUGUAAAAAUACUUACAUAAUAAAAAACAUCAUUAAAAAUAUCUUUAUAAAUAUUUUAAGUUACAAGAAGGAAAAAAACCACUGUGAGAUAAUGAUGAACAUGCAACACUGUACCAAGUAAAUAAAAAUGUGAUAAAAAAAAAAGAGAAACACUCGAUAAAGGAAGGCUCGUAUAUAAAGAGUAAUAUUUUUAAUCAUAUGAUAGAAUGAUUUUCUCUCAUUCAUGAAUAUAGGCAAGAUUGGGGAACCAUUAUAAAAUUUUGUACACCUCGUGUAAAUUGAUGUUUGUCUUCAUAUUUUACACCAACAAAUGACAUUGAAGUUGUCAUUGAUAAAAGGGAAAAGGCAUGCCUCCACACCAUGUGCUUGAUUCGAAUGGUUCAAGUUUGAAGAAUUUUCUCCGGAAGAUCUAAAACAUUUUCGCCUUUAAAUUUCAUUUGAUUAUUAAUAUCCGAAAAAAUAGUUAAAUACUCUUUCUAUUUUUGAGUUGUUGAAUUUUUUGAAAGUUUUUAUAUUUGUUAUCAAGAAUUUCUAUUUUAUUAAGGGUGAAUAUUUAUAAAUAAGAUAUUAUAUAAUAUUUGGAUAAGAGAGAAUGGUGGAAUAUAAUAAAGUUUUAAUCCUUCCCAAUUUUGAACCUUUUUUUUUUUUUUUGAUAUAAUCGCCUUUCUCUUGCAAUCCUAUUAUCAGGUACCUUAUAUUUGCUGAUGCUAUCUGGAACUAAAUUCCAAUCAGGCAUUGUCCAAUUACUAAUAGGACAGAUCAUAUCUCUCUGUUUCUAAACUAACAUGUAUCGUAAUGUGACCUCAUAAGGAAGGCUAGGAAGAUGGAGGAUUUUGUGGGAAGCGACCAGAAUCAGAUGGAAGAGAGAUAGCCCUGUUGACCUAAUGGCUGUAAUAGGAGAAGCGUGUGGUUUUAUGGGACUUAACUGAUACUAAACCUGUAUGAUGCUUGGAGUGGUGUUUCUUUCAUUUUGUUAAGAAAAUAUGGCAGCAUACAUGCUUUCAACUGAGUGCAUCAGAGCAUCCAUAACAGAUGGUCUGCAACCCUAGGUGCAUGCCACUUUCUGACUGAUAAUGAAAUUGUCAGGUACCUGGCCUUGACUAAGCUCAACAGCAUCACAUAAAGAGAAGCUUUCAUACUUAGAUUACUGUUUAAAGUUUUUGCUUAUUUGAUUUCUUAAUGCCAUUAUGACAUUAUUGAUUCAAUUCUGCUUCCGAUUUUCGAAGUUCUGGGCAUCUACUGAUUGCAUCAUUAUAUGAGAAGUUGCAUGAGUUUAUGUAUCCUGUUAUUGUUCCUUUGCGAUUUCACUGCUCACGGGACUAACCUCUCCAUUCAGUCGAAAUGAAUUGUAAUUUCUUUACUGGUAGCAGUAGUACUUUUCAUAGCAAAGAUAAUAGAAAAUAUGAAAUAUAAAUAGAAGGAAAUCUGGAUUGUAGAUAGCACCAUAAGUAACACUCAAUAUUCACUACAUAAUAAAUAGACAGUGUUACAUAGGUAGAGAAACCUACAAUGAGUACUCAUCACCAUUCUCAAACAGAAACAUAGCAGCGACUUAUACAUAGAACCUAUAGGCUCGCAGGGAAAGAGUAACAUGAUAAGUUCACAGCGGGUAGCAGCUCUUAUUUUACGUAUUACUCAAAAUCUCAAACUAACCAAAGUCACUCAGUUGGGAUGGGUAGGAGAUGGUGGUUUGUGGGGUGGCUUCUGGGUAGGAGCUGGUGGCUUCUUUGUUGGAGUUGAAGGAGGCAUAUUCUUCUGAGGUGGCUUGUAUGACUCUUCGGCACUCUCUGCAGGAGGGUGCCCAGGGUUGUGACCAGAAGGAGGUGGCUUCUGUCCCUUUGGUGGUUUGCCUAAUGGGCUUGGUGGCUUGUGCUCCGGGAGUUGUUUCUCUCCCUCGAGUAGGUUUCGAGUUUUGUCAGAUGGCUUGUGUUCUGGUGGUGGCUUCUCUCCCUGGGGUGGUUUGCCGAAUGGGCUUGGUGGCUUGUGUUCGGGGAGUGGCUUCUCUCCCUGGAGAAGGUUACGAGUUUUGUCAGAUGGCUUUUGUUCUGGUGGCGGCUUCUCUCCCUGGGGUGGUUUGCCAAAUGGGCUUGGUGGCUUGUGUUCGGGAACUGGCUUCUCUCCCUUGGGAGGUUCAUUUGGUGGCUGGUGUUCCGUAGGUGGUUCCUUCACCGGCGGCUUGUGCUCCGGAAGCGGCUUCUCUACCUGGAGAAGCUUACGAGUUUUGUCAGAUGGCUUGUGUUGUGGUGGUGGCUUCUCUCCCGGGGGUGGUUUGCCAAAUGGACUUGGUGGCUUGUGUUCGGGGAGUGGCUUCUCUCCAUGGGGAGGUUUAGUUGGUGGUUGGUGUUGCGUAGGUGGUUUCUGAAGUGGGGGAUGCUUGGGGUAGUCAGCAAUAGACGAGGUAGUGAGAACCACCAGUCCCAACAGCAACACUAG